rnacentral:lncRNA from 1 species
GCGACCAGCGAAAAUGAAAGCUAACAUCAAUAGAUGAGCUUCAGAUGCCAAAUUAUGUGGGCGUUAUCUUCUACUAUAGAGACAAUGCCAGGAACCUCGGAGUCGAUAUCUCUCAAAGGCUUCACCAGAUGGAGGAGUCACUUUCCAAAACUCUAACCCUCUUUUAUCCUAUGGCAGAGAGAUAUAUUGAGGAUGACGACGGUUGUUUUAUCGACUGUAAUGACCUUGGAGUGGAGUUCGUCCAUGCCAAAGUGGAUGGCCAUAUUGAUUAGCUUCUCCAUAGAGACCCCGGCAUGGAUUUGCUCGAAUAUUUGUCGCAAUUCCCGAACAACCUAGUAGGCAAUCCACUAGUGGUGAUUCAAGUGAAUACGUUCGAGUGUGGCGGAAUAGCAAUUGGCUUGCGCUCUACACACAGGAUCAGCGACAUGUACACCAUGGCCAUUUUCGUUAACUCGUGGGCCACCGCUUGCCGAGGUAACAUAGAUGUUAUAGUCUGUCCAAGUUUCGAGUUGUCGUCUCUAUUCCCAAUGAAAGUGUCGGCCGUUGCGAAUUGGCUUCCGCCACGGAUUAUUGGCAGCAAGGAAUUCACGGUGUCUAGGUUCAAGUUCAGCGGUGAUGUUGUAUCGAAGUUGAGAGCCCUAGCUAGGGAUGAUGCAAAGGAUUCAAUGGCCAACAACUUCCAGCCUUCGAGGGUGGAGGUUGUUUCGGCACUAAUAAGUAAGGCUCUCGUCAAGAUUGAUCGAUCUAGACAGGGCAAAGAAAGGCCUUUCGCAGUUUGGAUGACGUUUAACUUGCGCGAUAAAGUCAAACUAAAGAUACCCGCAAAUUCUUGUGGCAAUUUCUUCAGCGUGAUUUCUGGGCGCUCCGAUCAUCCCACGGCCGGCAAAACGAAUUCGGAGUUCAAUGAGAUGGUGAACAUAAUCCACAACAUGAUAUCAGACGCUAAAACGAAAUAUAGAACAAUAGUAAACAAGGAGGAGUUCUGCUCGACGGUGGUGAAUUCUAUAGCCAAAAUUGUCAAAGUCGCGUCCUCAAGCGAAGUGUUUACGAUUUCUUUUAGUAGCUGGUGCCGUUUCGGGCUAUAUGAGAUCGACUUCGGGUGGGGAAGGCCGGUUCCCGUCAGCAACAUAUCAUUGAAUCUCAGAUCGGUCUUUCUUAUCGACGAUGAAGAGGGCAAAGGAAUUGAUGCAUGGACAACCACCACUGGAGAUGAGAUGAUUCUUCUUAAACAAGAUCCGGAUAUUCUGGCAUUCACUUCCUAGAUGGAGGUGGAGAGAGUAGCACAAAUAUUGGAUCUGCGAAGUCAUCGUAUCUUACUAUAAUGUAGACCAGGAAAAUGAAAAUGGACUUGGUCUAGAGUAUUUGUCACAUCUGUUUCUUUUCUUUAAGAAGGAUGGUUCUUGUGGACAAUGUUAAUCAACUUAUUAAAUACCUUAGAGCGAACUCCUCUAUCAUGUUCAAUUUCCUCAGGCUGACUCCCUCAAUCCAUCAUACUAGAGCGAUCUGAGAAGAACGAUUAGGGUCAUAUUCUAUCCUUUCUACAAUGCCCAUAGGACAUGCUUGCUAUAAGCGCUAGUAGGACACGUACGGUUGUAGUCUUUGUCACUGGAUUGAAAGUUUCAUCAUAGUCCAAACCGUACUACUGUGAGAAUUCUCAUGUCACUAGGUGAGCCUUAUCUCUUUCGAUUGUUUAAGAGUUGAUGUAAUGGCAUACGAUGGUAUGAUAGUGGAUGAAAGUUCAUUCAUUCAAUGUUUCGAGUGGGUACAUAUAAUAAAUAAAGGAGUGAGACCCUCUAAAAUUUUGUGAAUGAAUUGACACUUUAAAUUUUACUUUCUCAAAAUGAAUGGUGUAUCAAAACAUCAAUUCAUGAUUCAGAUUAACCCGGAAUACUCAACUUACCAAACUGCCCUUGCCUUUGGUGGAAAAUCACAUACCUACCAAAAAGUUAGCUUCCUUCUCUUUAUUUUUUAUUUUUUAUUUUUUUGGUUCAAAAGAAGAUUGUGUUCAUUUCUCAAAAGGACACAUGAGAAGUAAUAAAUUUUAUGACAAAGAAAUUGAAGGAGAGCAAAGCCUAGAAAACUACAAAACAAAGCCAAAUCUAGAAAUGAGGAGGAUUAAGAGAGCACCAAUAAAGUUAAGCACACAAUCGAUGGUGGAUCACUGGAUCUCGAAUCAUUAUUAAUGAUAACAUACAUCAGAAAUUCAUUCUCCAAUAAUUAUGACAUUACUAGUUAGCGGUAUGCGUCUAAAUUCAACUGUCUUUACAUCAUCUCCCUACGGAGACAACCAAAACAGGUUGAGCAAACAAACACACAUCUAAAAAGACGCUCAAAUCCUUAUUGUAAAAGUAUAAAUAAAUUUUAAAAUUUUCAAAAAGUACAAUUAAGUCAUAAAACUUAUCAUGAAAGUAUAAUUGAGUUCUAAAAUUUUCAAAAAAAAUAUUAUCAAAUCAUAAAAGUUAUUAUAUUAGUCUAAUUAAAUCCUUCCGUUGAUUAACUUUUUUUGAAAAUUUUAAGACUUAGUUGUACUUUUAUGAUAAAUUUUAGGAUUUAAUUAUACUUUUCUAAUUUUUUUUUGAAUUUCGUGUGCACUUAUCCCUUCUUUUAAUUAGAAGGAAUUCUCUUCCAUUUUCUUUUUAGACUCUUCUUUCAUCUUCAAGAAAAAAAAAAAAGGCGUAUAGAAGAACAUACUAGGGGUGUGCAAAAGAACUGGAACCCGCCCAGAUCGCCCGGAACUAGACCGAAACCGGUGGUUCUUAAGGGAACCGAUCCGGUUCCCGAUUCCAAUUUAUGGGAACCGGUGGGUACAGGUCCGGUUCCCGGUUCCAAUUUAUGGGAACCGGUGGGUACAGGUCCGGUUCCCGGUUCCAUAGGCGGAUCCACCCACCCGGACCGAAUCGGACUGGUUAUAUUAUAAUAAUAUAUUAGUUUUUAUUAUUUAAAAAAUUCGAAAUUAACAAAUCUAAAAUUAGGACUCCAAUUACCAUUUUGUCUCAAUUCACUACUCUCCUACUUCAUCUCAUCUCUCUUAGUUCAAAAUCUCCCCAAACUCCCUCUUCCUCUCCAAUUCACUUUCAGAUUUACUCAUCUCCCUUCGAGUCUUAGUCUGAACUCGGCAAAAUAGUGAAUUGAUUCUCUUUCCCCACCUCAAACUUGAACUCUCUCUCCAUGUUGUUGUCAUCCUUGUCAUCACCUCCGCAUUCACUAUCACUAUUGUCCUCUUUGUUGUUGGGCUCGUCCCGCUUCUACCUCCCCUCUUCCUCCUCCCCCUCCUCAGCCCCCCCCCCCUCAAUCGUCCUCAUUUUUUGGGAUAGGGGCAAACUCCAGGUCUAAGAAUGGCUCAUCGUCCCCAUUACCUCCUCAUUGUUUGUCUCGAGGGAGGAGCAGGAACGGCGGAGGCGGUGGCGAAAAUGGUGGCGAUGGUCAAGAUGAAAGUAGCACGAAGGUUGCGACCGCCGUCACCACGACACUAGUACUUGAGGAGAAUAAAGUUACCAUGGUUGGGAGAGCCAGAAUGAGUAGAUGUGAGGAGGGCGAAAAGGGGAAGGCGCGGAGGUUGAACCAGUUCUAUGGAUCCACCAAGGAAUCAGACCAGAUUGGCGAUCCGGUUCCCGAAUAGAUCCAUGCAACUAGCGGGUAGUUCCCAGUUCCAAUUUUUCGGAAUCGGUUCUUAGCGGGUGGUUCCCGGUUCUAAGUCGGGAACCGCCCACCCGGACCAUGCACACCCUUAGAACACACUACAUACAUAGAUGCCAUUUAUGUAAUGCACGGCCACUUUGUACCCUUUUCUACUCCCAUGGAAGUUGGAGAGGCUUCUCGCCUUCUAGUUCUAAUAAAUCAUGAAAGAGCAUUGAAUUCACAUAUGAAACGGAGAUACUUAGCUACUCAACUUUUCAUAACAUGUUUACCUAUAUGGGGGCAAUGAUUUUACCAAUGUUCAUCCGAAUUGAAUUAUGACAACUUUUAGAGUUGGUGUAAUUGGUUGGAGUGUUAGGGAUUUUGGUUCAACAGCUAGAGGUCAUUUGUUCAAAUUUCACGAAUUACAUACAAAUAAUAAUUUGAGUGUCUAGGCAACUUACAAGGCUUCAAGGCCUAGACUUAAUUGAUUAAUACCUCGCCGUGUAUUUUAUGGAUGUCAAAGUAGACAUGCCUCCAUGCUUGUGUCCUUGGCUUAUCAAAGUCAUUCUCAUACAACCCGAAUCUGCAUCAGCCACUACAAGCAAUUGCGUACUCUUCGUCUGAGGACUUUUUGUUGUGAAUAUAGACAAGCGAAUAAGAUAAAAUAGUUAGAAUGAAGGAAAGAAAAUUUGAUACUAAAUUUAUGUGAUUCUAUGUUCAUGGAAAAAGCAACAUGGAAUUUUAUUAUAGAAACAAACGAUAUACUAGAAAUUAUAAUAACUCGAAUAUUGAAAUAUUCAAUUAGUAUAUUUUAAUCCUCAAUUACACUCAAAUUCAUAUAGUAUGUAGCCCUUUUAUAAUUUCUAAUGAAACCUUAUUUUAGGAAUUAAAUAAAUUUUACUCAUAAAAAUUUAACUAGUUAAAUCAUUUGGGUGUAAUUGCAACGGGAGAUUUUUCCCUCUGUCGAGAGUUCCCACAGCUUGCUUCAGGAAAGCUCUAAGAGCUCCAUCCAUUGUAUUGUUGCGACUUUCUUGUUCUUUCUUUUCAAGAGCUCUGCAUUAAAUGCAGCACGUGAGGCUCCACUUAUUCUUUCGACGGCCACAACAGAAGAAAAUAGCGAAGUAGAGAAACAAAAGAAGUUAACGAAAGAGGACAAAUAAAGCCCACAAUUUUCUACUUUGACAAACCCUCUCUCUCUCUCUCAUGAUGGUCUUCCCUGCUUUUUGACUUCCUCUUCUUCCACUAUCUUCAUUUUCAGUCACAUGGCUGCAGAGAUGAGUUGAACACAACAAAAGAAGCCUCUUCACGCUUUCGGCUCAUAAAUGAAAUCCACAUGUAAUAUUCUUCUUCCGAUAAUUUCGGCUGAUCAAUUCACAUAUGCGUUGGCCCAAAAAAAAUAAAUUCACAUAUGCCAAUAAAUUGACUCACACGUGAUCGAGUUCCCUUAAUCUCAUCAGUCCGAACUGUAGAUAUAUUUCCUACGGUUUUGGAGAAAUCGGUGAAAGAAUUGCCCACAGUUGAGCAGAACUCCUCCCCGUCUACUGCGGCGGCAUCUUUUUUUGAGAUAAGUGCUAUAGAAGUCCUAAAACUUAUCACGAAAAUACAAUUGAGUCAUUAAACUUGCAAAAAGUGUAAUAAAGUUCUAAAACUUAUCCAAUUAUUUCAAUUUAAUCCUAAAGUUAACACCAUUGACUUUUUUUAACGGAAAAUGCUGACGUAGCGCGGACGUGAUAUUUUAAAUAAUUUUUCAUUUUCCAUGUGGCUUUUUAAAUUAUUUUUAUUCAAUUUAAAAAAAUAGAUUUAAAAACUAAAAAAGAAAAGUUAAAAUUUAUUUUUAAAAAUUGUUAAAAAAAAAAAAGGCAGCUCCUUCCUUGCUACCGCCGCUGCCGCCGUCGCUCAUCGCCAGUCGCCGGCCCCUCCGACGAUGGGCAGUGGCUACCAUUUUUUUUUCUUUUGUUUUGAACUGUUUUGCUUUUUAAAUAAAUUUUAAAUUUUCUUUUCUAAUUUUAAAUCUAAUUUAAAUAAAAAUUAAAAAAAGUCACAUGGAAAAUAAAAUUUAAUUUUAAUGCCACGUCAACGUUUUCCAUUAAAAAAGUCAACGGUAUUAACUUUAAGACUCGAUUGAAACAAUUUAAAAAGUUUUAGGAUUUGAUUGUAUUUUUUGUAAGUUUUAAGACUCAAUUGCAUUUUCGUGAUAAGUAUUAGGAUUUCUAUAGCACUUAUCCCUAUUUUUUUUGGUGUCUAAUAUCAUGUUGCGUAUUACCUUCACCAUUCCAUCGAACUCCAACUUGCUUUUCCCAGCUGCAGAUUGCCCGGGUCGCCCAAACAUUAUGGCGAAUAGAAUGCCGCAAGAAUUUGCAGGUAUCGCUAGAUUGAUUUCUCACGCAAGUUAACAGUCAUACAAAUCAUAAAAUUCCUUUGGUCGCCGUGUUUAUUUCGAUCAAUAUCGACGAGAGCCCUACUUAUUAGCGCCGAAACAACAUCCACCCUCGAAGUCUUGGAAUCGUUGGCCAUCAGAUCCUUUGCAGCAUCUGUAGCUGGGGCUUUCAGCUUCAAAAUAGCAUUACUGCUUGUUGGGAAUGACUGAUCCCCGAAAACCGGAUUCGACACCGAAUCGAACCCCUAAAUCAAUGCGGAAGACGAAGCCCGGGAAAACACGUAUCACCGAUCGUAAAGCACACCACGGAUUCGAGCGUACCUUGUUAGCCACAGAUUAAGCACCGACGCCGUUAGAGGAAGAGAAACUUGAUCCUGUUCAAUCCGGUGAAGCAAAUUGGCCUUCGCGCCUCACUGUUUUCCUUUUGCUUUUGAAGAAAAACGAGAGAGAGAGGGAGUGUACGUUGAGAGAAAAACUUAUGUCUUUUUUCUAAAGUAAAACGGUGUAUUUUUCUCUCUCUCUCUCCUCCCUUUUAUACCUCUCUCCUUCCACGAGCCCUAUUCCCGUGGGCCGGGCUUUCUGGGCCCAACUUGGGCGGACGGGCCUUAAGCCCAAUACUAAUAAAGCCUUCAUCUCCCACUUGCACAUGGUGGGCCGAAUAGGAUUCUCUUUACCUCUUUUCAACAUUCAUACCGGUGAAUAAUCCGCGCGACCAGCAUACUUUGAGAGCUCGUUGCUAUACAUCUGUUAGGAAUAUAUAGCAGCUCAUAAUGGGCGUCACACUCCGAGUAGACUUAGUAUACAGUACCCUAGAUCGAUCGAUCACAUUCAUAUCUCUCUUGAUCUCCUUUAAACAAUGAUAUAUAUAUUGUAUUCACAAUUAUAAUUAUCACAAAGACAAUCAUAAUUGGUCAACCAAUGAAUACAAAAACUACAAUGUGAUUCUCCAAAAUCGAUCUUCCUCUUUCCUUCAAACUCUCAAUUUCAGUUCAGCUUGCUUUUCUAGAAAUGUCCCAUUAGAUCGAAUCAACUCAUGACCAUUGGCAACAUCCUAAAAUAGCAAACACUAAAUAGAAACCUUGAGAAUAAGUAAAAGUCAUGAGGGCACUAAAAUUGAGGAACUCUUUUCUUCAAGAGUCUCACGUGUCAUAAAAGUUGAGAUCUAAACUUUUUGACACUCUUAUUGGUCGGCUCAUGCAUACGUAGUAUGAAAUACGUAUUACGGUAUUAACUCCUUUCCCAUGGAGCGUAUGUCUACACCUUUCAAUACCGUACAGAUGAUAGUCCAGACAUACUCAAUGUCUAACUUGAGUUCACGUAUCUACUCAUUUACAAAAUUCAUCAGAACUCACAUCUGGCAUCUUAGACAGAUAAAGUAAAAUAUGUGGGGUAUUUUACUUUCGGACAUAGUAAGUAUUAUGUCCUCAUCUUAACACUCAUUUAAGGCGACAUACGUAUUUUAAGCUUGAGCUCUCGAUUAUCACCUAGAUAAUAAGCUUAAAAACAGUCUCAUCUCUAUUUAUCACACAGUAAAUAGAGGCGAUUACCCGUGUGAGUGGGCUAAUCUUUUAUCUGUCCGACAUACUUCUCAACUUAAAAUAAUGCACUGAGUAUUAAGAUGCAUAAAGAUCAUACAAAAAUUCAUAGGCAUUAAUCAAUGAAAAACAAAAUUUCAUAAAUGUGAACAACUCAGGGAAAUUACAAUUCAGUACAUCAAACUCUACGCAAUCCUAGAGAUUUUACAUGACCACAAAACACAUCUCUAGAUAUUGGCUUUGUCAUAGGAUUUGCUACCAUUCUAUGCGUAGAUAUGUACUGUAAGUUCACAUCCUUUCGUGCAACCAUAUCUUUCACAAAGUUAUACUUGGUAUCUAUAUGUUUGGUCUUGCCAUGAUACUUUGGAUCUUUGGUGUAUGCUAUAGCUGCUUGGUUAUCACAGUUAACCAAUAAUUGAUUUGCAACUUUCUCAAUAACACCUAAAUGAUCCAAGAAUCUCUUAAGCCAAACUGCUUCUUGUACUACUGCUGAUAAUGCCACGAACUCAGCUUCCAUCGUGGAUAAGGCUAUGCAUGUUUGCUUCUUACUACUCCAUGAUAUGGCGCCAUUGCUCAGUAAGAAAGCAAAUCCUGAGGUAGAUUUCCUUUCAUCUAAAUCUCCUCCCCAAUCAGCAUCUGAAUAGCCUUCAAGUCGCAGAUCCUUUCCUUGGUAAUUCAACUUGUAAUCAGUAGUUCCCUUCAGAUACCUCAGUAUUCUCUUAACGGCCUUCCAAUGUGCUGGACCAGGAUUGGAUUGGUAUCUACUCACCAUUCCAACUGCAAAACAUAUGUCGGGUCUUGUACACAUCAUAGCGUACAUCAAGCUCCCAACAGCACUUGCAUAAGGAACAUGUUUCAUUUGUUCCUUCUCUUGUGGAGUCCUUGGACACAGUCUAUGGCUCAAUCCUUCACCUUUUGCAAUAGGAGUGUCUAUGGGUUUACAAUCCUGCAUACGAAAUCGUUCAAGAACUUUGUUUAUAUAAGUUUCUUGCGAAAGAGACAACGAUCUCUUCGAACGAUCUCUUGAAAUCUUAACUCCAAGAAUGUAUGCAGCCUCACCCAUAUCCUUCAUCUCAAAGUUGGAAGACAACCAACUCUUGACGGUCUUAACAAACUUCAUAUUGCUUCCGGCAAUUAGUAUAUCAUCAACAUAUAAUGAUAUGAUCACAAAUUGAUCCUUGGAUCUUUUGAUAUAUACACAAUGAUCCUCAUCAAUCAUUGUAAAAUCAUAUGCCAUUAUAGCAUUAUGAAAACGUAUAUACCAUUGUCUUGAUGACUGCUUGAGGCCAUAUAUCGAUCUCAAAAGUCGACAUACCUUUUCUUCUUGGCCUUUCACUAUGAAACCAACAGGUUGUUCCAUAUAUAUUUCUUCCUCUAAUUCUCUAUUGAGGAAAGCAGUCUUUACAUCCAUUUGAUAUAAUUCAAGAUCCAGACUAGCCACUAUUGCCAGAAUAAUGCGAAUUGAGGUAAAUCUCACUACAGGAGAAAACAUAUCUUCAUAAUCAAUUCCUUCCUGUUGAUUAUACCCCUUCGCCACAAGGCGAGCCUUAUGCCUUUCUAUCGAGCCAUCAGCCUUCUGCUUUAUUUUGAGAACCCAUUUGUUCCCAAUAGCUCUGCGACCUUUUGGAAGAUCAACCAGUUCCUAGACUUGGUUUGAUUUCAUUGACUCAAUUUCCUCUUCCAUUGCAUUGAUCCAUUUUUCCUUACUAGGGCAAUUUAGAGCCUCAUUAAUAUUUCUUGGCUCAUCCUCAUCUUGUGGAGCAACCAUAAAAGUUUCCCCUUCAAUGCCAAAACGUCGACGGGGAAUACUUUGGCGACUUGUUCGCCGUAUGGGAGAUUGCACACUUUGCACAUCAUUUCCCAUCAUGCUCCCACUUGGAUUAGGCAAUGAUGAUGUCGUCUUAUCAAGUGGUUGCAAUUGAGAAUGAGUUGAAUUCAAUUCAUCACUUCUCAUAUUACUCCCACUUGGACGAACUCCACUAACAUCUUAUCUGAUCCAAGGUCUCAAAUAAGGAACAAUCUUCCCCUAUUUCGCCCUUCUUAGGAAAUUCAUCAUCUAAGAAUGUGACAUCUCGUGAUUCAAACUCAGUUAUACUCCCACUUUCCUGCUCACCUAUGAACACAUAUCCUUUAGAGUGUUCCGAGUAUCUUAUGAAAAUACUCUUCUUUCCUCUGGGACCCAAUUUCCCAAACUUGUGAGAGGACUCAUGUGUGUAGGCAGCACAACCCCAUGGCUUAAGAAAACUUAAGUCUGGUUUUCUACCUGUCCAUAACUCAUAUGGAGUGGAAGUAACUGAUUUGGAAGGCACACGGUUAAGUAUAUAUGCAGCAGUUAACAACACAUCACUCCAAAAGGUAAUAGGUAAGUUAGCAUGCGCCAUCAUGGACCUAACCAUUUCCAGUAGGGUUCUGUUUCUUCUCUCCGCAACACCAUUUUGUUGAGGAGUAUAUGGAAUAGACAACUGUCUUUCUAUUCCUUUUUCAUCACAUAAUUUUCUGAACUCAUCAAAUAAAUAUUCUCGACCUCGAUCGGAUCUCAAUGCUUUUAUUUUCUUGUCUAAUUGAUUCUCUACCAGGUUCAUAAACCUUUUAAAACAACUUAUUGCUUCAGAUUUGUGAGAAAUCAAAUAGACAUAUCCGAAUCGAGUAUAAUCAUCAAUAAAAGCGAUGAAAUAAACAGCCCCAUGCCUUCCUUUCACAUUCAUUGGACCACAGACAUCAGAAUGGAUUAAAUGCAGAGGAAAUUCAUCUCUUUUUCCUUUUCCAAAUGGUUUUCUUGUCGUUUUCCCUUCUAGGCAAUGCUUACAUAUGGACAAAUCGACUUUUUCAAUAUUGCCCAACAAGCCCUAUUUGGCUAGUCUAUUCAUACGCUGUUGGCCAAUGUGACCAAGUCUAGCAUGCCACACAUUCACAUCAUUAUCAUAUUUAUUAGGAGACGUGAGAAGGGAAUAACAAACAUUAAUAUUAACAUAAUCAAUAUCUAAUACAAUAAAACCAUCCAGAAAAUAACCACAACCAUAGUAAUUUGUAUCCAAAAACAAAUUCACACCUCUAUUACAGAAGUUCAUAUUAAAACCUAAUUUAACCAACACUAAUACAGACACUAAAUUCCGACGAAUCUUCGGAGCAUACAGCACAUCAUGAAGGAACAAAGUGCGUCCACAAUGCAUAUUCAGUUGGCAUGUGCCAAUUCCUUUCACUUCAGCUCUGGAGUUGUUUCCCACAUAGAUCCACUUAGUUCCAGUUGGUACUCGUCGGAAUUCCACAAAGGAUCCUCUAUCCUUCGCUACAUGGUCCGUCGCUCCUGAAUCCACAGUCCAGAAAGGAUUAGACUCAGUUAAGAAUACAAAACUCGACACAAAAGUGAAGUUCUGAAAAAUACAAGGGGUGCAUACCUUCUUUGGCUCACGACAGUCGCGAGCAUAGUGACCCUUCUUGUCACAGUUGUAGCAUUUCACCCUUGCAAGCUUUUUCAUGCGGGGACGCUUCCCUCUUUCAUGUUGGUUAAACUUGGGUUUCUUCCCUGAAGGACCUGCUUCUUCCUUGCCUUUUCCCUUAUCAAACCAGUUAGGGCGCUUGCGCUUGGAGCUCGAAGCUCCAUUUGAGCUAGAACUAGCAUGAUAAAGUUCAGCAUCCGGCUUAGCCACCAACAAGCGGUCCUCUUCCAGCUCAAGAUGAUGCAUUGCAUCCUCAAAGGUUUUGAUAUUUUCAUUAUGAGUCAGGUGCACCUUCAUAUGCUCCCAACUCUGAGGCAAGGAACGAAUCACUGCUUGCACUUGCUGCUUAUCUGUGANNNNNNNNNNNNNNNNNNNNNNNNNNNNNNNNNNNNNNNNNNNNNNNNNNNNNNNNNNNNNNNNNNNNNNNNNNNNNNNNNNNNNNNNNNNNNNNNNNNNNNNNNNNNNNNNNNNNNNNNNNNNNNNNNNNNNNNNNNNNNNNNNNNNNNNNNNUGGCUCCCACAUUUCCUUAGCAUUGUCAAAACGCCGAAACUCUCGCAUGACGUCAUUUUCCAUGCUGCUCAACAACGUGAUGCGAGCUAGAGAGUUCAUUCUUUUCCACGCAGAAAAAGCUUCUUUGUCUCUUUUGUGCUGUGCAGUGGUUCCCUCUUCAGGUUCUACCAUGGUCAUGACAAGAGCCUCAAGUGCUUCUUGCUCUUCCAGCACAUACUGGAUUUUCAUUUGCCAAAUUUCAUAGUUGUCUCCAUUGAGCUUUUCACCUUUGUUCAGCUUGGCAACUAUGCUUUUUGUGGCUGAAGCCAUUGAUCUGAACAAAUCAGACAAAUAUGCACGAAUUAUUAAUGCCUAUCAUUUAUGCAUCCCUAUUUACAUAGACCCAUCAUAUUAAUGAAUAAUUUCAAGUAAGGUUUCAGAAUCAAAAGGUCACUAUGUUUCCAAUCAUCCUCCAAAAUCCUAACUUAAAACUAUCAUCAAUAUAAUUGUCUUAUGCAAAAUCAAUUCUAUGAAGCUACAAAAACUUCUAAAACUACCCACAGCUAAUUACCCACAGCAACCAGCAAUAACAGAAAAGCAAUAUAUAAUAGAACAUCCAAUAAAAACAAUAAUGCUUUCAAUUAACACAAUUAGGUAGUAAUCAUUACAUAAUAUGUCCACAAAUCACACUUAACAUAUAUCAGCCAAUACAACUAACACCAAGUCAGCACACGAACUGGGAAAGAUCCUCUUUUGUUCAAUUUCUUGAUCUUUUCCCUUGAAACAAUACAAUAAUAUUCAUUUACAAAAUCCAUCACAAUUUUCUUAUAGGAAGAAGCUCCGUUGACAUCCCAUAUGCGAUUCAACACAUCUUGCCAUUCAAGUGGAAGAGUGUUUAUGAAAAAUCGCACCAUCUCCGACUGUGACAUAGGACGACCAUUCCAUAUGACCUGUUGAAUUUUCCCAUUGACUUCAAGGACAUGAUCAAUUAAGUCACCUCUCUCCCAUCGAUGAUCAGUCAGCUCAACUAUCAACUUAGACAGCCUAUCCUUUUCUUCAUCGGUAAUUGCGCGAAUAGGUGUGCGCAACCUCAAGGGAGGCAUUGUUCCUGCAACAAAUGCAGAACAAAUAAGGGAUCACAUUAUAAUCCACAUAGACUUAAUUGAAAAAGAAACAUAUAUAUAUAUAUUUUUUUUUUGGUCAACGGUCAACGGUCGUCGGUCAACGGUCAACGGUGGUCAACGGUCGUCGGAUGUCGGACCGGUCGGACCGGACAGGCCGGUCGGACCGGUCGGGCUGGCGGGCCCGGCUCAGGCGAACCGACGGCACAUGCCGCGCGUGUGCGCCGGCUGACGUCACGCAGACGUCAUCCGGCACGUGCCACGCGCGUGCCGGGUCUCGCGCCGGUCGGGUCGCCGCUGGUGACCGCCUGGCGAAUCGUCGCCGUGCUGACGUCAUCGAUGACGUCACCCUAACGGUUAUUGACCGUUGGGUGACGUCAUGCUGACGUCUGCACGCGUCGGUCCGCGGACCGAUGUGUGCCGGCUUGCCGGCCGGCGGUGCGCACGAGCCGCACGCGUUGGGCGAGCCAGCGCUUCCGGGCGCGUCACGCCCACGCGCAGCCACUUCUGGCCGCGCGUGUGGGCGCGUGUGGCGUCUCCCGGCGGCGCACGACACAUUGCCAGACUCGUCUCGACGUCGCCUUUCUUCCCAUGUAUUCAGAAAACAGUUUCGACUUACGAAAACUCAGUAAAAUGGCCGAAGAACGCUCGGGUGUCGGGAUUUCUCGCCCCGAUCCGUACGGCCGAAACACUUUCGCGAAAAAUCAAUCAAAAAUCAUCAAACAAGUCGGGAAAACGUGAACUAGGGCUCUGAUACCAAUGUUGAGAAUGACUGAUCCUCGAAAACUGGAUUCGACACCGAAUCGAACCCUUAAAUCAAUGCGGAUGACGAAGCCCGGGAAAACACGUAUCGCCGAUCGUAAAGCACACCAUGGAUUCGAGCGUACCUUGUUAGCCACAGAUUAAGCACCGACGCCGUUAGAGGAAGAGAAACUUGAUCCUGUUCAAUCCGGUGAAGCAAAUUGGCCUUCGCGCCUCACUGUUUUCCUUUUGCUUUUCAAGAAAAACGAGAGAGAGAGAGGGAGUGUACUUUGAGAGAAAAACUUACGUCUUUUUUCUAAAGUAAAACGGUGUGUUUUUCUCUCUCUCUCCUCCCUUUUAUACCUCUCUCCUUCCACGGGCCCUAUUCCCGUGAGCCGGGCUUUCUAGGUCCAACUUGGGCGGACGGGCCUUAAGCCCAAUACUAAUAAAGCCUUCACUGCUAAACCUUAACCUAGUCAUGACGAAUUCCUUUGUGCCAAUAGUCCGUGGUGGAGGCCAAUUUGGAACUGCCGCCUCUUUCAUAUGGAAUAGAGAUGACAACUCGAAACUCGGACAAAUUGCCAUGUCUAUGGUCCCUCGGCAAGCGGCUGCCCACGAAUGAAUGAACAUGGCCAUGGUGGAGAUGUCGCCAAUCUUGCGUGUAAAGCGCAGGCCAAUCACUAAUCUACCACACUCGAACGUUUUCACUUGAAUCGCGACUAACGAAUUGCCCACCACGUUGGUCGGGAAUGUCGACAAAUGAUCAAGCAAAUCCAUGUCGGGGUCUCCAUGGAGAAGCUUGUCCAUUUGGCCAUCCACUUUGGCGUGGAUGAACUCGACUCCAGGGUCAUUGCACUCGAUGAAACAGCCAUCGUCCUCGACAUAUCUCCGUGCCAUAGGAUAAAAGAGCUGUGGGGUUUUGAAAAGUGACUCCUCCAUUUGGCCAAGCCUCUGAGGAAUAUCAACUCUGUGAUUCUCAGCAUUAUCUCUAUAGGAGAAGAUAAUGCCCGUAUAAUUUGGCAUUUGAAUCUCAUCCACUGAUGAGAGCUUCAAUUUUUGCCGGUUGUUUGGCGUCGGUACCGACGGCUUGACCAACUUCUUCCAUUGUACUUCCACGUUCAUGCUUGGACUGCCUCCCAAGAUAUGUGCGGAAGUACAGCUAUGGAAGUAAUUUGGAGGAUCAAGGAUGGUUGAAUAUGGUAGUUAUGUGCGAGUUGUGCCCAGUGCAAUGCUUGUUUUCUAAGCAGUAUAACCAAUCAUUAAAAAAAAAAAUAUUUUCCAAAUCAUAAGUUUUCUGUGAAACAAAUGAAUGAGAUUUUGUGGGACCACAGCCAACUCUUCUACAAACUUAAACUAUUAGAUAAAGUCAUUGUUUAUUAUAUAAAUAUUCUAGCCCUCUCCUUCAUGUGUAGGCUAGACUUUGGACGUAGCCUAAAGCGUGAAUAUAUUCGAUUGUGGAAGCCAAUAGGGACAAGGAAGAUUCAAACUUGAGACUUUCUAACUCUAAUAUUGGUGUUGGGUUGUCUUAGGUUUCUCUUACUCAAGCUAGCUUAAAUGUGAAACUUUUCUUCACACUUAUAAUGAUCACAAGAUAAAAUCCGACAAUCUCCUCCGGGUUGGAGCAAGAACAACUCAUAUCUCUCCUAUGUGACUGUUGGGUCCAAACUUAUUGACAAUUUGGGCUCUGAUACCAUGAAUUCGAUGAUGACAUGUCUAGAUAUAAAUAGGUGGGUAUAUGCUAGAAGUGUAAGAGAUAAAUACAUCCUAAACUUAUCUUCUAUAACUAGUUGACAGUUCACAUCACAUAUUUAUUGAGCACCUAGUGACCGUGAGGGGCAAGGUUGACCUCACCGGCCAUUGCCUCUAGCCUGUGACCAAGAUCCAGCGAUUGGUUAGAGGAAGAAGGGAAGGGAAAAAAAAGAAGAGAAAAUAAUAAAUAUUUUUUUAAUUAUUUAAAUAUUAUUUAAAAAGGUCAACAUCAGAGCUGGUUGCUCCACAUAAGAUGACUGACAACACAUGUCAGUGAUUUCUAACCUAAAUUUAUCGAAUAUACUAAAAUGGCACAAUGCAAAAGAUUUAUUACUCAAAUGGCAAAAAUAGAAAAAGGAUUAAGAUUGAAUGCGCACAAUUGUUUUUUUUUUAUAUAAUUUUCUCCUAGGAUUGCUGUACCUUAGCGGGCGAUGAUACGAUGGGCUAAGGGGAUGUGUAUCAAACGAAAUAGAAGAGGUGAUUAAAAAAAAAAGGAAAUAGGGAAAAGAAAAGAGCCAAUAAAAGACCGGAUAACAUCUCACCUGUGCAAAUUUAAUUUGUCGAUAUUCCAUCCUCUAUUAAGUAGGAGUAAAUUAUAGACAGAAAUUUAUUGUCUUAAAUUCAAAAUGUAAAAUCACAUGAUUAAAGAUAAAUUUCGGGAUUAAUUGAGCUAAGCCUUUAAAAGAACAGGAAACAUUUGCUAUUGCAGAUUUGUCUCUCUGUAUACGUACCGUGGUAAAAUUUGCUGGUUAGAUAUUCCAGAUUUGCACCCUUUUCUACUGCUAGGAAAGUCGGAGAGUGUUCUAGUUCUGAUAACCAUGAAAAAUGAUUGAACUGGCUUAUUAAAUAGAGAUACUUAGCUCUUUGACCUUUCAUAAAAUGUUUAGUUUAGGAACCGGACGUCACGUGUUUAAAUCUCACCAAUUAUAUACGAAUUAUAAUUUGGGUCAGAGUCACUUCAUGAGUCAAAAGUUUGGACUUAAUUAAUUUUAUAGAUGUGCAUAGUAUUUUACAGACCUCCAAAUAAACGGGCCGUGGCCCUUGUGCCCCUAUCUUAUAAAAUAAGUGAAACAAGACGGUCUUAACUAACUUUGUACUACAAGAAGUGUCGUGUUUUUGGGGAUAAAUUGAUUGCACGAGAAACCAAACAAGUCGAGAUCAACUGUAUUAGACAUCAUAGAGAGUGAGAACAGCAAAAGACCAUGUUGCCCCUUGAAUUAUUUACGAGACAAGCUUCUCGAGAAUGCUUCAUAUACCAUGAUAGACAAUUGCUGUAAUUUUAAAUAUCCUCGCGUGCGUAACAUAAUCAUCGCUUUAUAAACCUGAGCAACAUAAUCCUCAAACCUAAAUUCUAUAGUCUUGAUUAGGGGUGAGCAUGGUUUCAAAAUAAAAUUGGAAACUUGAGUAUAGGAUCGGUGAUAACCGUUUUAGUUCCAAGUUCUAGAACGUGUAGGGUAGGUUUUAGAUUACAAAAAUUGGAAAACGUAUUCCAACAAUUAGGUUCUUGAUUUGAAGCUUAGAACUUGAAACAAGUCUUUGUGUUUUUCUUGGUCUAUGUCUUCGAGCUAUUUUGCGGCAUUCAAUGACAUUUAAUGAUAAGUGUGUAAUCUGAAGCCACCAGUCUAAACUUCCAUUAUGGGUUAUAACUAUGACUAAGAUUUUUACUUUGUUAAUAUUUCAAAAUCUUUGUAUGUCUAAAUAUGAAUUGUGAUCAAUGAAUUAUAGCAAGUGAUGAUCAUUAGAAGUGACGAUUCACUAUAAUUAUUUAAUGAAGAGUAUAAGUAGAACCGGGUAGAUCUUGGAACUUAUGACAUCAUAGUUUCCAAGGUCCCGAAUAUGUGGAUAGGUUUUAGAUUUCAAAAAUUAGGAAACAUGUUCCAAUUGAUGGAUUUUAGGUUUCAAGUCGAAUAUAGACGAAACCUGAAACCAUUCAUCUCUAAUCUUGAAAUUGAAGUUGAGCACCAAUACCUAGGUGACAAUACUUUUGUAUCAGUUGCUUGGCAGGAUAAGAGAGCAUUCCAUUGCAUGCUCCAUGGCCGUAGCAGGUUGGAGUCAAGAAAUCAUCCCGCUCAUUCUAAUAAUUGAAGCCGGAGUUCGAUGUAUUAUUGACCAUAUCUUGAAGGAGAUCAGUGACGGCGUCUUUGUACGCUCAGGUUGCACCCGCGUCUUCAAUGCAGAUUUUUUGUACCAAUGUUUCAUCAGGAGCAUCUUUUAUAACGUUAAAUGAACGAAACAGUGCAAUUGGUGUAGCUGCAAUUUUGUGGAAUGGAGCCAUGGGUCUCUUACCUCGUUCUCUUGACAAUACUCAUCCUAUACUGCCCCUCAAAUUGAGGGUCGUAUCCAAGGAAAAUAAGCUUCUCGUAGGUUUCUCCACUCUUUAAAUUUUUUUUUCUGCGAUUUGUUUGGUGAACAAGUUUACUCCUAGAAGUUACCAACAGUCAAGAAUGUAAUAAAUAGUUGAGUUCUUGUUUUAGCAGUAGUUUAGAACCUUUGCCUCAUCAAUUUGGGAAGCCAUCGUCAUCUUAUUUAAGCUCCGUUUAUUUGAUGAAAUAUAUUUUUCUCAUUUUGUAACAUUUGGAUAGUUUAGGAAAAUGAGCUAAUGAGAAAAAAAUUUCCCUAUUCAAUAGAAAAACUAUGUUUAAAUUUAGGAAUGAUUUACCUUAAAAAAAAAAUCAUUUUUCAAAAUAUUAUUAGAAACUCUAUGUUCAAGAAUAGGAACCCUAAAGCUUGUUCUUGAGCCCUUGGCUGCGGACCUAAGUCUAAACCUGGGGCCGAGUCCACCAAAGUCCAUCAAGGCCAAGCUCGGGACGAAAGACACUAGAUUUGAAACCUUGAUGCUCGAGCCCGAGUUCCAUAGAGGUUAAGUUUGAGACACCAGCCCUAGUAGUUGAGCCUAGGGAUCCAAUACCAUUGCUUAGCUCCCUAGCACCCCAACUCAAGUCCACGAAGGUCGAGCCCAUAAAUACAUUUUGAAUACAAUUGAUUUUUUUUUUUUUACUGACAAAAAGCCGUGGUGAAAAAUAUGAACCCUAAAGCUCGAGUCCAUCGAGGUUGGGCCAGGACUUCAAUGCCUAUGCUCGGAUCCUUGAUACCCAUGCUCAAUUCCAUAGACCCAAGCAUGAGACCUUGAAGCUUGUCCUAUAGUCCCCGACACUUGGGUCCAUUGAGACCGAUCACAAGCUCAAUGCCUAUGCUUAUGCUCGGGAACCAAGUAUCCAUGCCCAAGUCAGGGUCCAUUGAGGCCCUAGUGCUUGUACUCAAUUUCCCAACCACCCAUGGGCAAGCCACUAACACCUUAAUGAGAUAUGUCUAUUAACUAAACAAUAGAAAAUAUUUUUCAAUUCACUUUUCAGAUUGCAGCCAAAUAUCAGAAAAAUUUUGUCAUUUUUCAGGAAACAUUUUCUAAAAAUGUCAGAUUUUUUUCGUGAAACAAACUUAGUGUUGAUAGUGAGUAUGUUUUCUGCCGUCCUCUUAGCACAUUUUGUUUCGAAUUGUGACUUCUUCUUAAUCAGCCUCUUCCAAAGAUAUACUAGAAUUGUUAGUCAUAUGUCCUUAGCAUUUUUCCUUCAUUUUGGGCGAGUGUAUUUACAAGAUGCAUAUUUGCAUGCUAUGUUUCUCCUCGACUUUCCCUUCAAAAGGUUCUUUGCAAAAGCCGCUUAACUCCAAGCUCCAUUUUCAUUCAAAAACUCAUUAAUAGUUGACAGCAAAAUACACUUUUGUAUUCCUAUGCUUGAUGGGAAGACUUUUGCACGAGUGACCCAAAUCUUUGCUGGCGAUAACAUCGUUUUACUCCUAUUUUGAUGGGUACAUGUACUUAAAAAAAAAAAAAAUUAUAAGCAGCAUACAAGAGGUUAGCGGUGACCUCCUACGUCUUACGCGGUUCCUUACCAACUUAAAAUAGGUUAGGGACAACUCUAUGUUAUUACUAACAAAUAAGAAUUGAGAAUCAGUGUUGUGAUCGGUAAUUUGGGAGAGUCCAUGCAAAGAGCAAAGCCACCUCGUGUGAGAGGAUUAUCCGAGCUCGCAUAACAAUCCGAUGAUCUGCUCAAGGUCCUCUUCUAGAGGAUCGUGACACACGCAUAGCAUGUUUGCUCACUCAAACAACUACAAUUGGACCAAUAUGUUUUUCAAAUUCAACAGGGUAAAAAUAACAGGAGCGCCAUAACUUUCAUUAUGAUGCAUAAGUGAGUGAUAAUGUGAGCGCUGUAUGAAAUUUAUGACAUUUUUAGUGUACUUACCCUCAUAUCAAACAAAAGUAUCUCCAUUGGAGUGCCUAGCUAGCUGGUACGUAUCAGGGAAAUAUCCUCACCAUCUACAAUGUUAUCCACUCAAAUGUUUAGUUUAGCCAUGGAAUCAGAGCUAAAGACAAAGGCUAGAGAUCCCACAAGAAUAUGACUUGGAUUUGAUUUGUUAGUAUUUGAAGGGGUGUCUAAAUAACUUGGCACUUUUUAUUUUUUGCUUAAUUUAAAUCUCGAGAUAGGACGUACUUCAGCUUUUUCUUGGUUCAUAACUCCCCAAACUUUCACGACAUACCAAUUUUGACACGUGGGAUUUUACAGGAUUUUUUUUAAAAUUAAGGUGACAUUUUAUAAUUUGGCCAGAAAACAAAAUUUUAUUUUUAUUUUUGCUGAAGCAUAGACAUAGAUGUCCAGAUUAUUGAGCCGUAACAACUUAGAGGCAGUUUAUUUACUAUUACAUCCUUUAGAUUAUUAUGGAUAAAAUCAAUUAUCUGAAAUGUGAUUAAGAUUUUCUCUAGGUUUUCAACGUUUUUCAACUAUUAAUUUUUUUUUAGUAGAUAAACGUCGUCUUUAGAAAAACUAAAAAGCAAGUUAAAUGAUCUUAUUAUUGUUCAUAGAAAAAAUUAAAAAAGCACGAGUCCAAACGGCACUUUAUUUGUGCACUAUAAAAAUGUCAUUGACAAUAAUGAUAACAGUUGAAGUUGAUUUGCUCAGUACUUAAAAUUCUUUUAUAAUCACUUACAUGUGUCUCUAUCUUGUUCAAACACAUGGUACUAUGUUGUCUUAUCUGGAUUUAUUCACCAAAUGACACAUGAGGCUCAUGGGAAUUCACAUGGACCUCAAAUAAUUGAAAAUUGCAAGAUAGUGCAGUCAUUCACCUAUGCUAUAUUCACAACAUAUUGAUAAAAACCCAUGUCAAUUUACCACAAAUUAUGAUAAGUCUAUAAAUUUUGAUGUAAAUGUGACACGGAUGUGCCGAUUUAGGGUAAAUAUUGUAGGAUGUAGAAGUUUGGGAUUUUUAUAACAUAAAAAUUAAUUUGAGAUAAAUGAAAUAUAAAUGCACUAGUUUGGAUUAAAAUGGUAUGAAUAUACUAGUUUGUGAUUUUUGGGUAAAUAUAGCAUACAUGUACCAAUUUGAGGUUUUUGACGGCAUUAAUCGUAAUAAUAAUAAGCAUCAGCUGGUGCUAGGCUUUUCUUUAAUGCUACCACCAAAUUUUUUUAAUAGUUUCCAUAUAAAUAUUCUAUAUAUAUUUAUUACAACCCAAAAUGAAGUAAAAAAAAAAGUCAUCGCCAAGUGUAGUGCAAUGUUAGUGCAAAAAAAAAAUCAAAUAUUGUAAUUAAAUUAAUGUGAAAUCAAUAGAGAAAUAAAAAAAUAAAUAAUAAAGAACACUGAAGAUUUACUUAAUUCCAUCCAAUUGUCAAUCCAUACUCCACAAGGAGAGUUAUGAGCAAAUAAUUCAGUAAUAAUCGAAAAAUUAAAGUUAUAAUCGGUCAUACACUUGGUGCUUUCCUCACCAACAUUAAACCUAAAAAUGCGAUAUUUACAAAUAAAUAAAUUAACUAGUUGUGAUGAUCAAAGCACAAGUCAUCGCGCCCGGCUAAAAUCAAGCUCCGAACGCUUGGCCCUAGUUUCGCCCUUUUGCGGCUUUCUCUCUUCCUAAGGGGUCUCUUUUUCUUGUACGGAUCUUUUCCCUACGCUUUUCACGGUCAGAAAUGGGCAACAAUAAAUGAUGAAGAACUAGACCUACUAUUAGCGAAAACAUAGAACCACCGACCAACAAGAAAACAAACCUAAUUCGACUUAAGGGCAUGAUAAAUGAUGAAGAACUAGACCUACUUUUAAUGAAAAUAUAGAACCACCGACCAACAGGAAAACAAACCUAAUUCGACUAAAGGGCAUGAUAAAUGAUGAACUAGACCUACUUUUAGCGAAAACAUAGAACCACCGACCAACAGGAAAACAAACCUAAUUCGACUAAAGGGUAUCCCGGAUUCUGACAAAUCAAAAUAUUUCAGCUAACUCGGAUCCCAUACAUGAGUCAAACUCAAUACAUAAUUUAAUAAAAUAGAUAUACCAAGAAAGAAUGUUGCUCAUCAAAAUAACUGCAAUAAGAAGAGCUCGAUGUGUGAUCAGUCAUGUCUUGGAGAAGAUCAUUGAUGCCUCGACCCCCAUUCUUCUAUAUUAGCCUUCUUUCCCUUUGCUACUCUUUCUUUAUUAUGCUCACAAUACAAGAGCCUUAGAUGCACAUACAAAAGACCUCUAGUUAUAUUGGUUUCCUUUGCUCAUACAAAAAGAAAAUGUCGUUCUCUCCUCAUUAGAUAAAGACGCUAGAGUUUAGUCUUAACCUAAAUCGUGGAAAUAUGUAACUGGUAAAAUAGGUGCUCGAAAGAUCUUGAUUUAUAUGAAAUUUUGUGAUAUCACUUUCGAUUGUUCUAAAAAUUUAACUUAUUAAUGUCGUGACCUAAAUUUCGGGUGUACUACCUAAAACUAGGUUAAUGGACUACUAAGUUUUCAACUUAGCUCGGGCUCUCCCAAGCCCAUACUAAUUCGCGACUUAAGGUUCAAGUAUUUAACAUGCAAAUGAUUAAUAUCUAGGAGUCGCCACUAAUCAGUUCACAGUAGGUCGAUUAGACACCUAAGUAAAAUAAUGGGAGAUUUAUUUUACUCCUACGAACCAGAGACUAAGGGUAUAGGGACUUGGUUACACUAGAUUACUCUAAUGCCCUUUCGGUACUAUUUCUUUUUUAAUUUUCAAAAACGUUUUUUGGAGGCAGCUGAUUUAUUUUAACAUAAAUUACUAUCAUGCAAAUGUGGUGACCACACGGGUGCUCAUCCAUUAUUAAAACAUUCAAAUAGGAAUAAUAAAUAAAUAAAUUGCAUCACAUGAAGCAAGCAAUCAUUUUUUGGGUUUUCUUAAAAAUUAGAAUUCUUUUUAGAAAAAUGCAUUUUAAAACUAAAUGACUUAAUCUUAUUAAUAUGCAAAUCCUAAUUAAAUGGGUCUAUUAUGCAAACUAAUUAACAUGCACCUCAUGACCUAAUUUCACUAAUAAAAAAAUUCUGAUUAAAUGAUCCUAUUAUGCGAACUAGUUAACAUGCACCUAGUAUUUUUGUAUUUUUUUUAUUGAAACUUUAGAAUUUAUGAAAUCCCUACUUAAUCUAUCUAAAAAGGGAUAAUUUUCUAAUUUAUUCUAAGGAUUAAUUUAACUUAAACCCUAUCCUAUCUUAGAAAACUAUUUAUUGAAAAAUGAGAUAAUUAAAAUGUGCGAACACUAUCUAAAACCCUAAAGAAUUUACUUAGGUUCAACCCUAACUUAUUUCUAAAAAUGCAAUCCUAAAAAUGUAAUCCUAAGAAAAAUCUAAGUUAUUAAACCUACAUGUUUGAUUUACUAAACCUAUAUGCUCAUGCAGAAUUUUGAUUUUUGAUUUUAUGAAUUUUUUUAGUUUUUUUUAAAAGAUAAGUAAUUAUUAAAUAAAUAUUAAAUCUAAGCUAUGAACAAAAUAAAGGAUUAAAAUAAUUGAAAAAAUAACAUGUUGUCUCACAGGUCAAAUCAACUCACAAGUCAAAUUAACGAUUAUCCUAACUCUAAUUAUCACGACAAAGAGAUCAAAAUAAUUAAAAAUCUGAUCCGAAGUCUUACGGAUCAAAUUAAUAAUUAUAAUGAUUUAAAAAUUUAAAUUCUACCAAAAAUAGCCCAAAAUUAAUAUAAUUAAAAAAUAAUCCGAUCUCUCGGAUUAAAUUAAUUAUUACAAUAAUUCUAGACAAAAUCCUAGCGGAUAAUGCCUACAAACUGCACAAAUAUUAACAUUCAAUAUUACAAUUUAAGCCAUUACAACUAAACAUGAUAAAUAAAAUAAUAAUAAUAAACUACCUUGAUUUUUUUUUUUUAAAUAAAAAAGGGGCCGGAGCACGGGCGAUUUGGGCAGUGACGAUGCUGGUGCUCGGAGGUGAGGCAGGUGCCACGGACGGGCGGAGGCGCGGCUUGCUGAACGGCGAGGGUGCGGGAUCGCGGCGGGUGAGGAGCGGACGCACGGCGAUGAGCGGCGCGGAGGCAACGCGGGCUGCUGGCGCGGCAGCGUCGGGCUCCGAGGUCAGGUGCGGGGGCGACGCGGGCAGCGGCACUGCGGAGACGAGCUGCUGAGGCGGAAGGGUUCAGUCAGGUGAGUAGCAGUCGGCGGUGGUGCGGGCUGCUGAGCUGUAGCGACGGAGUCAAGCUCUGGCGCAGGGACAGCGGGUUGCUGGUGUCGGAUGAACAGAGGCGCGCAGUGACGGGCGCUGCAGAUCGCGGAUGAAGCGUGGCGACGCGGGGCCUGGUGAAGCGGCAGCGGCGCUCGUGGAGUCGGUGCGACGCGAGCGCGGGUAGGGGCGUCCACGCGAAGAAGACGAACAGUUGCUGCUGCUUUUUCUUAUUUUUUCUUUUUUUCUCUGGCCACACGUCACUUCUCUGCACUUUUUCUCUUUCUUUUGCUGACUUUUCCCCUUCUUUUCUUCUGCAGGUUGUCAGAAGGGAAAAAAAGAAAAAGACCCUUGGAUGAGAAAAUGGGGUUUCCUCUCUUUUAUUUAUUUUUUCUCACUUUCACGAAUUCUCAGCUCUUUUCACGAAAAUUUUUUAGCCGAUUCUUCCCCCUCAAACCUUGUGCAGGUCAACUCCUUUUAAUAAUGAUUCCGCACGACCACUUUCUAUGGUAAAUUUCAAACUUUCAUCUUCUGUUACAUUAAAUUAAAUAUGCAAAUUGGAUCAUGAUUUUGCAAUUAGCUUGAUUUUACACCGAUUCCUUCCAUUUUAUCAAAAUCCUUAAUCUUUGUUCAUUUGAUUUUAAAAUUGUUACUGCAUUUAACAAAAUCCGGACAUUCAUCAGAAUUCCAUAUUUCCUUGCAUACUUACAUCAAAUCAAUUUCCCCCAUUUUCAUUUUUUUAUUUGUUCAAAAUGCAAUUUUAUUUUUCCAAAAUUAGGUGUCAACAAUUAAAUAAAUGUACGAUUUAUUAUCUAAAUAUUUCAGUAAAUUAAUGUCCAUUGGACCACACUUUCCGCUCAUUUCCAUCUGGCAGUUUCUGAUUUGGUGGUUUUCUCGGAUUUUUUCACCAAGUCGCGAUCCCAAAGUCCACACAAGUCAAUGUCUGGACUCCAUGCCUAGCAACGAAAGCUGUUGGACAGCUCCAAAUGGGGCCUCCAUGCACCGAAACAUCAGGACCGCACCCGUGACCACAAGCGUCUCGUCAUCAUUUAACGUUGUCUGUUCUCGUAUCGAUUGCGACUUCGUGAAAUUUCCAAGAAACGGGGAAGCGUGACUCUCGUUUCCGAGAUAUUUUUACGCGGUUUUAUUAUCCGUGCAAAGAGAGGCAAGGGUUGGAGCGCUCUAUAAAACCACUGGAGAACUCGUAUUCAUUAUCCUCGUUUCUACACAUAUCUCGAGAGGCAAUCCAAGCAUGAAGGUGGAAAUACAGUGGAAGAAGCUGGUCAAGCCGUCAGUGCUGACACCGAGCGACCAGCGAAAAUAGAUGAGCUUCAGAUGCCAAAUUAUGUGGGCGUUAUCUUCUACUAUAGAGAUAAUGCCGGGAACCCCAAAGUCGAUAUCUCUCAAAGGCUUCACCAGAUGGAGGAGUCACUUUCCAAAACACUAACCCUCUUUUAUCCUAUGGCAGGGAGAUACAUCGAGGACGACGAUGGUUGUUUUAUCGAUUGUAACGACCUUGGAGUGGAGUUCGUCCAUGCCAAAGUGGAUGGCCAGAUUGAUUAGCUUCUCCAUAGAGACCCCGACAUGGAUUUGCUCGAAUAUUUGUCGCAAUUCCCGAACAACCUAGUAGGCAAUCCACUAGUGGUGAUUCAAGUGAAUACGUUCGAGUGCGGCGGAAUAGCAAUUGGCUUGCGCUCUACACACAGGAUCAGCGACGUGUGCACCAUAGCCAUAUUCAUUAAUUCGUGGGCCACCGCUUGCCGAGGUAAUGUAGAUGUUACAGUCUGUCCAAGUUUCGAGUUGUCGUCUCUAUUCCCAAUGAAAGUGUCGGCCGUUGCGAAUUGGCCUCCGCCACGGAGUACUGGCAGCAAGGAAUUCACGGUGUCUAGGUUCAGGUUCAGCGGUGAUGCUAUAUCGAAGCUGAGAGCCCUAGCAAGGGAUGAUGCAAAGGAUUCAAUGCCCAACAACUUCCAGCCUUCGAGGGUGGAGGUUGUUUCGGCACUAAUAAGUAAGGCUCUCGUCAAGAUUGAUCGAUGUGGACAGGGCGAUGAAAGGCCUAUCGCAGUUUAUAUGACGUUUAACUUGCGCGAUAAAGUCAAACUAAAGAUACCCGCAAAUUCUUGUGGCAAUUUCUUCAGCGUGAUUUCUGGGCGCUCCGAUCAACCCGCGGCCAGCAAAAGGAAUCCGGAGUUCAAUGAGAUGGUGAAUAUAAUCCACAAUAUAAUAUCGGACGCUAAAACGAAAUAUGCAACAAUAGUAAACAAGCAGGAGUUCUGCUCGACGGUGGGGAAUUCUAUAGCCGAAUUUGUCAAAGUCGCGUCCUCAAACGAAGUGCAUACGAUAUUUUUUAGUAGAUGGUGCCGUUUCGGGCUAUUUGAGAUUGACUUCGGGUGGGGAAGGCCGGUUCUCGUCAGCAACAUAUCAUUGAAUCUCAGAUCGUCCUUUCUUAUCGACGAUGAAGAGGGCAAAGGAAUUGAUGCAUGGACAACCACCACUGGAGAUGUAAUGAUUCUUCUUAAACAAGAUCCGGAUAUACUGGCAUUCACUUCCAAGUUGGAGGUGGAGAGGUUGCACGAAUAUGUAAUCUGAGAAGUCAUUGUAUCUUACUAUAAUGUAGAGCAGGAAAAAGAAAAUGGACUUGGUCUGUAGUAUUUGUUACAUCUAUUUCAUUUCUUUAAGAAGGAUGGUUCUUGUGGACAAUGUUAAUCAACUUAUUGAAUACCUUAGAGCGAACUCCUCUAUCGUGUUCGAUUUCCUCAGGCUGACCUGUCACACCCCAAAUCUCGAGCAUGCGUAUAUCCAUCGGUGGUCGAUAAAAUUGUGACGUCCCAAGACGCGUCGCCAACCCGUUAAUUUUAAGGCACAUGUGGAAGCAAAAUAAAAACCCCUAACAGUAAACAGUAUGAGAUAAAAAAAACAGGACAACAAAUUCACAAACAAAACACAUUUUUAUAAACAAACUAGUCUAUUUAUGAAAAGAUCGGCUCUCCAAAAGAACUUAUCCUACAACCCACUAAUCGGACAUAUUCGCCGAUCCUUCGGACUCCACUUCAAUAGGCUCUGGGGGCUUCGGGUCCUCCACAACCCCAUCAAGAGGGUCAGCUGCACCCUCACCCAGAGCGGCGUUGACCGCAAUAGCGGAGAUAUCAAAACCCUGAAGGGGACCAUCCCAUUAUCCAUUGAACCCAUGGCGAAAUCAUGCCCUAAAUUGAUGAGGUACCCUCUGAGGUAGGCCCUCAUCGACCUAGAUAGUGGUCACUACGAGCUCAUAGACCCAAUGACUUCCGGGGACAAGGACAUCCGUGCUCCACUCAGUAACCCCUCAAGGCUGACCAAAACGAACUGGAGGUACCGCCAUCUAAGGACCUAAAAAUGUUAAGCCCAUGAUGGGGUGAGACAAUAUCUUAGUAAGUUUACUCCCUAAACCCCUAUUUAGGAAGAAAAUACGCAUAGAGGUAAUCUAACCACACAUCACAUAAGACUUACCUUGCCUCAGUUCAUUCCUGUACAUCAGUACAAUUCAUAUCGCAUAUAAUUGCAUUAAAAGCACUCAUCAAUCGGGACGUCUGAACUUAUAACCCAAACGAUUACAUGGGUUCUGAUUAUAAGGCCAAAUCGUUAUUACCCGUCACAUUCCGUGCCACACAAUUUUCUCCUAUAAUCAGGCGUGUCAAUUCAAUCAAUCAUGCGUCCUAAUUGAUUACGACCCAAUGGCCACGAUAAAAUCAACAGUCAGCGGUCUUCCGGUGUAGCUGGGCAUCGUCUCGCACCAUUGAGCACGGCAACGUCUAUACAUAGACGGCAUUUCAUUAGGAAGCAUCGGUCCAGCCUCCAUUACGACUGACAUUUGUUGACUUGGGGCAUCCCAUGUACAGCAUCGUCCGGCUUAACAGCUUGUGACGGAUUUUCAUAGCCAUCACACGAUCAUUCAACCUUGGGCAAGGACAUCAUGCAUUGCACUCAAAUGUCUCAAUUAAAAUAUUGAAUUUGGCAUAUUUUCUUCAUAUUAAAAACACUCAGUAAAAAUAACCGUGUGUGGGUACAUGGUUAGAUCGAACUAAAAAAAUUGAUAUUCUUCCUUUUAAAAUCUCACUAUUUAAUAUAGUAUUUAAAAGCAUUUUCGGUGUCAAAACCCGACACCCGGUAUUUUCUAAUUAAAUACCAAAAUUUCACAAUUUUGAAAUAAUAACUCAAAAUCACAAUCAUCACUCAAAUUGUACAAAUUAACAUUCAAUUGCAUAAACUAAACACACCAUUGCAAUCAGCACGAAAUUCCGGUCACUGACUAUCCUAGUAUAAUUUUAAAAAAAUAUUAAAUAAUUAAAUAAAUAACAAAAAUAAUUAAAUAAAUGCAAUUUAACCAAAUAAAUACAAACCCAGGCCGGAAACACUAAUUUAACCACCUAACCGGGCCUAAAAAAUUAAUGCACCUAUCCACAUAAAUAUUACAAUCUAUUUAGCUCUUAAUCAAUCUAUUCUAACAACCUAACAAUCAUAAUUAAGCAAUUAAAUCACUAAUCCAAACUAACUAAUCACCUAAAUCAUACUUAGCCUAAUCUAAUUACCUACUAAACGUCAUUAACUCCAUAAACAGAGUUUAGCAAGUAAACUCAUUGGAUUAGCGAACCGGUGAGUCCACGGCGACGGCGACAUAGAGGCGAGGGGAACAUGAGCUUGCGGCGACACCAAGCGAGGCCCAGAAGAGACCUAAAACGGGCCACGAAGCCCGACAACCCUUGUUGCCUUCGAUUUUUCCAAGGACCGAAGGGGCUGGGCUAAGCGGCGGGUUGGCUGGAAACAGCCACAAGGGCGGCAAAUGGCAGCAACGAGACAAGGUGGUGGCUCCGGCGGCUUGGAUGGCUUGGACAGCAACCAUGGCGAGCUCGAGGACUUGUGAGCAAACGCGAGAUAACGGCCUAGGCUCGCGGGGGAUGGCGAGCAGGCGUGGGACGAGUCGGAUGUGAGCGGGAGGCUGGCAACGGCUUGGGAGGAUGACUGCUGCUUGGACAAGCGGCACGGGUGGUUGAUGGCGUGAGGUCCUGAUUUCUCUGGUUUUCUUGAGCUCACAACACUUCAACAAUGGAGAAAGGGGCAACAAGGAGGAGGAAGAAGAGAGCUCAGCUGAAAGGGUGCCUAAAAUGCCUUUAAAGUCUCUUCAAAAUUUCCAAACACUCAUCACAUGCUCAGCCAUUAGCCACUCCAAAGCUUCUCCAAGAACUAUCCCAAGGUGGCUGAAAUGUUGUUCCCUCCUUGGCCUAAGAAUUUUGUAACAUUUCUCCUCAAAUUUCAUUCAAUUCCUCUCCAAAAUAACCCAAUUGAUGCCCCAAAAAUUCAGCCAAGGUGUCCACACUUAAUUCCGCACUUUUCCUUGCUAAAUAAUCCAACUUGAUGGCCAAAUGUGCAACAAAAAACGGUCUUCAAAUUUUCCCGGUCAAAAAUAGCCGUACUUAGAAUUUUUGUCGAAAACUCGAGUUUACAGAAAAAAAAUUUGGAGGAUGAGUCGACGUUCCUAAAAUAAAUUGUGACAUGACAAAACUUUCAAUUUCCGAAAUCGGGUUCAAUUUCACGGUUAAUUUCAAUUGGACGCGAAUUUAACGUGACCUAACCUACCGGGUAGCUUUUAGGAACUUUUAGCGCAUUUGACCCGUGGUCGAUUAUUUUCGAGCCACAUUGUACUUCUUCGACACAUUGACGACUUUCGGUUGUCGUGAAAAUCUCGAUGUUUUAAAUACGGACACAGGGUACAUAAAUGACAAAUAAAUCGGUCUAGUCCGUUCGAUGAGAAUUUUUCAAUUAGGUGAUAUCACCCACUCUUUAAUCACAUGCCUCUAUCGAAAUGACCUAUCUCUGGUCUCUGAUCGAUUGUGACAGUGCCGUAUUGACCCUUGCAGAUUAGCAUAGUCAAGCAGUCGAUUUCUGGUUGAAUUCUCAAGUCUAUUGUGUUUAAAUUCCUUAACGACUUCACCUGAUAAAUUAGUUAUCUCAUGAGUGAUCAGUUCAAAGAAAAAGACUAUAGGCGUGUCGAUGAAAAGCCCAACUCAUUUAAUUGAAAACAUAAUUAGAAAAUCUGGAUGUCACAACUCUUCCCCUCUUAUAAAAAUUUCAUCCUCAAAAUUUAAACUAUUAAAAAUCUUUAAACAAAAAGGUGGGGGUAUUGUCGUCUCAUCAAGUCUUCACUUUCCUAGGUUGCUCAUUUUGUCUCGAGGUGUUGCCAUACCACUUUGACUAAUGGGAUUAUCCUGGUGCAUAGAACCUACUCCUUCCAAUCCAUAAUCUGAACUGGUCUCUCCAUAGAUGACACUCUAUCGUCCACAUCUAACUCUUCAAAAUUCAGCAUGUGGGUCGAGUCAGGCUCGUACUUUCUCAACAUCGACACGUGGAAGACGUUGUGCACUUGUGCUAGUCUCGACGGCAACGCAAGACGAUAUGCUAGAGUCCCUAUCAUUUCCAGAAUUUCAAAGGGACCUACGUACCUCAGACUCAACUUCCCUUUCUUACCGAAGCGCGAAGUAUCCCUCAUCAGUGACACCUUCAAAAAGACGUGCUCACCAACUUAGAAUUCUAAAGGUCUUCGAGGCUUAUAUGCAUAGCUUUUCUAGUGACUCUGAGCGGUCUUUAACAUGUCCCUGAUAACUGCAACUACAUCCACUGAUUGCUGAACCAACUCUGGGCAUGUGAUCUUCUGUUCUCCAACUUAAUCCAACACACUGGCGUUUUGCACGCUCUGCCAUACAACGCUUCAAAAUGUACCAUACGAAUACUCUCCCGGUAGCUGUUGUUGUAGGCAAACUCGACGAGAUGAAGCUGUUCCUCCUAGCUUCCCUUGAAAUCCAACAUGCAAGCUCGCAGCAAGUCUUUGAGGGUUUGAAUUGUCCUCUCAGACUAACAUCUGUUUGAGGAUGAUAAGCCGUACUAUACUGCAGUUUCGUUCUUAAGGCAGUUUGCAAAUUUUUCCAAAAAAUAGCUAUAAAUCUUGGGUCUCUAUCAAAUGUAAUUGUCAUCUACACUCCAUGCAAACAAACAAUCUGACGCACGUACAAUUUUGCAUAUCUUACUAAAGCAAGGUCAUUCCAUAUGGCAAUAAAGUGAGCCGACUUCGUUAAUCUAUCGACCGCAACCCAAAUGAAUUCAUUACCUCUCUGACUCCUUGGUAAGCUCAUGACAAAGUGCAUUAUGAUGUAUUCCCAUUUCCACUCGGUAAUCUUGAGAGGUUACAAAAGUCCUCCCAACUUACAAUGUUGUGUCUUUACUUGCUGACACGUCAGACACUUGGCGACAUUCUUGGCGAUAUCCGCUUUCAUAUCGGUCCACCAAUAGUGUUGACAUAGAUUCUGAUACAUUUUCGUACUACCUCGAUGAAUGAUGUAACUAUUACGAUGAGUUUCUGACAAAAUCUCUUAAGCGCUACAUCGUUAGGGACACAAUCGUCCUUGGAACCUUAGUGUUCUGUCUUCAGAAAUUUGAAAGUCAACCUUUCUCUUUUCGGUAUCCUCUUGUAGGAUCUUCUUAAUCUCUGGGUCUGUCAACUGAAGUGUUUUGAUCAUUAUCUGCACUUACGGUUCAAUUCUAAGGAUGGCCAUAAGAUUUGAAAGGUGGCCUACCUCAAAUUUGAAAACCGAAUCUCAAGCUCUUUCGAGUAAGACCCACGCUUUAAACAUCAUCUGCACAACUGAAGACUUCAAAUUCAACGCAUCUGCGACCUUAUUAGCCUUUCUAGGAUGAUACAAGAUGUCGCAAUCAUAGUCCUUGAGAAGUUCCAUCCGGCAACGCUAUCUCAUAUUCAACUCCUUCUAAGAGAAUAGGUACUUGAGACUUUGAUGGUUUGUAAAGAUCUGCAAUCUUUCUCCGCACAAAUAAUGUCUCAAAAUAUUUAGAGCAAAAAUAAUCGCUGCGAAUUCCAAGUCAUGCGUUGGAUAAUUCAGCUCAUCAGAUCUCAACUGACGGGACGCAUAUGCAACAGCUCUGCCAUGCUGCAUUAACACACAACUCAGUUCUCUAAACAACGUAUCAUUGUAGAUCUCGUACCCUCUAAGACCAGAUGGUAUGGUCAACACUAGUGCGGUAGUCAGCUUCUGUUUAAGCUCUUGGAAACUACACUUGCACUUAUCUAUCCACACAAAUUUCUCUUCCUUCUUCAGCAGUCAAGUCAAAGGCGAGGCUAACUCUGAAAAUCCUUCCAUGAACCGUUUGUAAGACCCUGCCAAUCCCAAAAAGCUUUUGAUCUCCGUCACUGUCGUCGGUCUUAGCCAGUUGAUAACUGUUUCGAUCUUGGUCGGGUCCACAGAGAUUCCUUCACUUGAAAUCACGUGACCUAGGAAUGCCACACUAGUCAACCAAAACUCGUACUUACUGAACUUGGCGUACAGUUCAUGAUUCCUUAGUGUUUGAAGCAUCAUCCUCAAAUGUCUUUCGUGCUCCUCAAGACUUCUCGAGUACACUAGGAUAUCAUCGAUGAAAACGAUCACAAACUGAUCCAAUACUGCUUGAACACCCUGUUCAUCAGAUCCAUAAAAGUGACUGGGACGUUCGUCAAACCAAACGGCAUUAUAGUGAACUUAUAAUUGCCGUAUCGCGUACGAAAUGCUGACUUCGGUAUGUCCUCAUUUUUUAUCCACAGUUGAUGAUAUCCUGUCCUCAAGUCGAUCUUAGAAAAUAUCGAUACUCCUUGCAGCUGAUCAAACAAGUCGUCGAUCCUUAGCAGCGAGUACUUGUUCUUAAUUGUCACCUAAUUGAGUUGACAAUAGUCAAUGCAUAGACACAAUGAACCAUCUUUCUUUUUCACAAAUAGAACCAGUGCUCCCUAAGAUGAUGCACUAGGGCGUAUGAAUCCCUUAUCUAACAACUCCUACAUCUGCACCUUCAGUUCUUUCAACUCUAAGAACGUCAUCCAGUAAGGAGCCUUAAAGAUUGGCUCUGUCCUAGGGAUCACGAACUCUAUCUCCCUUUCUAAAGACAGACCUGGUAAUUCCUUCGGAAACACAUUUGGAAACUCCUAAACCACUGCGAUAUCUUCAAUCUUUAAUCUUCAACUCCUUAACUGUCAUAUCCACGAUAGUCACCAAGUAACCUUAACAACCCCAAUCUAACAAAUGGGUUGUCUCAAGCGACGAGAUUAAAGUAAUCGAGGGUCCUCCUCAACUCUAAAUAAACUCGAAUUUCACCCGCUGACGGGUUAAACUGAAUUACUUUACGAUAGCAGUCCAUCUUAACUUGUUGCUUGGUGAGCUAGUCCAUGCAAAUUAUCACAUGAAAAUCAUACAUGGUUAAGACUAUCAAAUCUAUCCUCCCUUCUCGCUCACCAAUCACUAACUUGCAACCAAGACAGCCUACUGCAGCUAACACUUUAUCCUUUAAUGGUGUAGAUAUACUAACCACUGACUCUAACAUUUCAAGACUCAAUCCUACUAGCUUAACAAAUUGCUCAGCAAUACACAAAUGAGUUGUGCUAAGGUCAAAUAAAGCAUAAGCAGCAUGAUCAUUUAGCGAGAUUGUACUUGUGAUCACAUCAAGCGAGUCCUCUGGUGACGGUGUACACCUUGCCCUAAGUUGAAGGUUUGUUCUGUCUACCCUGCUAUGCAUUCUGCAACACAAAACCUUUAUUCUGACCCAUCAGCGGCAGUGGCAGCAACUACUGCGAUCCCAUCGGUUUGCAGGGAUAAUCUCUAACUCGGUGGCCCUAUUGUCCACACCCAUAGCAAGCACCCAUCCUAGAAUGGCACAGAGCCUAUCCAUGUCGCUUCCACAGAAGCGACAUACUCCACUAAGGCUUAGCGCUGACUUACCUAUCCCACAUUUCCUAUUAGGUGGAAUAGAGUACCUUCCUCCGGUCAUGGGCUUCUUCCCAAACCAGUUUCCAUCUCUGUUCGAAUUGAAUCUCGACCCAGAAGUGGUUACUUGCUCAAUCAGGUUCAUCUCUAUUAAUUGGGCCCAACCAUAUAGCUCGUUGUAAUCUUUUAGGUUGAAUGGCACUAGCGGUUUCUUCAACUCCAGCCGGAGGCAUUCCUGAACCUCUUAACUCUAUCAAUUGGAUCCUCUAUCAACCUUGGGGCGUACUGCGAUAGCUCUGCAAACUUGGCCUCGUAUUGGUCCACAUUCAUUGAACCCUGAUGAAGGCACUGAAAUUCCUCCAUCUUUUGUUCCCUUGCACUAUCAGAGAAGUACUUGCCAUUGAACACUGCAACGAAGGCGUUCCACUCCAAAACCACACCAUCUGGGAACACUACUCCUCCGGUGGCCAUCCACUAAGUGCUUGCGUUACCUUGAUGCUAAUAGACUGCAAGGAUGACCUUCUCUUCCCUUGUGCACCUCAAUAGUGCAAAGGGCUUUUCCAAGUCCUAAAUCUAGAGGGCUGCAGCCUUGGGAUCUUUAACACUUGUGAACCUCGGCAAGUUCAGCUUUAGGAACUGCUCUAUGAGCUUAUUCAUUGCCCUCUCAACAACCACGUUCCUAAGUUGAACUUUGGCAAGUGCGGUAGCAACGGCAUCAGCAGCGGUGGCANNNNNNNNNNNNNNNNNNNNNNNNNNNNNNNNNNNNNNNNNNNNNNNNNNNNNNNNNNNNNNNNNNNNNNNNNNNNNNNNNNNNNNNNNNNNNNNNNNNNUGAUGGUGGUAAUGGCGAUGGCCUUGGUUCUGGCCCUGCUGCCCCAUCAAAGUUCCCAGCGUCUCAAGCGCUUGAAUGAUCCCAUCAAUUCUAGGAUCACCAAAUGCUGCUACCCCAGAACUGAUCGGCGGUGGCGCUAAACCAUUUGCCUUGGUAUGAGCCUGUACUCUACCUCUACUACCACGGGUAUCGACCUUAGUCAGCAUCCUACCCCGAGUCACAACUCCUAUAGUCAUCUUUCUAGGCGUCCUCAGCUCUUGAUCACUCAUUAUGUAGACUUUCUACAUAACAUGUUCCUAAUUUCAUACAGAAUUAGAAACUGAGUGAUCCUUACAAAACAAUGUACCAAACAGCUAUUAAUCACAUGCAUCAAUAUAAAAUAAAGGUCGUUCCUACUAAUUAUCCCAUAACCCAUUGCACCUUAUCACUCUAACCGCUAACCAACUCUAAUACCACUUCGAACGAGGAUGUCACGCCCCAAACCUCUAGCGCACACACAUCCCUUAGUGGUCGAUAAAAUUGUGAUAUCCUAGGAUGUGUCGUGACCCGUUCAUUUUAAGGCACAUGCGGAAGCGAAAUAAAAACCCCCGACAACAAAUAUCAUGGGAUAGAAAAGUAGGACAACAAAUUCACAAACAAAACACACUUUUAUAAACAAACUAGUUUGUUGACAAAAAGAUCGGCUCUAAAAAGGAAGUUGUCCAAUGACCCACUAGUCGAACAUAUUCGCCGAUCCUUUGGACUCCACUUCAACAGGCUCCAGGGUCUUCGGGUCCUCUCAAGAGGAUUAGCUGCACCCUCGCUCAGAGCGGCAUUGACCGCAACGGCAAGGAUAUCAAAAUCCUGAAGGAGACCAUCCAUAUAUCCAUUGAUCCCAUGACGAAACCACGCCCUAAAUUGAUGAGGUACUCUCUGAGGUAGGCCCUCAUCAACCUAGAUAGUGGUCACUACAAGCUUAUAGACCUAGUGACUCCCGGGGGUAGGGACGUCUAUGCUCCACUCAGUAACCCCCUAAGGCUGACUAAAACAAAUUAGAGGUACCGCCAUCUAAGGACCUGAAAAGGUUAAGCCCACAACGGGGUGAGACAAUGUCUCACCAAGUUUACUCCCUAUACCCCGCUUUAGGAAAAAAUACGCCCAGAGGUAAUCUAACCACACAUCACAUAAUAUUUACCUCACCUCAAUUCCUUCCUAUACGUCAACACAGUUCAUAUCGCAUAUAAUUGCAUUAAAAGCACUCAUCAAUUGGGACGUCUCAACUUAUAACCAAACAAUUACAAGGGGUCUCGAUUAUAAGGCCAAAUCGUUAUGACACGUCCCAUUCCAUGCCACACAAUUUUGUUCCAUAAUCAUGUGCAUCAAUUCAAUCAAUCGUGCAUCCCAAUUGAUUAUGACCUAACAGCCACGGCCGACUCAAUAGUCAGUGGUCUUCCGGCGUAGCCGGGUAUCAUCUCGCACCAUCGAGCACGGCAACAUCUAUUCCUAAAUGGCAUUCCACUAGGGGGCAUUGGUCCAGUCUCCACUGUGACCGACAUCGGUUGACUCGGGGUAUCCCAUAUAGGAGCAUCAUCCGACUUAACAACUCGUGAUGAAUUCUCAUAGCCAUCUCAACCCGGCCAAGGACACCGUGCAUUGCACUCAAAUGUCUCAAUUAAAAUAGUGAACUUGGCCUAUUUUCUUCAUAUUAAAAACACUCAGUGAAAAUAAUCGUGUGUGGGUACACGGUUAGAUCGAAUCAAAAAAAUUGAUAUCAUUCCUUUUAAAAUCUCACUAUUUAAUAUAGUAUUUAUAUUCAUUUUCGAUGUCAAACUCGACACACGGUAUUUUCUAAUUAAAUACCAAAAUUUCACAAUUUUGAAAUAAUAACUCAAAAUCACAAUCAUCACUUAAGUUGCACAAAUUAAUAUUCAAUUGCAUAAACUAAGCACACUAUUGCAAUCAACACGAAAUUCCGGUCACCGGUUAUCCCGGUAUAAUUUCGGAAAAAUAUUAAAUAAUUAAAUAAAUAGAAAAAAUAAUUAAAUAAAUGCGAUUUAAUCCAAUAAAUACAAACCUAAGCCAGAAACACUAAUUUAACCACCUAAACGGGCCUAAAAAAUUAAUGCACCUAUCCAUAUAAAUAGUACAAUUUAUUUGGCCCUUAAUCAAUCUAUUAUAACCACCUAACAAUCAUGAUUAAGCAAUUAAAUCACUAAUGCAAACUAACUAACCAUAUAAACCAUACUUAACCUUAUCUAAUUACCUACUAAACAUCAUUAAACUCCUUAUGUAGAGCUUAGCAAGUAAACUCAUCGGAUUAGCGAAGCGAUGAGUCAACCGCGACGUCGAUGCCAAGGGAGGCAGAACACAAGCCUGCGGCGACACCAAAUGAGGCCUGAAAGAUACCUAAAAUGGGCCUUCAAUUCGGUCCAAGGACCAAAGGGGCUGGGUCGAGCGACGGCUUAGCUGGAAACAACCACAUGGGCAACGGACGGUAGUGGUGGGACAAGGCGGUGGCUUUGACGGCUUCGACGGUGACCAGGGCAAGCUCGAGGACCUGCGAGCAGACGCGAGACAGCGGCUUGGGCUUGCGGGGGACGGUGAGCAAGCGCGGGAUGAGUGGGACGCGAGCGAGAGGCUAGUGACGACUCAAGUGGAUGACUGCUGCUUGAACGGGCGGUACGGGCGGUCGACAACAUGAGGGGUUGGUUUCUUUGGUUUUCUUGAGCUCACAACACUUCAACAAUGGAGAAAAAUGGUAGCAAGGAGGAGGAAGAGAGAGGUCAGCAAAAGGGGGGCUCAAAAUGCCUCUAAAGUCUCCUCAAAAUAUCCAAACACUCAUCACCAAUGCCCCACCAUGCUCAGCCAUUAUCCACACCAAAACUUGUCCAAGAAGUCUCCCAAGGUGGCUGAAAUGUUUUUUUUUUUUUUUUUUUUGGUAAGGUCAAGGUGGCUAAAAUGUUGCUCUCCCCUUGGCUACCAAUUUUGUACAUUUCCCUCAAAUUUCAUUCAAUUCCUCUCCAAAAUAACCCAAUUGAUGCCCCAAAAAAUUCAGCCAAGGUGUCCACACUUAAUUCCACAAUUUUCCUUGCCAAAUAAUCCAACUUAACGGCCAAAUGUGCAACCAAAAACGGCCCUCAAAUUUUCCCGGUCCAAAAUAACCCUGCUUUGAAUUUUUUUUGAAAACUCGGGUUUGUAGAAAAUUUUCGGAGGAUAAGUCGACGUUCCUAAAAUAAAUUGGACAUGAUAGAACUUUCAAUUUCUGAAAUCGGGUUCAAUUUCACGGUUAAUUUCAACCGAACACAAUUUUAGCGUGACCUAAUCUACCGGAUAGCUUUUAGGAAUUUUUAGCACAUUUGACCCAUGGUCGAUUAUUUUCGAGCCACAUUGUACCUCUUCGACACAUUGACGAUUCUCGGUUGUCGUGAAAAUCUUGAGGUUUCAAAUACGGACAUAGGGUACAUAAAUGACAGAAAAAUUGAUCUAGCGCCGUUUAACAAGAAUUUUGCAAUUAAGUGGAAUCACCCACUCUUUAAUCACAUGCCUCUGUUAAGUUAACAUAUCUCCGAUCUCUAAUCGAUUUUAAUAGUGCCAUAUUGACCCUUGCAAAUUAACACGGUCGAGCAGCUGAUUUCUGGUCGAAUUGUCAAAUCUAUUGCAUUUAGAUUCUUUAACGGCUUUACCCGAUAGAUUAAUUAUCUCGUGAGUAAUCAACUCAAAAAAAAAAAAAAAAAGACUAUAGGCGCGUCGAUGAAAAGCUCAACUCAUUCAAUCGAAAAUAGAAUCAGAAAAUUAAGAUGUCACAUGACCCCCUCAAUCCAUCGUACAAGAGUGUGAUCCGAGAAAAAUGAUUAGGGUCAUAUUCUAUCCUUUCUACAAUGCCCAUAGGACUUAUUUGCUGUAAGUGCUAGCAAGACAUGUACGGGUGUAAUCUUUGUCAGUGGAUUGAAAGUUUCAUCAUUGUCCAAAACCAUAUCGCUGUGAGAACCCAAUUUGGAAUGCACAGAGAUCUAAACAAUUUGGAAUUCCAGCAAAUCACAAACUUCAACAAACAUGUAAUCUAGCCAUUUCAUGCAUCUACACAUCAAUUUCCAGCACUUUCAAGCCAUAUUCAACCUUGUUCAUCAUCAUUCAACAAAUUUCCAACAAGAUUGAACCUUACUCAUCCAUGAUCCAUCAUCACUAUCCUAAACAUUCAUUUAAGCAUGCUUUGAUCACAAUCAAGUUCAAUCCUGAACAUGAUUUUCUAACAUUCAUCGCUUGAAUCAACUGUGGUCAUCGAAGAUUGAACAGCAAAAUAGGCAAAAUGAGAUUUGUCGGAAGCUACCUAUGAAGCUCCUGCAUCACACUCUUACUAAAAUCAACGAAAUCAAUCAAUCAAAGCUUGUUCUAAAAAAACGUGUGGCUCAUCAUCAUGUUACACAAUAUAAACAAAUUGACAAAGCAGUGUCGAAAUUGACAUCAAAUAAGUUAUUGACAUGCUUAGCCAAAGAGGGGUUGAUUUUUCCUACGCAUGCAAUCUAUUGAAAAUUUAAUGAAAUUGAACUAAUUCUAGAACUAGUUUUCUAUUUGAUUUUUGAAAUGUCCUCACAUCCUAGUUCAGCAAUGAUCAUGAAUUGAUAUGAUCAACCUCGAGCGUCAUUGGAUGAUCCUCGGAGCAAACAACAAAAAAUUAGGAGAACCUAACUUGUGAAUGAAGGUAGGCUAGUAAUCAAGGAAAGUUAGCUUGAUCGGUGGGCUUGCAACAAGGAAUCAAGGUGGUGUCGACCACCAUGACGCUAUGGAAGAGCCAAGGGAGACCAUCACACAAGGACGUUAAGGCUAGAUGAUUAGAGUGAGGCUGACGACCAGUGAGAACAAGAGUGUCGCAACUUAAAUUUUGGAUGCACCACCUAAGUUUAGGCUAAUGAACUACUAAGUCUUUAAACUUAGCUCGGGCUCUCCCAAGACCAUACCAAUUCACGACUUAGGUUCAAAUAUUUAGCAUGCAAAAGAUUAUUAGCCAAGAGUCGCCACUAAUCAGUUUGCAGUUGGUCAAUUAGACACUUAAGUAAAAUAAUGGGAGAAUUAUUUUUACUCCUAUGAACCAGAGACUUUAGGUAUGGGGACUUGGUUACAGUAGAUUUUCUAAUGCCCUUUCGGUAUCAUUUCUUUUUAUUUUAAAAAAAAUGUUUUUGCAAGCAGUUUGGAUUGAUUUUAAAUCUAUUUCCCUAACAUAUGAGGUGAUCAUACGGGUGCGCAAACCACCAAUUUAACACCCAAGAAAACAAUGAAUAAAUUACGGAACUUACCUCGUAGCAACGAAAUCUUCUGCAUUGUUAGAUCAGAAUUCACAUCAACAACUUUAGAUAUGAUUUCUAAUUAACACGCAAUUUCUUUUUGUUUUUAUAUAAUUAAUGAGAAUAUGCUUUAUGCAAUGCAAUAUAACUAAAUGACCUAAUUCUAAUGACAGGCAAUUGCUAAUUAAAUGGACCUAGCAACAAUCACUAAAUGACAUAUAUUUCAUGAAUCUAAUUUUAUAUGACAUGCGUAUGACAUUUUUAUUUAUUUUUUCUUAAAAAAAAAGAAUGCAAUCUAUCCUAGAGAUUGAAACUAAUUUAUCCUAAGACAUUUUUUUUUUGUAUAUUUUUUUCAUGAAAUUCGAAAUUAGGAAAACUGUGAAAAUUGUCUAACUAAAUUAAGAUUCUAUUCAACUUGUAUUAAGGAUUAGAUCAAACUAAAUCCUAAUUUAAACCAAAAUAUUAUCUUAACUUAGCAAUCUCUAACCUAAGAUGCAAUCUAUCUAAAUCAAUCUAAACUGAAAAUGAAUUUUAUCCUAAUGUGGAAUGACAUGCAAAUGAUGCCCUAAUUCUACAUGACGUAUGCAUGAUGAUUUUUUUAUUUAAUUUUUUUUAUUAAUCUCGUAUUAAAAAAAUGUCAAAUAAUUAAACAUGCAAUUUAAGCUAAUGAAACAAAAAUCCAACAUCCUAGAUUUAUUUUUUUAUUUCGAAAAUUCAUGAUAAAUAAAAUGCUUAGUCUAAAUAUGGAAAUAACCCUAAAGCAUGCAAUAUUCUAACUCAAACAUAUUUCAAGAUAAAUAAAGCAAUCAAGACAAGAUAGACCAUUCAAAAUCAUCAAAGAUAUCACACACCAUUCAGAUUAAGGGAUGAUAUUUCACUAGUAAAAUCGAUAAAUUGAUCUUAAGCUUUAAAGAUCAAAAUAUCAAUUUUAUUCUUGCCUGAUUAAUUAUUUCAUCUAAAGCCAUAUGAAAUAAAAAAAACCCAGGCACAGUUAUGAAUUAGGCAAUAAAUCCUAAUUGGGAGAUAUGCCUAUCAUUCAAAUAUGCUUAAUGGAUAUUAGAUAAACAAAUUAGGGGAUAAAAUAUUCAAUGAAACCGAGUAAAGAGUAUUACCUAAUUGUGACAAUAACUUUCCAAAUUUGAGCGGGCAAUGGAUCACGAACGGUGACCAAUGGUGGUUUGCAAUGCUCGAUGGUACGAGCAAAGGCGUGCAGCGAGCGACACAGUGGGGCGAGUGAUUGGCAGCAACGAGGACGCCCACGAUGGAUCACAGUGGACCGCUCGUCUAAAGUCGAAGACGGCGUGGUGACUCCGCAGAGAGGAAGCNNNNNNNNNNNNNNNNNNNNNNNNNNNNNNNNNNNNNNNNNNNNNNNNNNNNNNNNNNNNNNNNNNNNNNNNNNNNNNNNNNNNNNNNNNNNNNNNNNNNGAUUUACACAUGCAUCACAAUUCAUGGUCAUACAUACAACAAUGUCUUAUCAUACAUACAACAAUGUAUAAUUAUUUAUUAAUAAAUUCAAUAGAAUUUAUGGCCAAUAAAAUAAUCCAUUUUAUUUUAUUAUUUUAUUAUUUAUUUAUUUAUAAUAAAUAAAUAUUAAAUUCAAUAUCCAUAAAUUCCCAAAAUUAUAAAAUUCAAGCAAUCAUUGAAAAAAGCAAUAGGAUGACAAUUUCAUGCAAAAUUCAUGGCCAAAUUGAAUUUCACACAAUUUCACGAUUUCUACAAAAUAGCACAUAAUAUGCGGAUAAUAACCAGAAUGCACAGUUUCCGAAUAAAUUCGAUUAAAAUAUCCAUACGGCCUCCAAAAAUUAUGAAAUUUUACAGAGUGAUAGCCAAGACAUUUUAGUACAACUUUCAUGAAGAACUCCAAGCCAUAUUCUUUUUAGAUUAUUUUAUACAACCUCACGAAGCUUCUGGAUCCAUUACCGCAUCGUCCAGUGAACACAUCUCCGAAAUAUUGAGAUUUAACCUACCUAUUCUCUUUCGUUUCCUCUGAAAUUUGGAUAUGUUAUACAUCAAGGUAUCCUCUACAAGUUUCAUGAAGAGAUCCAAGGUUGUAGCCUAUGCAUCGUCCAGUGAACAAACGACAGCGUACGGCAGACGGACACGGCGGACGAACGGCGGCUCCUCCUUGGCUCCGCCUCCUUCCUCUCUCGGCCUCUCCCUCUUUCUCUCGAAAUCUCUCUCUCUCUCGCACCCUCUCUCUCGGCCAAAAGAAAUCCGGCCACCUUCUCUCUCUCCUCUCCUCUUAUACCCCCUAGAGCCCAUCAUUGCUAAUGAUUACAUGCCACUUAAUUGGACCAAUGCAUGGCAUCCUAGUCUAGGCCAAUGCAUGAGGGCCUUGUGCCACUUGUCCAAUUGAAUUUUGAAUUUGGGCUUCUUGGGCUUGGGCCAUCUAUGGCCGGCGACUACUCCUCUCUUGGGCCUCUAUUGGGCCGGCUAGCUUGGCCCAUCAAGCUUAGGCCAAAUGGGUUUAAGGCCCAUUUGAAAAUUAACCCCCUUUUUCCCUUUUUUUUUUUUUUGAAUUCCUUUCUAUAAUUAUUUCCAAAUUCAAAUUUUAUCUUGGCCAAAGUCUUGGGGCAUCUUGGUUAUUGAAAUUUAAUUUAUAAGGCACAUGGCCAAGCAUAAAUUAUUAAUCUAUCGAAUUUUGAAUUUUCACAACCAUAAGCACAAAUCAUCUAAUUAAAAGACUAAUGGCUAAAACAUAAGCCAUGGAAAUUCUAUCAUCUAAUUAAAGACUUUAACACACCUUAUGGCUUGGCUUUGAAUUUUGGGAUGCCACAAUUCUCCCCUCCUUAGAGAAUUUCAUCCUCGAAAUUCAAACACCACUCGCGCCUUCUUUAAACAAAUAGGGGUACUUUUCCUUUAUCUGAUCCUCACUUUCCCAUGUGGCUUCUUCCAUAUCAUGAUGUCGCCAUAACACCUUAACCAAUGGGAUCUUCUUAGUCCUAAGAAUUUGCUCUUUUCGAUCCAAUAUCUGCACAGGCUCUUCAAUGUACCUUACUUUCUCAUCCAUUUUGAUGGCUUCAUGAUCGAGUAUAUGACCAGGAUCCGACUGGUACUUCCUCAACAUCGAUACAUGAAACACAUCGUGCAGAUUUUCUAACUUAGGAGGUAACGCUAAACGAUAAGCUACAUCCCCUAUCCUCUCAAGAAUUCAAAAGGUCCAACAAACCUANNNNNNNNNNNNNNNNNNNNNNNNNNNNNNNNNNNNNNNNNNNNNNNNNNNNNNNNNNNNNNNNNNNNNNNNNNNNNNNNNNNNNNNNNNNNNNNNNNNNNNNNNNNNNNNNNNNNNNNNNNNNNNNNNNNNNNNNNNNNNNNNNNNNNNNNNNNNNNNNNNNNNNNNNNNNNNNNNNNNNNNNNNNNNNNNNNNNNNNNNNNNNNNNNNNNNNNNNNNNNNNNNNNNNNNNNNNNNNNNNNNNNNNNNNNNNNNNNNNNNNNNNNNNNNNNNNNNNNNNNNNNNNNNNNNNNNNNNNNNNNNNNNNNNNNNNNNNNNNNNNNNNNNNNNNNNNNNNNNNNNNNNNNNNNNNNNNNNNNNNNNNNNNNNNNNNNNNNNNNNNNNNNNNNNNNNNNNNNNNNNNNNNNNNNNNNNNNNNNNNNNNGAUGAAAAGCAGUACUAAACUAAAGCUUAGAUCCUAAUGCAACUUGAAGAACUUUUCCAAAAAUUCGAAGUAAACCUUGAAUCUCGAUCUGAAGUAAUGGUCACUGGAACACCAUGUAAGCGUACCACUUGACUUACAUACAUGUCCGCAUACUUAUCCAUUGGGUAGUCCAUGCGAAUCGCUAAGAAAUGAGCCGACUUAGUCAAACGAUCCACUAUCACCCAAAUUGAAUCAUGACUCCUUGAUGUCCUUGGCAAUCCUUGCACAAAGUCCAUCGUUAUAUGUUCCCAUUUCCAUUCUGGAAUGUCUAAUGGUCUCAAAAGUCCUGCGGGUUUACGAUGCUCCGCUUUCACUUGCUGACAUGUCAAACAUUGAGAUACGUACUUAGCCGUAUCUGCCUUCAUACCAUUCCACCAAAAUUGCUGACGCAAAUUUCUAUACAUCUUUGUACUACAUGGGUGGAUACUAUAAUUACUCUUAUGUGCCUCCGACAGAAUUUCCUUCCUCAACUCCUCAUUGUCGGGAACACAAAGUUGUCCUUGACAUCUUACUAUUCCAUCAUCAGAGAUCUGAAAUUCUGAUCUUUUCCCUAAAGAUACAACAUCUUUCACUUUCAAAAUCUCUAGGUCAGAUUCUUGUAGGAUUUUAAUUCUCUGGAUAAUCUCCGGCUCAAUCCUUACUACACUAAGCAUGCCAGUAAGACAAUCCAUUUCCAAUUUAAACUGUGAAUUUGCCACAGAUUCCAACAAUUCCCAUUCUGCCAUCCUCAAACUAGCCAUUUCUACGGCCGACUUUCGACUAAGAGUAUCUGCUACUCUAUUUGCUUUUCCUGGGUGAUAUCUUAUCUCACAAUCAUAGUCCUUCAACAACUCCAUCCACCUCAUUUGUCUCAUGUUCAACUCCUUUUGUGAGAACAGAUACUUCAAACUCUUAUGAUCCUUAUAGAUCUCAAACUUUUCCCCAUACAAAUAGUGUCUCCAUAUCUUCAAGGCAAACACUAUAGCUGCUAGCCCUAAAUCAUGUGUCGGGUAAUUUAGCUCAUGGGGUUUCAAUUGUCUGGAUGCAUAGGCUACAACCUUGCCAUGCUGCAUCAACACACAUCCUAGUCCUUUGUGAGAAGCAUCACUAUACAUCGUAAAACCAUCAAGUCCAGUAGGUAUAGUUAGAAUUGGAGCUGAAGUCAAUUUCCUUUUGAGCUCCUGAAAACUCCUUUCACAUUCUCCAUUCCAUUCAAAUUUCACAUUCUUUCGGGUCAACUUAGUUAAAGGCCUUGCCAGUCGUGAAAAUCCUUCGAUGAACCUUCUAUAAUAGCCAGCCAGUCCUAAGAAACUUCGUAUUUCAGUAGGUGUCGUCGGUCUCGGCCAAUUUACUACCAUUUCAACUUUUGCUGGGUCUACUGCAAUUCCCUUUCCUGACACCACAUGUCCUAAAAAUAUUAUCCGAUCCAACCAGAAUUCACACUUACUAAACUUAGCAUACAACUUAUGCUCUCUCAGAGUUUGUAAAACUAUUCUCAAAUGCUGCUCAUGCUCUUUAGGCCCUUUUGAAUAUAUCAGAAUAUCAUCAAUAAACACAAUCACAAAUUGGUCCAAGUAAGGCUAAAAUAUCCUAUUCAUCAAAUCCAUAAAUGCAGCAGGGGCGUUAGUCAAUCCAAAUGGCAUAACAAGGAACUCAUAGUGUCCAUAACGAGUUCUAAACGCAGUCUUAGGAAUGUCCUCCUUCUUAAUUCUCAACUGAUGAUAUCCCGACCUCAAAUCAAUCUUAGAAAAGACCGAACUUCCCUGAAGUUGAUCAAAUAAAUCAUCAAUUCUAGGCAAAGGGUACUUAUUCUUAAUAGUCACCUGAUUCAACUGCCUAUAGUCAAUACACAAGCGCAUCGACCCAUCCUUCUUUUUCACAAACAAAACCGGUGCACCCCAAGGUGAAGCACUUGGUCUAAUAAAUCCUUUAUCAAGCAAUUCUUGCAGUUGCACUUUCAAUUCCUUCAAUUCAACUAAGGCCAUUCUAUACGGGGCUUUUGAUAUAGGUCCUGUUCCAGGCAUUAAUUCAAUUUCAAAUUCAAUCUCCCGCUCUGGCGGCAAUCCAGGCAAUUCCUCAGGAAAUACAUCUUGAAACUCGUUAACUACACGAACUUCCUCAAGAUUAGGCUCAUUCCUUGCAUAAUCUCUAACUAUGGCUAGGUACCCAUGACAUCCUUUGUCAAGUAACUUACAAGCUUCUACUGCCGAAAUAAGCGCUACAGGAAAAUGGGUCUGACCUCCUAAAAAUUCACAACUAGACUGAUUAGGUAAAACGAAUUGAAUCACCCUUCUAUAACAAUCCAUUCUAGCCCGAUACUUACAAAGCCAGUCCAUUCCUAUAAUAACGUCAAAAUCAUACAUAGCCAUUACAAUCAAGUCUAUUUCCAUAUCCUUUCCCCCUAUUGAUAUCUUACAAUUUCCACACACCAGCGUAGACAUACCAUAUCCUUUAAAGUUUUGGAAACACAAAGAGGCGUCUCAAGCGGCAUAACUUCNNNNNNNNNNNNNNNNNNNNNNNNNNNNNNNNNNNNNNNNNNNNNNNNNNNNNNNNNNNNNNNNNNNNNNNNNNNNNNNNNNNNNNNNNNNNNNNNNNNNNNNNNNNNNNNNNNNNNNNNNNNNNNNNNNNNNNNNNNNNNNNNNNNNNNNNNNNNNNNNNNNNNNNNNNNNNNNNNNNNNNNNNNNNNNNNNNNNNNNNNNNNNNNNNNNNNNNNNNNNNNNNNNNNNNNNNNNNNNNNNNNNNNNNNNNNNNNNNNNNNNNNNNNNNNNNNNNNNNNNNNNNNNNNNNNNNNNNNNNNNNNNNNNNNNNNNNNNNNNNNNNNNNNNNNNNNNNNNNNNNNNNNNNNNNNNNNNNNNNNNNNNNNNNNNNNNNNNNNNNNNNNNNNNNNNNNNNNNNNNNNNNNNNNNNNNNNNNNNNNNNNNNNNNNNNNNNNNNNNNNNNNNNNNNNNNNNNNNNNNNNNNNNNNNNNNNNNNNNNNNNNNNNNNNNNNNNNNNNNNNNNNNNNNNNNNNNNNNNNNNNNNNNNNNNNNNNNNNNNNNNNNNNNNNNNNNNNNNNNNNNNNNNNNNNNNNNNNNNNNNNNNNNNNNNNNNNNNNNNNNNNNNNNNNNNNNNNNNNNNNNNNNNNNNNNNNNNNNNNNNNNNNNNNNNNNNNNNNNNNNNNNNNNNNNNNNNNNNNNNNNNNNNNNNNNNNNNNNNNNNNNNNNNNNNNNNNNNNNNNNNNNNNNNNNNNNNNNNNNNNNNNNNNNNNNNNNNNNNNNNNNNNNNNNNNNNNNNNNNNNNNNNNNNNNNNNNNNNNNNNNNNNNNNNNNNNNNNNNNNNNNNNNNNNNNNNNNNNNNNNNNNNNNNNNNNNNNNNNNNNNNNNNNNNNNNNNNNNNNNNNNNNNNNNNNNNNNNNNNNNNNNNNNNNNNNNNNNNNNNNNNNNNNNNNNNNNNNNNNNNNNNNNNNNNNNNNNNNNNNNNNNNNNNNNNNNNNNNNNNNNNNNNNNNNNNNNNNNNNNNNNNNNNNNNNNNNNNNNNNNNNNNNNNNNNNNNNNNNNNNNNNNNNNNNNNNNNNNNNNNNNNNNNNNNNNNNNNNNNNNNNNNNNNNNNNNNNNNNNNNNNNNNNNNNNNNNNNNNNNNNNNNNNNNNNNNNNNNNNNNNNNNNNNNNNNNNNNNNNNNNNNNNNNNNNNNNNNNNNNNNNNNNNNNNNNNNNNNNNNNNNNNNNNNNNNNNNNNNNNNNNNNNNNNNNNNNNNNNNNNNNNNNNNNNNNNNNNNNNNNNNNNNNNNNNNNNNNNNNNNNNNNNNNNNNNNNNNNNNNNNNNNNNNNNNNNNNNNNNNNNNNNNNNNNNNNNNNNNNNNNNNNNNNNNNNNNNNNNNNNNNNNNNNNNNNNNNNNNNNNNNNNNNNNNNNNNNNNNNNNNNNNNNNNNNNNNNNNNNNNNNNNNNNNNNNNNNNNNNNNNNNNNNNNNNNNNNNNNNNNNNNNNNNNNNNNNNNNNNNNNNNNNNNNNNNNNNNNNNNNNNNNNNNNNNNNNNNNNNNNNNNNNNNNNNNNNNNNNNNNNNNNNNNNNNNNNNNNNNNNNNNNNNNNNNNNNNNNNNNNNNNNNNNNNNNNNNNNNNNNNNNNNNNNNNNNNNNNNNNNNNNNNNNNNNNNNNNNNNNNNNNNNNNNNNNNNNNNNNNNNNNNNNNNNNNNNNNNNNNNNNNNNNNNNNNNNNNNNNNNNNNNNNNNNNNNNNNNNNNNNNNNNNNNNNNNNNNNNNNNNNNNNNNNNNNNNNNNNNNNNNNNNNNNNNNNNNNNNNNNNNNNNNNNNNNNNNNNNNNNNNNNNNNNNNNNNNNNNNNNNNNNNNNNNNNNNNNNNNNNNNNNNNNNNNNNNNNNNNNNNNNNNNNNNNNNNNNNNNNNNNNNNNNNNNNNNNNNNNNNNNNNNNNNNNNNNNNNNNNNNNNNNNNNNNNNNNNNNNNNNNNNNNNNNNNNNNNNNNNNNNNNNNNNNNNNNNNNNNNNNNNNNNNNNNNNNNNNNNNNNNNNNNNNNNNNNNNNNNNNNNNNNNNNNNNNNNNNNNNNNNNNNNNNNNNNNNNNNNNNNNNNNNNNNNNNNNNNNNNNNNNNNNNNNNNNNNNNNNNNNNNNNNNNNNNNNNNNNNNNNNNNNNNNNNNNNNNNNNNNNNNNNNNNNNNNNNNNNNNNNNNNNNNNNNNNNNNNNNNNNNNNNNNNNNNNNNNNNNNNNNNNNNNNNNNNNNNNNNNNNNNNNNNNNNNNNNNNNNNNNNNNNNNNNNNNNNNNNNNNNNNNNNNNNNNNNNNNNNNNNNNNNNNNNNNNNNNNNNNNNNNNNNNNNNNNNNNNNNNNNNNNNNNNNNNNNNNNNNNNNNNNNNNNNNNNNNNNNNNNNNNNNNNNNNNNNNNNNNNNNNNNNNNNNNNNNNNNNNNNNNNNNNNNNNNNNNNNNNNNNNNNNNNNNNNNNNNNNNNNNNNNNNNNNNNNNNNNNNNNNNNNNNNNNNNNNNNNNNNNNNNNNNNNNNNNNNNNNNNNNNNNNNNNNNNNNNNNNNNNNNNNNNNNNNNNNNNNNNNNNNNNNNNNNNNNNNNNNNNNNNNNNNNNNNNNNNNNNNNNNNNNNNNNNNNNNNNNNNNNNNNNNNNNNNNNNNNNNNNNNNNNNNNNNNNNNNNNNNNNNNNNNNNNNNNNNNNNNNNNNNNNNNNNNNNNNNNNNNNNNNNNNNNNNNNNNNNNNNNNNNNNNNNNNNNNNNNNNNNNNNNNNNNNNNNNNNNNNNNNNNNNNNNNNNNNNNNNNNNNNNNNNNNNNNNNNNNNNNNNNNNNNNNNNNNNNNNNNNNNNNNNNNNNNNNNNNNNNNNNNNNNNNNNNNNNNNNNNNNNNNNNNNNNNNNNNNNNNNNNNNNNNNNNNNNNNNNNNNNNNNNNNNNNNNNNNNNNNNNNNNNNNNNNNNNNNNNNNNNNNNNNNNNNNNNNNNNNNNNNNNNNNNNNNNNNNNNNNNNNNNNNNNNNNNNNNNNNNNNNNNNNNNNNNNNNNNNNNNNNNNNNNNNNNNNNNNNNNNNNNNNNNNNNNNNNNNNNNNNNNNNNNNNNNNNNNNNNNNNNNNNNNNNNNNNNNNNNNNNNNNNNNNNNNNNNNNNNNNNNNNNNNNNNNNNNNNNNNNNNNNNNNNNNNNNNNNNNNNNNNNNNNNNNNNNNNNNNNNNNNNNNNNNNNNNNNNNNNNNNNNNNNNNNNNNNNNNNNNNNNNNNNNNNNNNNNNNNNNNNNNNNNNNNNNNNNNNNNNNNNNNNNNNNNNNNNNNNNNNNNNNNNNNNNNNNNNNNNNNNNNNNNNNNNNNNNNNNNNNNNNNNNNNNNNNNNNNNNNNNNNNNNNNNNNNNNNNNNNNNNNNNNNNNNNNNNNNNNNNNNNNNNNNNNNNNNNNNNNNNNNNNNNNNNNNNNNNNNNNNNNNNNNNNNNNNNNNNNNNNNNNNNNNNNNNNNNNNNNNNNNNNNNNNNNNNNNNNNNNNNNNNNACGGUUUUCGAAUAAAUUCGGAUUAAAAUAUCCAUACGGCCUCCAAAAAUUAUGAAAUUUUACAGAGUGAUAGCCAAGACAUUUUCGUACAACUUUCAUGAAGAAAUACAAGCCAUAUUAUUUUUAGAUUAUUUUAUACAACCUCACGAAGCUUCUGAAUCCAUUACCGCAUCGUCCAGUGAACACAUCUCUGAAAUAUUGAGAUUUAACCUACCUAUUCUCUUUCGUUUCAUCUGAAAUUUGGAUAUGUUAUACAUAAAAGUAUCCUAUACAAGUUUUAUGAAGAGAUCUAAGUCAAAUAACCAAAUUAGAGUCAUCAUUUAGGUCCUUGAAGUCUCGAGUAUUUCAAAAUACAUCACCAGAAUCAUCUUCUUCAAGAUCUAGUCGAUUCACUAGGCUAUACUUGUUCAUUUCACUUAAAAUUUGAGUAUGUUGUAUUUUAAGAUGUCUCCUACAACUUUCAUGAAGACAUAAAAGUGAGAUUCUCAACAAAAACCAACAUACAACCAUGAAUCCAGCAAGAGGUCAGUAAAAACUCUCCAGAUCUGAGGUCUCCGUAUAACAAGACUUUAACCCCUCAAAUCUCUAUAGGUUUUCACUAAAUUUCAGUAUGUUAUAGUAAAAGAUGUUAGCUACAACUUUCAUGAAGACAUCGAAGCCAAAAUCGGACUCCAAACACACAUGCAAGCUCAAACAAGUUACUGACUCACACAAUCCGAGCAAGAACAGUCACACGACUUAAGAACAAACCAACCUUACCUCGGUUUUUCUCACUUAAAACACCCAAAAUCUAACAAGCAAACAAUACACAAGCAUGCAAGAGAAGCUAGAGGACUCCACUUGCCUCUAGGAUGAACAAACGACGGCGUACGGCGGACGGACACGGCGGACGAACGGCGGCUCCUCCUCGGCUCCGCCUCCUUCCUCUCUCGGCCUCUCCCUCUUUCUCUCGAAAUCUCUCUCUCUCUCUCGCACCCUCUCUCUCGGCCAAAAGAAAUCCGGCCACCUUCUCUCUCUCCUCUCCUCUUAUACCCCCUAGAGCCCAUCGUUGCUAAUGAUUACAUGCCACUUAAUUGGACCAAUGCAUGGCAUCCUAGUCUAGGCCAAUGCAUGAGGGCCUUGUGCCACUUGUCCAAUUGAAUUUUGAAUUUGGGCUUCUUGGGCUUGAACCAUCUAUGGCCGGCGACUACUCCUCUCUUGGGCCUCUAUUGGGCCGGCUAGCUUGGCCCAUCAAGCUUAGGCCAAAUGGGUUUAAGGCCCAUUCGAAAAUUAACCCCCUUUUUCCUUUUUUUUUUUUUUGAAUUCCUUUCUAUAAUUAUUUCCAAAUUCAAAUUUUAUCUUGGCCAAAGUCUUGGGGCAUCUUGGUUAUUGAAAUUUAAUUUAUAAGGCACAUGGCCAAGUAUAAAUUAUUAAUCUAUCGAAUUUUGAAUUUUCACAACCAUAAGCACAAAUCAUCUAAUUAAAAGACUAAUGGCUAAAACAUAAGUCAUGGAAAUUCUAUCAUCUAAUUAAAGACUUUAACACACCUUAUGGCUUGGCUUUGAAUUUUGGGAUGCCACACGAGAAACCUACUAAGGAUGAAUACGAACGAACCACAAAAGCUUGUUUGGUGAUUGCCAGUGAGUCAGAAGAAAACACUUCAGGGCAUCGCCAAGCUAGAUGGAACUUGCGGGAGUCCUCGCUGACUCCGAACUAGGCUGUAGUGGUUCAAGCGUCCCUGGGUGUGCUGGUUCGUGGUAUUGCAAAAACAGCAGAUCAUGGAUUGUCGGGGAUGCGAGGACUGCACGAGUGAUUGCUGCAAGGAGAAAUUACGAUCCCGCUGGGGCAACAGCGAAUCAAGCAAUAGUUGAGCGCAAGGAAGGCGGUAGCUCCAUCAACGUCUCGGUUGAGCUGGGCUCGUCAAGGCUUGGUCAUAACGGUAGGGGGUUGGCACCAGAUCAGCAGCUCGUUGGAAAGGCAAAUAGGUCACAGCAGUGAGUCCGUCGUCGUUGCAGGGGACAACGCAGCAAAGACGGUGUAGCAAUGGUAACUCAGGCGGCUCGGGUGUGACACUGCGGCAAAGGGCCUCGCACAACUGUUCGGCAGAGAGAGUUCGUUCUCUUUUCUCUCACGUGUAAAUCUCUCAACAUGCCUUUUAGCAUAGAAGUGCCGACCCCCCUCAACAAUGUUAGCGUUCUCCUUAUUUAUAGGACAACCAAGGCCUUCAAAGGAAAGGACACAAUACAAUAUAUUUUAUUCCUUCCUUUCCUCAAAUGCGUGAGUACUCAUAACUUUGACCAUAUAUUCAUGAUUUUCGGCCACGAAUUCUUUCCUUUUCUGCUUACGCCCCUGGAUGCGUAGGACGUAUGAAAUUUUCUUUAUCGGUGCACUCUUUCUUGUUUUAAAACAAGAAAUAUAUGUCCCAAUCCUUAAUUUGGUAGAUUCUUGCGUAGAAAUAUCACACUUCUCUGCACCUAGUUGACCGAGAUUAUCUUCUAUUAAUAAAGAUAUUUAUUCUUCCUCAAAGAUUUUUCAUGCCUUGUUAAGAUCCCAUGUGAAAAUUGUGCUCAAUCUUUCCCAAAUUCGUGUUAAACUUGGUUAUAUUACGAAGCUUACUCCAAUCUUUCACUUUCUGCGGGCUUAACUUCAAUAAAGCUCAAAACCAUUUACCCGAGUUCAUCCGCCGCCAACCCAACCCAAUGCAAUUAUGUUAAGAACUUAAGCCCAUCCGCUACCAGUCCAUAAAUAUGCAAGUAUAUUGAGAUAUGCUCCUAAUAACUAUAUGUCAUGCGAUUUAUUAUUUUUGUUUAGGGGCUAAAGUUUAGUCCCUAAUUUUUGUGCAAUAAAUGAAUGAUAGGGUCGUCAAAAUUUAGGUAUCAAUAAAGAGGUAAAGCCUUCCAUGAGUUGCCCGGGGAGGGGGGGGGAGAGAGAAAUUAAGCUUGCACCUCAUUGGCUAAAUUUAAGUCACUAUGAUAGGUGACAUAUCAUUAUGCAUGGCCUAGAUCAAUUAGUGAAAGAAUGGCUAGGAUUUAAGCUCAUGUAGAUUGAUGACUUGGCUUUCGGAGCAUUUCGGUAAUUCUAGGCAAAGGGGAGGGAAAGGGUCGGCCGGCCAUGGUGGCUUGGUAGCGUGACUUAAUGGACUGACCUGUCAGAUGAGUUUUGUAAAUUUUGGUCCGAUUGUAUACAAUUGAAUGCAAAUUGGAGCGAUUUAGCUUGAACGGGUUGAUUUUGAUACUCUAGUUAUCCAAUUUCACCCUCAAUUUCACAAUUUGACUUGACAUUUUUGUCAAUUUGAUUGAAUGAAAUUAGGUUCAAAUUGGUAAAAUUGAUUUGGCCGGGUAUAAAUUAUAAUUGACUUAUGGUGGGCGAAAUGCCUUAAAGAUACCCUAAUUGCAUUAAUCUCUUUGAAAUUUGACAUGGCCAUAGCCAAUUCUGUCCCAAUUGAUUUAAUUCAGCCAAAUCGAGGCUUGGUUCAAUUGACAUAUCUCUUGUGCUUAAUUUCCAAAAUGAAUUUGAAAUUUCAAUUACCCAUAGUCCGGAGAUCAACUGUCACUAAGGACUCGAGUUUAAAAAAUCAAUAGAAAAGAAUGAAUUUUGGAAUUUUUUAUUAAAAGCCCGAGUCUUCAAUUUAGUUGAAAAUGUUGACUCCUAAUCAUUUUUCAAAAAAAUUGGUAAUUGAAAUUGAAACUAUCUAAGAGAACAAAGCCAUUAUGAAGGUUUUAUAUAUUUUUUUGUGGAGAGUUGACCAAAAGUUGACCUAUCAAUGAUUUAAGCCUUAAAGUCAAUUGAGUCACACUUUGACUUUUUUUUUUUAAUUUUGAAAAUUGAAAGUAAAAAAGUGAAAUUAACUAAUCUAUGUCUUUUAAUGCAAAAUGCUAAAUUUAGACCAACGGUGAUUUUUUGACAAAACUUUGACAAAAGAGUUAAUUCUAAGUCAACCUUUGACUUUUUGAAAUCAAAGUGUACAUGACAUGAAGACAAAUUGCUUAUACAAGAAAGAAUGUUAAACGACUAUGUUUUUUAAGAACUAGGUUCUGUCAUGAUCAGGAAUCUAAAUCUCAAGUUUUUACCUUUAAAUGAUUGAUUGGCUAAAAAAUGACAUAUAUAUAAUUUUCAUCUUAAAGUAGAGAACGGACCUUUUCUACUAUUGCUAAUGGCGUAUAUAUAAUUUGCAUCAUAACUGCACAUAGACUUUAGGAUUAAACAUAUAGACCUCUCAUAGAAAAAAAGGAACCAAUCUUGGCGCUAGGGUGGACUAAUGUAAUCAUAUCACCGUACUUUGAAUAUAUAGUUUGUACCGACCAAUGAGUUAAGUCUAGGCUCAAAACGUUUCUACCACAUUAGCACUAGAUCUUAAUAAGUACCUAAACGACCUUAGAAUGGGCUAGUGGUGACUUCUAUAUAGAUGUGCAUUACGAAAUCAUAAGUUGUAAUAGACGUUAUAUUGGGAGAAUGCGAAUGAGGCAUGCACCUUCUUUAUAUGUAGGGGAGAAGUGCUAUCAUGUUGCACAUCGACCUUCUCAAACCGUACUAAUAGGCCAUUUUGAGAGAGACAUUGACUUUGUGAGACAUGAUUAUAUUAAGCAACCUAUUGGAUUUAUAUUGGUACUAUUAAGAAAAUUAUGGCAAUCAAGUUGUGAUUGACAUGGGUUUCGUUAGUGGGAGUUUGGCAUGUACAAGAUUAGAAUUGGCAGUUUGUAAACAAUGCCCACUCGGAGAAAGAGAAGUAGAGGCAAUUACACAAUCUUGAGACGUGGGUAUCACAAUCUAAUAUGUGGCACAUGUGGUUGGCAUAAACAUCGCAAAAGUGUUCAGCAUGAUGCGGUUAAAAGUUCAAGAAAAUUGUGAAAACCUUUUAUUUUUAGGUGAAAUGUCGCUUCUAAAAUAUAAAAGUUAUGGCGAUAGCGGUCGGACAUGUGCCGGAAGUGGAUUGGCAUAGUGGAGAGGCGGCUGGCAUUAUGCCAAACCUAAGCUGGUACUAUAGUCCAUGGAAACGGCCAAAACGCGUGGCACCCAUCCAAAACUUGAGGUCGAUCGCCAGCCUUGGGAAACGAGUCCUAGAAUGUGAGGGAGACAGUUGAGGCUCAUAAUUAUAGAAAGAACGUCUCAGGAGAGAAGAAGAGCACACACUCUCGACCAAAUCAUGAGAUUUUAAUUAUUUCGCUAUUUCAUUCCUAUAUUUACUAAACUUUCGCAAGAUCUUCUCAUGUAAAAAAUAAAGAAUACAAGUUAUAACAUUUUUUAUCCAUAAAAAAGAAACAGAAUAUUUUCGUCUUAAACAAUUUGCAAAUUAUAUGAUUAUUACUGGAAAAAAUAAAAAGGUCGUCAACCUAUGAUCAGCUAACUCUAUCCACAGAAAUGAAAAGAAAAAGGUAACUGGAAUAAUUGAAGUCAAAGAACAAUAUUAUUUUAUGGGAUAGUUGUAUGGAAAAUUUUAAAACUUAAUGUAAAAGUACAAAUAAAUUCUAAAAUUUUCAAAAAGUAUAAUUAAGUUAUAAAAUUUAUCAUGAAAAUACAAUUGAGUUCUAAUUUUUUAUUAUAAAAAAAAUACUAUCAAAUCAUAAAAUUUAUCAUUUUAGUCUAAUCAAAUCCUUCCAUUGAUUAAUUUUUUUUUAAAUUAAGACUUAAUUAUACUUUUAUGACAAGUUUUAGGAUUUGAUUAUACAUUUCUAAAAAGUUUAAAAUUUCAUGUGCACUUAUCCUUUAAUUUAAUUAGAAGGAAUUCUCUCCCUUUUCUUUUUCGACUCUUCUUUCAUCUUCAAGAAAAGAAGAGACGUACAGAAGAACACACUACACACAUAGAUGCCAUUUAUGUAAUGCACAGCCGCUUUGCAUCCUUUUCUACUCCCACGGAAGUUGGAGAGGCUUCUCGCCUUCUAGUUCUGAUAAAUCAUGAAAGAGCAUUGAAUUCGCGUAUGAAACGGAGAUACUUAGCUAUUCAACUUUUCAUAACAUGUUUACCUAUACGGGGGCAAUGAUUUUACCAAUGUUCAUCCGAAUUCAAUCAUGACAACUUUUAGAGUUGGUGUAAUUGGUUGGAGUGUCAGGGAUUUAGGUUCAACAACCAGAGGUCAUUUGUUCAAAUUUCACAAAUUGCAUACAAAUAAUAAUUUGAAUUUCUAGGCAACUUACAAGGCUUCAAGGCCUGGACUUAAUUGAUUAAUAGGCUUGCCGUGUAUUUUAUGUAUUUCUCCAUGCUUGUGUCUUGGGUUAUCAAAGUCAUUCUCAUACAACCCGAAUCUGCACCAGCCACUACAAGUAAUUGCGUACUCCUCGUGUGAGGACUUUUCGUUGUGAAUAUAGACAAGCGAAUCAAAUAAAAUAGUUAGAAAGAAGGAAAGAAAAUUAGAUACUAAAUUUACAUGAUUUAAUAAUAUUAGAAUUUAUGUUCAUGAAAAGAGCAACACGGAAUUUUAUUAUAGAAACAAACGAUAUACUAGAGAUUAUAAUAACUCGAAUACUAAAAUACUCACUUAGUAUUUUUUAAUCCUCAAUUACACUCAAAUUCAUAUAGUAUGUAGCCCUUUUAUAAUUUCUAAUGAAACCUUAUUUUAGGAAUUAAAUAAAUAUUACUCAUAAGAAUUUAACUAGUUAAAUCACUUUUGGAUGUAAUUGCAACUGGAGAUUUCUCCCUCUGUCGAGAGCUCCCACAGCUUGCUUCCGGAAAGCUCUAAGAGCUCCAUCCAUACAUGUCCGGUAUUGUUGCGACUUUCUUAUUCUUUCUUUUCAAGAGCUCUGCAUUAAAUGCAGCACGUGAGGCUCCACUUGUUCUUUCCUUUCGUCGGCCACAAUAGAAGAAAAUAGCGAAGGAAAGAAACAAAAGAAGUUUAUCAAAGAGUAGGGGUGUGCAACUGGACAGGAUACGCAGGAAUCGGACUAGCCCACCUGAAAAUAGGGUCGGGAACUAGUUUCCGCUGAAAUCGGUCCGAGAAUCGGUUCCCAAAAUUAAAAACUAGUUUAAACCGGUCUGGGAACCGGUUCUGAGUGAUUACCCACUCAGAAACCAGUUCUUGAGCUGGUUUUGGAACCAAUUUUGUAAGUAAAGGUCUAAAACUCUAUUUUUUUCCCUAAUUUCUAUUCUUACUCCUACAAUCACACAUUGUUUUUCCUCUUGGCUCUCUCAGACACAUAGGGCAUUCCUCCUUCGUUGUUCCUCUUCCUCACUUGCUUCCCUCCCUUACCGGCUCCCUCUCGCACCAUACGACGGACAUAUGGCAUUCCUUGCCGCCAAAUUCUUGUGUACUACGUGGAUUGGCUCGACUAGAGGAGUUAUACUUACAUAAAUGAACAACUUCAUGUAGUAAUUGUGAGAAUAAGACUAAUACUAGACCCGUGUUUGUUGCUAGUGUUUAUGUAAUGUUAUGAUUUUUGCUUUGCCUUAUAAUUUUAUUUAUGAUAAUUAGUCCCGUGGAUCAUUAAUUUUUCGUUUAGUCAAAAAUUUCAUAUAUUUAUUUAUUACAAAUGCUUAAUGUUUUAAUACAAAUUAGGAGGAUUACGUUAUUUUAUUAGGUAUUAAUGUAAAAUUUGAAGUCACAUAGGAUAUUGGGGGGUUGCAAAACGGGUUUAAGUGAAAAUAGGGUUGACCCUAGAAUCAAAUCGGAAAAAACAGAAUAGGUCGGGUAUAGGAUCCAAUACAAAUAUGGUCGGCUAUAGGAUUUAAAAAGGGGAAACCGAUUAUAUCAGGAUCGGGUAUAGGGUUCAAGUCUAGACCCUACUCAUUCUGGACACAAUCACUCCUAUGAAAAAGGACAAAUAAAGCCCACAAUUUUUUUAAUUUGACAAAUCCUCUCUCUCUCUUCUCAUGAUGGUCUUCCCUGCUUUUUGACUUCCUCUUCUUCCACUAUCUUCAUUUUCACAUUCACAUGGAUGCAGAGAUGAGAUGAACGCAACAAAAGAAGCCUCUUCACGAUUUCGGCUCAUAAACGAAAUCCACAUGUAAUAUUCUUCGUCUGAUAAUUUCAGCUGAUCAAUUCACAUAUGCGUUGGCCAAAAGAAAAAUUCACAUAUGCCAAUAAUUUGACUUCCACGUGAUCGAGUUCCCAUAAUCUCAUCAGUCCGAACUGCAGAUAUAUUUCCUACGGUUUUGAAGAAAUCGGUGAAAGAAUUGCCCACCGUCGAGCAGAACUCCCCGUCUACUGCGGCGGCAUUUAAAAAAAAAAGAAAAAAAUCAAAAAAAUCAAAAUAUUAUUAAAAGUUAUCUACGUCAGCGCCGAUGAGGCCACGUCAGUUGGUCGGUGUCCAGUUAGCAAAAUCCGGCCAAAAUUGAUUGGAAAUGACUGAAUUGGCACAACGUAAAAAUGUUUAGGACUUAAUUGACAUCAAAAAAAUGUUUAGAAUUAAAUUGGCACAAAUGCAAAAUGUUUAGGACUUUUUUGACACUUUUCCCCUACUCUUUCUUUAUUAUGCCCACAACACAAGAGCCUUAGAUGCACAUACAAAAGACCUCCAGUUAUAUUGGUUUCCUUUGCUCAUACAAAAAGAAACAUUCAUUUUCUCUUGGUUAGAUAAAGACGCUGGAGUUUAAUCUUAACCCAAAGCAUAAAAAUAUGAAACUUAGAAGGUCAAUUGGUGACCAGAAAAUUUGAAUUUAUAUGAACUUUUGUGAUAUUAUUGUCGAUUAUUCUAAAAAUUUAAGUUAUUAAAUGAGCAUAUGAUUUAUUAUCUAAAUAUUUCAAGAGAUUAAUGUCCAUCGGACCACAUUUUCCGCUCAUUUCCAUCCAGCAGUUUCUGAUUUGGUGGUUUUCUCGAGAUUUUUUCACCAAGUCGCGAUCCCAAACUCCACACAAGUCAAUGUCUGGACUCCAUGCCUAGCAACGAAAGCUGUUGGACAGCUCCAAAUGGGGCCUCCAUGUACUGAAACAUCAGGACCGGACCCGUGACCACAAGCGUCUGGUCAUAUCAUUUAACCUUGUCUGUUCUCGUAUCGAUUGCGACUUCGUGAAAUUUCCAAGAAACGGGGAAGCGUGACUCUCGUUUCCGAGAUAUUUUUACGCGGUUUUAUUACCCGUGUAAAGAGAGGCAAGGGUUGGAGCGCUCUAUAAAACCACUGGAGAACUCGUGCAAUACCAUAUUCACCAUCCUCGUUUCUACACAUAUCUCGAGAGGCAAUCCAAGCAUGAAGGUGGAAAUACAGUGGAAGAAGCUGGUCAAGCCAUCAGUGCCCACACCGAGCGACCAGCGAAAAUGGAAGCUAACAUCAAUAGAUGAGCUUCAGAUGCCAAAUUAUGUGGGCGUUAUCUUCUACUAUAGAGAUAAUGCCGGGAACCCCGGAGUUGAUAUCUCUCAAAGGCUUCACCAGAUGGAGGAGUCACUUUCCUAAACUCUAACCCUCUUUUAUCCUAUGGCAGGGAGAUAUAUUGAGGAUGACGACGGUUGUUUUAUCGACUGUAAUGACCUUGGAGUGGAGUUCGUCCAUGCCAAAGUGGAUGGCCAGAUUGAUCAGCUUCUCCAUAGAGACCCCAACAUGGAUUUACUCGAAUAUUUGUCGCAAUUCCCAAACAACCUAGUAGGCAAUCCACUAGUGGUGAUUCAAGUGAAUACGUUCGAGUGCGGCGGAAUAGCAAUUGGCUUGCGCUCUACACACAGGAUCAGCGACAUUUACACCAUGGCCAUAUUCGUUAACUCGUGGGCCACCGCUUGCCGAGGUAAUGUAGAUGUUACAGUCUGUCCAAGUUUCGAGUUGUCAUCUCUAUUCCCAAGGAAAGUGUCGGCUGUUGCGAAUUGGCCUCCGCCACGGAUUAUUGGCAGCAAGGAAUUCACGAUGUGUAGGUUCAGGUUCAGCGGUGAUGCUGUAUCGAAGCUGAGAGCCCUAGCUAGGGAUGAUGCAAAGGAUUCAAUGGCCAACAACUUCCAGCCUUCGAGGGUGGAGGUUGUUUCGGCACUAAUAAGUAAGGCUCUCGUCAAGAUUGAUCGAGGUAGACAGGGCGAAGAAAGGCCUUUCGCAGUUUGUAUGGCGUUUAACUUGCGCGAUAAAGUCAAACUAAACAUACCCGCAAAUUCUUGUGGCAAUUUCUUUAGCGUGAUUUCUGGGCAAUCCGCUCAACCCACGGUCGGCAAAACGAAUCCGGAGUUCAAUGAGAUGGUGAACAUAAUCCACAACAUGAUAUCAGACGCUAAAACGAAAUAUGCAACAAUAGUAAACAAGGAGGAGCUCUGCUCGGCGGUGGGGAAUUCUAUAGCCGAACUUGUCAAAGUCGCGUCCUCAAGUGAAGUGUUUAUGAUUUCUUUUAGUAGCUGGUGCCGUUUCGGGCUAUAUGAGAUCGACUUCGGGUGGGGAAGGCCGGUUCCCGUCAGCAACAUAUCAUUGAAUCUCAGAUCGGUCAUUCUUAUCGACGAUGAAGAGGGCAAAGGAAUUGAUGCAUGGACAACCACCACUGGAGAUGAGAUGAUUCUUCUUAAACAAGAUCCGGAUAUUCUGGCAUUCACUUCCUAGAUGGAGGUGGAGAGGUUGCACGAAUAUUGGAUCUGCGAAGUCAUCGUAUCUUACUAUAAUGUAGACCAAGAAAAUGAAAAUGGACUUGGUCUAUAGUAUUUGUUACAUUUGUUUCGUUUCUUUAAGAAGGAUGGUUCUUGUGGACAAGGUUAAUCAACUUAUUAAAUACCUUAGAGCAAACUCCUCUAUUGUGUUCAAUUUCCUUAGGUUGACCCCCUCAAUCCAUUGUACUAGAGCUAUCUGAGAAGAAUGAUUAGGGUCAUAUUCUAUCAUUUCUACAAUGCCCAUAGGGCAUGCUUGUUGUAAGCUUUAUCAAGACACAUGCGGUUGUAAUUUUUGUCACUGGAUUGAAAGUUUCAUCAUAGUCCAAACCGUACUACUGUGAGAAUUAUUGUGUCACUAGUCAAGCCUCAUCUCUUUCAAUUAUUUAAGGGUUGAUGUAAUGGCAUAGAUGGUACGAUAGUGGGUGAAAGUUCAUUCAUUUAAUGUUUUGAGUGGGUAUAUAUUAUAAAUAAGAGUGGGACCCUCUAAAAUUUUGUGAAUAAAUUGACACUUUAAAAUUACUUUCUCAAAAUGAAUGGUGUAUCAAAACAUCAAUUCAUGAUUCAGAUUAACCUGGAAUACUCAACUUACCAAACUGCCCUUGCCUUUGGUGGAAAAUCAUAUACCUACCAAAAAGUCAGCUUCCUUCUCUUCUUCUUUUUUUUUUUUUUUUCGUUUUUUUUAGAUCAAAAGAAAAUUGUGUUCAUUUCUCAGAAGGACACAUGAGAGGUAAUAAAAUUUAUGACAAAGAAAUUUAAGGAGAGCAAAACCUAGAAAACUACAAAAUAAAGCCAAAUCUAGAAAUGAGGAGGAUUAAGAGAGCACCAAUAAAGUUAAGCACACAAUCGAUGGCGGAUCACUGGAUCUCAUAUCAUUAUAUAUGAUAAUGCACAUUGGAAAUUCAUUCUCCAAUAAUAAUGACGUCACUAGUAAGCAGUACACAUCUAAAUUCGACUUUCUUUACAUCAUCUCCGUACGGAGACAACCAAAACAGGUUGAGCAAACAAACAUACAUCUAACAUGUGGAAGAGCAAACCAUCUGGUUUGGCAAUAUGACCAUUGAAGCUAGAGGACCUAUACUUGAAUAGAGCACAGGGAUAUCGAGUUCCAAAAAUAAUAAUAAUAAUAAUAAUUUGAAGAUAGCUCUUAAAUGUAUAACUAGAUCGGGAGAGCUCAAACUUAGAUCUAGAACAAAAUCAACAAGAGAGUUCAGGGAGGGUGAGAGUAGCUCAAAUCAUUUCUUAUGGCUAAAGGUCGAAGAAGAUGAGCGAAAGAGGAAAGGAAAGGGAGAGAGGGAGAACAAAAGACUUUUCAUCAAUGGCUUUUUAUGCAUUGCCCUCCUUCCAUUCCUUGUCCUUUGCGUCACUUAUCGGCUACUUCGUUGUCUGCGGACCACUCACUUGGAUGUCUUCUACCUUGGAGGUCAUAAAUUUGUGGACAAACGAGGUAGUAAAUCACAAGUCCAAGCUCGAGGUUUGUGACCUCCGUAUUAGAGGUACCCAGCUCCAUACACACAGACACAUACAACGGUCAUAGCCAAGGUCAACCAAAGAUGAUGGCUUCGGCAACUAGAGGAGUGUGGACGAGGACUAGUAGAGGUUGUGGCGGGCUGGCAACGGCACAAUAGGGUCUGCUAUCGUCAGGUAUGCAUUAUUCGAGGUUGCCGGAAUAAUAAGGGAGAGCGAAGAGAAAUAGGAAGAAAAUGUGAACAACGCAAAUAAAAAGACUAGAAGAAAUUUCAACCAUGAAUACUAGGGAUAAACGGUCCUAAGGUGGGCCAGUUCCUAGUUUAUGAAAUCAGGAAUCAGCCCCACCUAAUUUUGGAACUAGAUUGAAUCGGAUCAACCAACUGGUUCAGUUCCCGGGUGAGUCUACGAACUGAUGGCAUGGGAGGAAAGACAACAACCUCGAAGUAAAGUAAUCAAACCACACAAACAAGCGGACAUGUAGAGGGUGUCUUGGUCCUCCAAAGGCUAGAUCUAAGUGAGAGUGUGAAACUCAGAGAGAGCUACGAAAAUCACAUAUAUUAGAUGCAGAUUCACGGUAAUUCUUAGCCUACACUUUGUAUGAAGAAUGACCAAAAGUAGAGCAUUGAUUAUUUACAUUGAUGAGAUUCCGUUACGGUUACGAACGGCCAAAACCAAAGCAAGAGACGAAGAAGAAUGUUAGGACUCGAGAUGAGACUGCGAGAGGGACGCAACUUAGAUGAGAGGGACUAAGGGAGGCAUCUAGUAAAGGGAAGUGACUCAAGUGAGAGGGACGCAUCGAGGAGAGAGGCAUAUGUCACGGGCCGAUCGAUUGGGAUUGUGACCGCGCGACGACUUAGGCUAUUUUGGAUCACCCAAGCCAAGCCUUUCUCGAUCGAAUGCUCACUCGCCCGUAUACCAGGAUCAUAGAGAGAGAAAGUUUAAAGAGAGGGGCUUUGGAAAGAAAAGAGCUUUGUAUUGCUUGAAAGGAUUGGAUGGAUACAAAUGAGGGGGAGACUCCCGUUCUUAUACUCGAGGUCCUCGUAUUACAUCCGUUGAUUGAGAAUUUAACUGGCAGAUGAGAUUGCACCGCCUCAACUACCGACAUAAAUGUCAACUACCGUCUACCGACAUAAAUAACGGAAUAGACUUCUAGAAUAUGACUCAAUGACGGUUUCGCCCGCCCUUGGAAGCUUCGGGGAGAAGCCUUGAUGGGAAUCCGAGUGAGAGCAGGAGGUCUUCCACGGAUGAGACAUGGUCGUCCUCUAGGAACCUCUUGGGUUGACUCUCUUUUAGCCCGUGACACAUGACUGACGAGUGAGAGUAAGGUAGAGGUGUCAGCAACAAGCAUGAUUGAGAGUGACAAUCACAAGCGACAAGCAUGAUUGAGAGUGAAAACUAGACAAGUAGGAUUUUUAGCGUGAAUGAGAUUGAAGAAUGGGCAAUUAAUAAUUAGGGUUUUCAGUUUUGUAAUAAUAAGAAUUAAAAAAAUAUAUAUUGGUCCAGUCCAAGUGGUAUAAAUGAUUCAGUCUACACCUGAAAUUAGCAAUUAGAUUGAUUAUUAUUGGUUUCAGGUUUUAGAAACCAAGAAUUGGAUCGGAUCUAAUGGGAAUUGCCCAAAACACAUCGCAGUCCAAAUCUUUUUCUCACCCUAAUGAAUACUCAAUUCUUGAGGUGUUACUUACUCAUUAGACGGGACAAAAUUUAAGAUGUAAAUUGGGAUCCCUAUCCAUAUUUAUAUAGAUGAAUACCCAAUAAAACCCUCACCCUUCUCGCACUUAGCCCCUUAUCACACACCUCUCUCUCUCUCUAACCUUGUGGCCAUGGUCGCUCUCUGAAAUUGCGUCCAUGGCCACCAUAUAUAAACUAAGUGGCGUUGGCGACAGAAGAAGAGAAAGGAGGGAAGAGGUCGACGGCAACGGCGGACAAAGGUGUGUGCUGGAGGAGACAUGAGAGGUUGUUUGAGUGAUAGAGCUUGAGGAUUCAUGGGGGAGUUUGGGAGCUUGGCGAUUUACAAGGUGGGGGCAAUUUGACCUUUCUAGAGUUUAGUUUUAUCCAGCUGCAGCUGGUUGGUAUUUUCAAAGUAAGUAGAGUUGCCCUUCGAGCAAAAAUAUGAAAUAUGAAACCGGCACAAUUUGUGAAGAUAUACCGGCAAAGGCUAUGGAUUCGAAUGAAAAAACAUAGGAAAAUACGGCAAAGCUGGUUGGUAUUUAAUGAUAAAUGUGUAAUCUAAAGCCACCAGUGUGAGCUUCCAUUAUGGGUUAUAACUAUGACUGAGAGUUUUACUUUGUUAAUAUUUCAUAAUCUUUGUGUGUCUAAAAAUGAAUUGUGAUCAAUAGAUUAUAGCAAAUGAUGAUCAUUAGAAGUGAUGAUUCACUAUAAUUAUUUAAUGAAGAGUAUAAAUAGAACUUGGGUAGAUCUUGGAUCCUAUGACAUUGUAGUUUCCAAGGUCCUGAAUAUGCAUGUAGGUUACAGAUUUCAAAAACAGGAAAUCUGUUCCAAUGGUUUCAGGUAAAAUCUAGACGAAGCCUGAAACCACUCAUCUCUAAUCUUGAAACUGAAGUUGAGCACCAAUACCUAGGUGACAAUACUUUUGUAUCAGUUGCUUGGCGAGAUAAGAGCGCAUUCCAUUGCAUGCUCCAUGGCCGUAGCAGGUAGGAGUCAAGAAAUCAUCCCGCUCAUUCUAAUAAUUGAAGCCGGAGUUCGAUGUAUUAUUGACCAUAUCUUGAAGGAGAUCAGUGACCGCGUCUUUGUACGCUCAGGUUGCACCCGCGUCUUCAUUGCAGAUUUUUUAUACCAAUGUUUCAUCAGGAGCAUCUUUUAUAACGUUAAAUGAGCGAAGCAGUGCAAUUGGUGUAGCUGCAAUUUUGUGGAAUGGAGCCAUGUGUCUCUUACCUCGUUCUCUUGACAAUACUCAUCCUAUAUUGCCCCUCAAACUGAGGGUCGUAUCCAAGGAAAAUAAGCUUCUCGUAGGUUUCUCCACUCUUUAAAAAAAAAAAAUCUGCGAUUUGUUUGGUGAACAAGUUUACUCCUAGAAGUUACCAACAGUCAGGAAUGUAAUAAAUAAUUGAGUUCUUGUUUUAGCAGUAGUUUAGAACCUUUGCCUCAUCAAUUUGGGAAGCCGUCGUCAUCUUAUUUAAGCUCCGUUUAUUUGAUGAAAUAUAUUUUUCUCAGUUUGUAACAUUUGGAUAGUUUAGGAAAAUGAGUUAAUGAAAAAAAAAAUUUCCCUAUUCAAUAGAAAAACUAUGUUUUAAUUUAGGAAAAUGAUUUACCUUAAAAAAAUCAUUUUCCAAAAUAUUAUUAGAAAAUCUAUGUUCAGGAAUAGGAACCCUAAAGCUUGUUCUUGAGCCCUUGGCUGCGGACCUAAGUCUAAACCUGGGGCCGAGUCCACCAAAGUCCAUCAAGGCCAAGCUUGGGACGAAAGACACUAGGUCUGAAACCUUGAUGCUCAAGCCCGAGUUCUAUAGAGGUUAAGUUUGAGAUACCAGCUCUAGUAGUUGAGCCUAGGGAUCCAAUACCAUUGCUUAGCUCCCUAGCACCCCAACUCGAGUCCACGAAGGUCAAGCCCACAAAUACAUUUUGAAUACAAUUGAUUUUUUUCUUCGUUUUUUACCAACAAAGCCGUGGUCAAAAAUAGGAACCCUACAGCUCGAGUCCAUCGAGGUUGGGCCAGGACUUCAAUGCCUGUGCUCGGAUCCUUGAUACCCAUGCUCGAUUCCAUAGACCCGGGCAUGAGACCUUGAAGCUUGUGCCCUAGUCCCCGACACUUGGGUCCAUGGAGACCGAUCACGAGCUUGGGAAUCAAAUACCAAUGCCCAAGUCAGGGUCCAUUGAGGCCCUAGUGCUUGUACUCAAUUUCCCAACUGCCCAUGUGCAAGCCACUAACACCUGAAAGAGAUAUGUCUAUUAACUAAACAAUAGAAAAUAUUUUUCAAUUCAUUUUCAGAUUGCAGCCAAACAUCAGAAAAUUUUUGUCAUUUUUCAGGAAACAUCUUCUAAAAAUGUCAGAUUUUUUUCGUGAAACAAACUUAGUGUUGAUAGUGAGUAUGUUUUCUGCCGUCCUCUUAGCACAUUUUGUUUCGGAUUGUGACUUUUUCUUAAUCAGCCUCUUCCAAAGAUAUACUGGAAUUGUUAGUCAUAUGUCCUUAACAUUUUUCCUUCAUUUUGGGCGAGUGUAUUUACAAGAUGCAUAUUUGCAUGCUAUGUUUCUCCUCGACUUUCCCAUCAUAAGGUUCUUUGCAAAAGCCGCUUAACUCCAACCUCCAUUUUCAUUCAAAAACUCAUUAAUAGUUUACAGCAAAAUACACUUUUGUAUUCCUAUGCUUGAUGGGAAGACUUUUGCACGAGUGACCCAAAUCUUUGCUGGCGAUAACAUCGUUUUACUCCUAUUUUGAUGGGUACAUGUACUUAAAAAAAAAAUUAUAAUCAGCAUAAGAGGUUAGCGGUGACCUCCUGCGUCUUACGCGGUUCCUUACCAACUUAAAAUAGGUUAGGGACAACUCUAUGUUAUUACUAACAAAUAAGAAUUGAGAAUCAGUGUUGUGAUCGGUAAUUGGGAGAGUCCAUGCAAAGAGCAAAGCCACCUCGUGUGAGAGGAUUAUCCGAGCUCGCAUAACAAUCCGAUGAUCUGCUCAAGGUCCUCUUCUGGAGGAUCGUGACACACGCAUAGCAAGUUUGCUCACUCAAACAACUACAAUUGGACCAAUAUGUUUUUCAAAUUCAACAGGGUAAAAAUAACAGGAGCGCCAUAACUUUCGUUAUGAUACUUAAGUGAGUGAUAAUGUGAGCGCUGUAUGAAAUUUAUGACAUUUUUAGUGUACUUACCCUCAAAUCAAACAAAAGUAUCUCCAUUGGAGUGCCUAGCUAGCUGGUACGUAUCAGGGAAAUAUCCUCACCAUCUACAAUGUUAUCCACUCAAAUGUUUAGUUUAGCCAUGGAAUCAGAGCUAAAGACAAAGGCUAGAGAUCCCACAAGAAUAUGACUUGGAUUUGAUUUGUUAGUAUUUGAAGGCGUGUCUAAAUAACUUCGCACUUUUUAUUUUUUGCUUAAUUUAAAUCUCGAGAUAGGACGUACUUCAGCUUUUUCUUGGUUCAUAACUCCCCAAACUUUCACGACAUACCAAUUUUGACACGUGGGAUUUUACAGGAUUUUUUUAAAAUUUAGGUGACAUUUUAUAAUUUGGCCAGAAAACAAAAUUUUAUUUUUAUUUUUGCUGAAGCAUAGACAUAGAUGUCCAGAUUAUUGAGCCGUAACAACUUAGAGGCAGUUUAUUUACUAUUACAUCCUUUAGAUUAUUAUGGAUAAAAUCAAUUAUCUGAAAUGUGAUUAAGAUUUUCUCUAGGUUUUCAACGUUUUUCAACUAUUAAAUUUUGUUUAGUAGAUAAACGUCGUCUUUAGAAAAACUAAAAAGCAAGUUAAAUGAUCUUAUUAUUGUUCAUAGAAAAAAUUAAAAAAGCACGAGUCCAAACGGCACUUUAUUUGUGCACUAUAAAAAUGUCAUUGACAAUAAUGAUAACAGUUGAAGUUGAUUUGCUCAGUACUUAAAAUUCUUUUAUAAUCACUUACAUGUGUCUCUAUCUUGUUCAAACACAUGGUACUAUGUUGUCUUAUCUGGAUUUAUUCACCAAAUGACACAUGAGGCUCAUGGGAAUUCACAUGGACCUCAAAUAAUUGAAAAUUGCAAGAUAGUGCAGUCAUUCACCUAUGCUAUAUUCACAACAUAUUGAUAAAAACCCAUGUCAAUUUACCACAAAUUAUGAUAAGUCCGUAAAUUUUGAUGUAAAUGUGACACGGAUGCGCCGAUUUAGGGUAAAUAUUGCAGGAUGUAGAAGUUUGGGAUUUUUAUAACAUAAAAAUUAAUUUGAGAUAAAUGAAAUAUAAAUGCACUAGUUUGGAUUAAAAUGGUAUGAAUAUACCAGUUUGUGAUUUUUGGGUAAAUAUAGCAUAAAUGUACCAAUUUGAGGUUUUUGACAGCAUUAAUCGUAAUAAUAAUAAGCAUCAGCCGGUGCUAGGCUUUUCUUUAAUGCUACCACCAAAUUUUUUUAAUAGUUUCCAUAUAAAUAUUAUAUAUAUAUUUAUUACAACCCAAAAUGAAGUAAAAAAAAAAGUCAUCGCCAAGUGUAGUGCAAUGUUAGUGCAAAAAAAAAAUCAAAUCUUGUAAUUAAAUUAAUGUGAAAUCAAUAGAGAAAUAAAAAAAUAAACAAUAAAGAACACUGGAGAUUUACUUAAUUCCAUCCAAUUGUCAAUCCAUACUCCACAAGGAGAGUUAUCAGCAAAUAAUUUAGUAAUAAUCGAAAAAUUAAAGUUAUAAUCGGUCAUACACUUGGUGCUUUCCUCGCCUACAUUAAACCUAAAAAUGCGAUAUUUACAAAUAAAUAAAUUAACUAGUUGUGAUGAUCAAAGCACAAGUCAUAGCGCCUGGCUAAAAUCAAGCUCCGAACGCUUGGCCCUAGUUUCGCCCUUUUGCGGCUUUCUCUCUUCCUAAGGGGUCUCUUUUUCUUGUACGGAUCUUUUCCCUACGCUUUUCACGGUCAGAAAUGGGCAACAAUAAAUGAUGAAGAACUAGACCUACUAUUAGCGAAAACAUAGAACCACCGACCAACAAGAAAACAAACCUAAUUCGACUUAAGGGCAUGAUAAAUGAUGAAGAACUAGACCUACUUUUAAUGAAAAUAUAGAACCACCGACCAACAGGAAAACAAACCUAAUUCGACUAAAGGGCAUGAUAAAUGAUGAACUAGACCUACUUUUAGCGAAAACAUAGAACCACCGACCAAUAGGAAAACAAACCUAAUUCGACUAAAGGGUAUCCCAGAUUCUGACAAAUCAAAAUAUUUCAGCUAACUCGGAUCCCAUACAUGAGUCAAACUCAAUACAUAAUUUAAUAAAAUAGAUAUACCAAGAAAGAAUGUUGCUCAUCAAAAUAACUACAAUAAGAAGAGCUCGAUGUGUGAUCAGUCAUGUCUUGGAGAAGAUCAUUGAUGCCUCGACCCCCAUUCUUCUAUAUUAGCCUUCUUUCCCUUUGCUACUCUUUCUUUAUUAUGCUCACAAUACAAGAGCCUUGGAUGCACAUACAAAAGACCUCUAGUUAUAUUGGUUUCCUUUGCUCAUACAAAAAGAAAAUGUCGUUCUCUCCUCGUUAGAUAAAGACGCUGGAGUUUAGUCUUAACCUAAAUCGUGGAAAUAUGUAACUGGUAAAAUAGGUGCUCGAAAGAUCUUGAUUUAUAUGAAAUUUUGUGAUAUCACUUUCGAUUGUUCUAAAAAUUUAACUUAUUAAUGUCGCGACCUAAAUUUCGGGUGUACUACCUAAAACUAGGUUAAUGGAUUACUAAGUUUUUAACUUAGCUUGGGCUCUCCCAAGCCCAUACCAAUUCGCGACUUAAGGUUCAAGUAUUUAACAUGCAAAUGAUUAAUAUCUAGGAGUCGCCACUAAUCAGUUCACAGUAGGUCGAUUAGACACCUAAGUAAAAUAAUGGGAGAUUUAUUUUACUCCUACGAACCAGAGACUAAAGGUACAGAGACUUGGUUACACUAGAUUGCUCUAAUGCCCUUUCGGUACUAUUUCUUUUUUAAUUUUCAAAAACGUUUUUUGGAGGCAGCUGAUUUAUUUUAACCUAAAUUACUAUCAUGCAAAUGUGGUGACCACACGGGUGCUCAUCCAUUAUUAAAACAUUCAAAUAGGAAUAAUAAAUAAAUAAAUUGCAUCACACGAAGCAAGCAAUCAUUUUAUGGGUUUUCUUAAAAAUUAGAAUUCUUUUUAGAAAAAUGCAUUUUAAAACUAAAUGACUUAAUCUUAUUAAUAUGCAAAUCCUAAUUAAAUGGGUCUAUUAUGCAAACUAAUUAACAUGCACCUCAUGACCUAAUUUCACUAAUAAAAAAAUUAUGAUUAAAUGAUCCUAUUAUGCGAACUAGUUAACAUGCACCUAGUAUUUUUGUAUUUUUUUUUAUUGAAACUUUAGAAUUUAUGAAAUCCCUACUUAAUCUAUCUAAAAAGGGAUAAUUUUCUAAUUUAUUCUAAGGAUUCAUUUAACUUAAACCCUAUCCUAUCUUAGAAAACUAUUUAUUGAAAAAUGAGAUAAUUAAAAUGUGCGAACACUAUCUAAAACCCUAAAGAAUUUACUUAGGUUCAACCCUAACUUAUUUCUAAAAAUGCAAUCCUAAAAAUGUAAUCCUAAGAAAAAUCUAAGUUAUUAAACCUACAUGUUUGAUUUACUAAACCUAUAUGCUCAUGCAGAAUUUUGAUUUUUGAUUUUAUGAAUUUUUUUAGUUAUUUUAAAAAGAUAAGUAAUUAUUAAAUAAAUAUUAAAUCUAAGCUAUCAACAAAAUAAAGGAUUAAAAUAAUCGAAAAAAAUAACAUGUUGUCUCACAGGUCAAAUUAAGUCACAUGUCAAAUUAACGAUUAUCCUAACUCUAACUAUCACGACAAAGAGAUCAAAAUAAUUAAAAAUCUGAUCCGAAGUCUUACGGAUCAAAUUAAUAAUUAUAAUGAUUUAACAAUUUAAAUUCUACCAAAAAUAGCCCAAAAAUUAAUAUAAUUAAAAAAUAAUCCGAUAUCUCUCGGAUUAAAUUAAUAAUUACAAUAAUUCUGGACAAAAUCCUAGCGGAUAAUGCCUACAAACUGCACAAAUAUUAACAUUCAAUAUUACAAUUUAAGCCAUUACAACUAAACAUGAUAAAUAAAAAAAUAAUAAUAAACUACCUUGAUUUUUUUUUAAAUAAAAAAGGGGCCGGAGCACGGGCGGUUUGGGCAGUGACGAUGCUGGUGCUCGGAGGUGAGGCAGGUGCCACGGACGGGCGGAGGCGCGGCGUGCUGAACGGCGAGGGUGCGGGAUCGCGGCGGCGCGGGACCGGUGCAGGCGCGGGUGAGGAGCGGACGCACGGCGAUGAGCGGCGCGGAGGCAACGCGGGCUGCUGGCGCGGCAGCGUCGGGCUCCGAGGUCAGGUGCGGGGGGCGACGCGGGCAGCGGUACUGCGGAGACGAGCUGCUGAGGCGGAAGGGUUCAGUCAGGUGAGUAGCAGUCGGCGGUGGUGCGGGCUGCUGAGGUGUAGCGACGGAGUCGAGCUCUGGCGCAGGGACAGCGGGUUGCUGGUAUCGGAUGAACAGAGGCGCGCAGUGAAGGGCGCUGCAGAUCGCGGAUGAAGCGUGGCGACGCCGGGCCUGGUGAAGCGGCGGCGGCGCUCGUGGAGUCGGUGCGACGCGAGAGCGGGUAGGGGCGUCCACGCGAAGAAGACGAACAGUUGCUGCUGCUGCUUUUUUUUUUCUUUUUUUUUUUCUCUGGCCACACAUCACUUCUCUGCUCUUUUUCUCUUUCUUUUGCUGACUUUUCCCCUUCUUUUCUUCUGCAGGUUGUCAGAAGGGAAAAAAAGAAAAAGACCCUUGGAUGAGAAAAUGGGGUUUCCUCUCUUUUAUUUUUUUUUCUCACUUUCACGAAUGCUCUCAGCUUUUUUCACGAAAAUUUUUUGGCCGAUUCUUCCCCCUCAAACCUUGUGCAGGUCCACAUUCCGCACGACCACUUUCUAUGGUAAAUUUCAAACUUUCAUCUUCUGUUACAUUAAAUUAAAUAUGCAAAUCGGAACAUGAUUUGGCAAUUAGCUCAAUUUUACACCGAUUCCUUCCAUUUUAUCAAAAUCCUUAGCCUUUGUUCACCUGAUUUUAAAAUUGUUGCUGCAUUUAACAAAAUCCGGACAUCCAUCAUAAUUCCAUAUUUCCUUGCAUACUUACAUCAAAUCAAUUUCCCUCAUUUUCAUUUUAUUAUUUGUUCAAAAUGCAAUUUUAUUUUUCCAAAAUUAGGUGUCAACAAUUAAAUGAAUGUACGAUUUAUUAUCUAAAUAUUUCAGUAAAUUAAUGUCCAUCGGACCACAUUUUCCGCUCAUUUCCAUCUGGCAGUUUCUGAUUUGGUGGUUUUCUCGAGAUUUUUUCACCAAGUCGCGAUCCCAAAGUCCACACAAGUCAAUGUCUGGACUCCAUGCCUGGCAACGAAAGCUGUUGGACAGCUCCAAAUGGGGCUUCCAUGCACCGAAACAUCAGGACCGCACCCGUGACCACAAGCGUCUCGUCAUCAUUUAACGUUGUUUGUUCUCGUAUCGAUUGCGACUUCGUGAAAUUUCCAAGAAACGGGGAAGCGUGACUCUCGUUUCCGAGAUAUUUUUACGCGGUUUUAUUAUCCGUGCAAAGAGAGGCAAGGGUUGGAGCGCUCUAUAAAACCACUGGAGAACUCGUAUUCAUUAUCCUCGUUUCUACACAUAUAUCGAGAGGCAAUCCAAGCAUGAAGGUGGAAAUACAGUGGAAGAAGCUGGUCAAGCCGUCAGUGCCGACACCGAGCGACCAGCGAAAAUGGAAGCUAACGUCAAUAGAUGAGCUUCAGAUGCCAAAUUAUGUGGGCGUUAUCUUCUACUAUAGAGAUGAUGCUGGGAACCCCAGAGUCGAUAUAUCUCAAAGGCUUCACCAAAUGGAGGAGUCACUUUCCAAAACUCUAACCCUCUUUUAUCCUAUGGCAGGGAGAUACAUCGAGGACGACUAUGGUUGUUUUAUCGAUUGUAACGACCUUGGAGUGGAGUUCGUCCAUGCCAAAGUGGAUGGCCAAAUUGAUCAGCUUCUCCAUAGAGACCCCGACAUGGAUUUGCUCGAAUAUUUGUCGCAAUUCCCGAACAAUUCAGUAGGCAAUCCACUAGUGGUGAUUCAAGUGAAUACGUUCGAGUGCGGCGGAAUAGCAAUUGGCUUGCGCUCUACACACAGGAUCAGCGACGUGUGCACCAUAGCCAUAUUCAUUAAUUCGUGGGCCACCGCUUGCCGAGGUAACGUAGAUGUUACAGUCUGUCCAAGUUUCGAGUUGUCGUCUCUAUUCCCAAUGAAAGUGUCGGCCGUUGCGAAUUGGCCUCCGCCACGGAGUACUGGCAGCAAGGAAUUCACGGUGUCUAGGUUCAGGUUCAGCGGUGAUGCUAUAUCGAAGCUGAGAGCCCUAGCAAGGGAUGAUGCAAAGGAUUCAAUGGCCAACAACUUCCAGCCUUCGAGGGUGGAGGUUGUUUCGGCACUAAUAAGUAAGGCUCUCGUCAAGAUUGAUCGAUGUGGACAGGGCGAAGAAAGGCCUAUCGCAGUUUAUAUGACGUUUAACUUGCGCGAUAAAGUCAAACUAAAGAUACCCGCAAAUUCUUGUGGCAAUUUCUUCAGCGUGAUUUCUGGGCGCUCCGAUCAACCCGCGGCCAGCAAAAGGAAUCCGGAGUUCAAUGAGAUGGUGAAUAUAAUCCACAAUAUAAUAUCGGACGCUAAAACGAAAUAUGCAACAAUAGUAAACAAGCAGGAGUUCUGCUCGACGGUGGGGAAUUCUAUAGCCGAAUUUGUCAAAGUCGCGUCCUCAAACGAAGUGCAUACGAUAUUUUUUAGUAGCUGGUGCCGUUUCGGGCUAUUUGAGAUUGACUUCGGGUGGGGAAGUCCGGUUCCCGUCAGCAACAUAUCAUUGAAUCUCAGAUCGGCCUUUCUUAUCGACGAUGAAGAGGGCAAAGGAAUUGAUGCAUGGACAACCACCACUGGAGAUGAGAUGAUUCUUCUUAAACAAGAUCCGGAUAUACUGGCAUUCACUUCCAAGUUGGAGGUGGAGAGGUUGCACGAAUAUGUAAUCUGAGAAGUCAUUGUAUCUUACUAUAAUGUAGAGCAGGAAAAAGAAAAUGGACUUGGUCUGUAGUAUUUGUUACAUCUAUUUCAUUUCUUUAAGAAGGAUGGUUCUUGUGGACAAUGUUAAUCAACUUAUUGAAUACCUUAGAGCGAACUCCUCUAUCGUGUUCAAUUUCCUCAGGCUAACCUGUCACACCCCAAAUCUCGAGCACGCGUAUAUCCAUCGGUGGUCGAUAAAAUUGCGACGUCCCAAGACGCGUCGCCAACCCGUUAAUUUUAAGGCACAUGUGGAAGCAAAAUAAAAACCCCUAACUGUAAACAGUAUGAGAUAAAAAAAACAGGACAACAAAUUCACAAACAAAACACAUUUUUAUAAACAAACUAGUCUAUUUAUGAAAAGAUCAGCUCUCCAAAAGAAGUUAUCCUACAACCCACUAAUCGGACAUAUUCGCCGAUCCUUCGGACUCCACUUCAAUAGGCUCUGGGGGCUUCAGGUCCUCCACAACCCCAUCAAGAGGGUCAGCUGCACCCUUACCCAGAGCAGCGUUGACUGCAAUAGCGAAGAUAUCAAAACCCUGAAGGGGACCAUCCCAUUAUCCAUUGAACCCAUGGCGAAAUCAUGCCCUAAAUUGAUGAGGUACCCUCUGAGGUAGGCUCUCAUCAACCCAGACAGUGGUCACUAUGAGCUCAUAGACCCAAUGACUUCCGGGGACAAGGACAUUCGUGCUCCACUCAGUAACCCCUCAAGGCUGACCAAAACGAACUGGAGGUACCGCCAUCUAAGGACCUGAAAAUGUUAAGCCCAUGACGGGGUGAGACAAUAUCUCAGCAAGUUUACUCCCUAAACCCCUAUUUAGGAAGAAAAUACGCAUAGAGGUAAUCUAACCACACAUCACAUAAGACUUACCUUGCCUCAGUUCAUUCCUAUACAUCAGUACAAUUCAUAUCGCAUAUAAUUGCAUUAAAAGCACUCAUCAAUCGGGACGUCUGAACUUAUAACCAAACAAUUAUAGGGGUUCCGAUUAUAAGGCCAAAUCGUUAUUACCCGUCUCAUUCCGUGCCACACAAUUUUCUCCUAUAAUCAGGCGUGUCAAUUCAAUCAAUCACACAUCUCAAUUGAUUACGACCCAAUGGCCACGAUCAAAUCAAUAGUCAGCGGUCUUCCGGUGUAGCUGGGCAUCGUCUCGCACCAUUGAGCACGGCAACUUCUAUACAUAGACGGUAUUUCAUUAGGAAGCAUCGGUCCAGCCUCCAUUACAAUUGACAUUUGUUGACUUGGGGCAUCCCAUGUAGAGCAUCGUCCGGCUUAACAGCUUGUGACGGAUUUUCAUAGCCAUCACACGAUCAUUCAACCUUGGGCAAGGACAUCAUGCAUUGUACUCAAAUGUCUCAAUUAAAAUAUUGAAUUUGGCAUAUUUUCUUCAUAUUAAAAACACCUGGUAAAAAAAACCGUGUGGGUACAUGGUCAGAUCGAACUAAAAAAAUUGAUAUUCUUCCUUUUUAAAUUUCACUAUUUAAUAUAGUAUUUAAAAGCAUUUUCGGUGUCAAAACCUGACACCCGGUAUUUUCUAAUUAAAUACCAAAAUUUCACAAUUUUGAAAUAAUAACUCAAAAUCACAAUCAUCACUCAAAUUGUACAAAUUAACAUUCAAUUGCAUAAACUAAACACACCAUUGCAAUCAGCACGAAAUUCCGGUCACUGACUAUCCUAGUAUAAUUUUCAAAAAAUAUUAAAUAAUUAAAUAAAUAACAAAAAUAAUUAAAUUAGUGCAAUUUAACCAAAUAAAUACAAACCUAGGCCGGAAACACUAAUUUAACCACCUAACCGGGCCUAAAAAAUUAAUGCACCUAUCCACAUAAAUAUUACAAUCUAUUUAGCUCUUAAUCAAUCUAUUCUAACAACCUAACAAUCAUAAUUAAGCAAUUAAAUCACUAAUCCAUACUAACUAAUCACAUAAAUCAUACUUAGCCUAAUCUAAUUACCUACUAAACGUCAUUAACUCCAUAAAUAGAGUUUAGCAAGUAAACUCAUUGGAUUAGUGAACCGGUGAGUCCAUGGCGAUCGCGACGUAGAGGCGAGGGGAACAUGAGCUUGCAGCUGUUGGAGAAAUCUUCUUGAAGUGUUUUGAAGCUGAAAAAACGUUUCCAUCAGUCUAGUCUGAAGGCUUGCAGACUCUGCUAUUUAAAGUCUGAAGACCUCCGGACAGCCAGACUCAAGACUCAAAGUCUAUCCUCAUUGACAGUCUUUAAUCCGUUGAAGAAAUGUUAUCAAGAACUUGAUGUUUCGUUAAGGAUUUAACCUUAUCAACUGGAGAAGAUCUCGUGGCUGGAAAAGACAUAACGGAGUCCUUUGAUUGAUCGAAGAUUGACUCGAUAAAUUGAAGAUCCGGUGAUUGCCUAAAUAUUAUUGGAAGGUUCUACUUAUGGAAACCGAGAUUCUGAUUGUAUGGGCGAACAGGAUUGAUGAGCUAUCGACACGUUCCUUUAAUAGCUCGAACAAUCUUCCUAAUUGAUUCCGUCCAACGGGUAGAUUGGAGGAAUUCCUUUGGUAAGUGCCAACGGGUAUGAUGGCAUAAAGGAGUAUAUAAGGAAGACGGUCUUAGUUGUUCAAGGUGUGCGCGAUAGAAGAAUUCCAAAGUCUGAAGCUCCUUUUUGUUUAGACAAUUACUUUGAGCAAAUACUUGUAUACAAAAGAGAGUCUAUAUUUGUGAGAAAUCUUGAGGAGGUGUGGUAGAACAUCUACACUGUGGAAUCAAGGCAAAGCUGUGCUGUAACUUCUCUUUUGUUCAUAGUGGAAUCUAGCCAAUAAGCUGUCAGUGAAGAAGAGUGGACGUAGGCUUGAUAUAAGCCGAACCACUAUAAACCGCGUGUUCAAUUUUCUCUUCUCUCAGUCUUACUUUGAUUAUCGUUUGUCUCAAAUCCAUCAACUGUCUAGUAUUGUGCAAUUAUCGAAGAAAAAUCUUUUAUAUACCUAUUCACCCCUCUCUAGGUACUUAUACUAGCAAUAUCAAUUGGUAUCAGAGCCUGUGUACUUACUUUAUUUGAAGUGUUUUACUUCGUAGUAAAAGAUCCAUGGCUAGUAUGCUAGCACCAGGGCUGAUGGAAGGGCAAAGCAAUACCAGACCACCCUACUUUGAUGGAAAGGAUUACAACAUCUGGAAGAAGAAGAUGAAAGCUUUCCUACGAUCAAAGGAUCCUCUGGAAUGGGACGUUGUAGAAAAAGGAAUUACUCCUAUCACUGCAUCAGUCUCUAAAAGAGGGAAAGAAACUAUUGAGACCAGCGGAUUGACUCAGGAAGAGAUAAUCAAGAGACAAGCACUCAACGCAAAAGCAAUUUACUCUUUAUAUUGUGCUUUGUCACCAACUGAAUAUAAUAGAAUAUCUUCUUGUGUUACAGCAAAAGAAGUUUGGGACAGAUUGUAUAUCACCUAUGAAGGAACAGAUCGAGUGAAGGAAACCAGAAUUAACAUUCUUCUCGGUCAAUAUGAAGCCUUCAAAAUGAAACCAGGAGAAUUUAUAACUGACAUGUUUAGCCGUUUUAUAGAUAUUGUCAACGGUCUAGAGAAUCAAGGACAAACAAUUUCUGAUCCCAUGAAGGUAAACAAGCUAUUGCGUGGACUCUCCAAGGAUUGGAAUCACAUAAAGACUUCGAUAAGAGAGACGCAAAGAAUUAUGCCACUAUCUGUCGACGAGCUAAUUGGAACUCUUCAGUCUUAUGAAGUGGAACGGAUCAAUGAAGAUGAAGAUCCAAAAGGUAAGAAAUCCAUUGCAUUAAAAUCAAAUGAUGAUUAUGAUGAUACAGAUUCUGAAGAUGAUAUGGACGAUGAAGAGCUUGCUCUCAUGAUAAGAAGAUUCAGAAAACUGAAUAGAAAAGGAAGAAGGUUCAACUCAAAGAAACAAAGCUUUCAAAGACAGCAGACCAAGUCUGUUGAUGAUGAGGAACCAAACAAAGAUGUAGUCUGCUUUGAAUGUAAGAAAAAGGGACACAUCAGACCCAACUGUCCUCUUCUGAAGAAGAAGAGAGGAAAAGCUGAAAAAUUUCGAAAAGCUCUCAAAGCCGAAACCUGGAGUGAUACAGAGUGUGAAGAAAGUGAUAAUGAAUAUGCCAAUCUAUGUCUGAUGGCACAAUCAGACUCAGACUCUGGAUCAGACUCAGACAGUGAAUUUGAGGCAAGUAAUUUUAAAAUUCCUGUCAAAGUUUCUAAAUACAUUGAUGAACUGUGUUUUAGUCUUAAGACUUCUCUCAAAAGAAUUUCCGAACUGAAAAAGGAAAACUCAGCUCUAAAACAAAAGGAAAACAUUUUAGUAGAAAGAGUUAAAAGUCUAGACUUGACUGUUUCCACUUUUAAAGAAAAUGAAGAUAAUCUUUUAAAAGAAAAUGCUCUUUUAAAAAAUGACUUAUCAAAUAUUUCAAAGAAAUUUUCAAUAGGGUCUGAAAAACUUGAAAAAAUUCUUUCAGCUCAAAGACCUUACUUCAAUAAGUCCGGUCUAGGUAUGACAGCAGAAACAAUUCCCUUAAUUGAUUUUCCUAAAGUAAAAGAAAGAAUUAAGAAAAGACUCUCGAGAGAGGCUUACAAAAAUCAUUUCAAGAAAGUUUUUGUAAAAUCUGUAGGUAGAAAUGCUCUCAGAUGUUCAAAGUGCAACAGUCCGGAUCACUUUGAAAAAGAGUGUCCUAUGGUUUGGAAACCUGUUAAGAAAAUAUGGGCUAAUACUGCUUAUGUUACUAACACCAAAGGACCCAAGAAAGUUUGGGUACCAAAGAAAGCUUGAGACUUUAUUUUAAAUGCAGGUCACUGUCAAGAAAAAGGUAAAGUGGUAUCUUGACAGCGGAUGCUCAAGACACAUGACAGGAGACUCAAAUUGUUUUAUAAAGCUUACUCAAGUAAAUGGUGGAAAAGUUUCAUUUGGAGGAAACAACAAAGGAAGUAUUGUGGGAUUUGGAACUGUGAAAAUUGGAAAUCUCACAAUAAGUAAUGUUUCCUUAGUGGAAGGACUCAAUUACAAUCUUCUCAGCAUUAGUCAAUUGUGUGAUACUGGUUUCAAGAUCUUCUUUCAAGAAGGAAUAUGUUCUGGAAUCAGUAAAGACUCUACUCAGUCUUUCAUGGGUCGAAGACAUGGAAACAUCUAUCUUCUGGAUAUGAAACCAAAUGAAUCGCAAUGUCUUAUCUCAAUUCAAGAUGAAGCAAGCUUAUGGCACAGAAAGCUUGGUCAUGUCAACAUGAAGUAAUUAGCCAAAAUCUCAUCAAAGCAGCUUGUUCGAGGACUACCCAAAUUACCUUAUCAAAAGACUGAUCCAUGCACUCCAUGUAUUCUGGGAAAGUAGGUAAGAAAUUCAUUUAAGCCAAUAAAUCAUGUCUCUACUAAUCAUGUACUACAGUUGCUGCAUAUGGAUCUCUUCGGACCAACCAGAACACAGAGUAGUGGAGGUAAGAAAUAUUGCCUAGUAAUUGUGGACGAUUACUCCUGUUUUACUUGGGUAUAUUUCCUUGCAAGUAAGUCCGAAACCUUCUCGUAUUUUGAAAAAUUUGCUAAAAAGGUUCAAAAUGAAAAAGGAUGUGUUAUCUCAAGUAUAAGAACAUAUCAUGGAGGUGAAUUUGAAAAUCAAGAUUUUACAAAAUUUUGUGAUGAAUCUGGCUUUAAGCAUGUGUUCUCCUCUCCAUAUACUCCUCAGCAAAAUGGAGUUGUGGAAAGAAAGAACAGAUCUCUUCAAGAAAUGGCUAGAACUCUUUUAAUUGAAAGUAAGAUUUCUUCACGAUUUUGGGUUGAAGCUAUUUCAAUAGCUUGCUAUAUCAUCAAUAGAGUCUUCUUAAGACCUAUUCUAGAGAAAACCCCUUAUGAGUUAUUCAAAGAUAAGAAGCCUAUUGUUUCAUACUUUCAUGUAUUCGGUUGCAAAUGUUUUAUAUUGAAAAAUGCAAAAGAUCGAGUUGGUAAGUUUAAAGAAAGAUCAGAUGAAGGUAUCUUCCUUGGAUAUUCUACAUCAAGCAAAGCCUACAGAGUCUAUAACAAGAAGAGCCAGUCUGUGGAGGAGUCAAUGAAUGUCAAAUUUCAAGACUCAACGCAAGAUGAAUCAAGUCAGACUCAUCAAGAAGAGUCUGAACCUGCUUCAGACCCUCCAAAGCUUACAACUCAAGAAGCAUAUCAGACUCUGGAAGACCAGCAUCAGGUUGUUCGUGAAGAUCCAAAUAAAGAGAGAGAUCAUCAACCAGACAAAUCAACAAGUAACUGGAAGCAUAAGUCCAGUCAUCCCAAAGAUCUUAUAAUCAGCGAAAUUAAUGAAGGAAUUCGCACCAGAUCCAAAAGGGGAGAAGAGUCUAGUGCUGUGGCUCUUGUUUCUGAAAUUGAACCAAAGAGCAUAGAAGAAGCUUUAUCUGAUGAAAGCUGGAUUGAAGCUAUGCAAGAAGAGCUCAGACAGUUCAACAUUAAUGAUGUCUGGGAAUUGACAUCCAAACCAAAAGGUAAAACUGUUAUUGGAGCUAAAUGGGUGUUCAGAAACAAGAUGAAUGAGAAAGGAAGAGUCGUACGAAACAAAGCAAGACUCGUGGCCAAGGGAUAUAUGCAAGAAGAAGGAAUAGACUAUGAUGAGACUUACGCACCAGUAGCAAGGUUAGAAGCUAUUCGACUAUUACUUGCGUUUGCUUGUUAUAAGAAUUUCAGGUUAUUCCAAAUGGACGUCAAAAGCGCCUUCCUAAAUGGAUUUAUCCAUGAGGAAGUUUAUGUGGAACAACCACCAGGGUUUGAAGACCCAAAGAAGCCAGACUCAGUCUUCAGACUGAAAAAGGCUUUGUAUGGUUUAAAGCAAGCACCUCGAGCUUGGUACGAUAGAUUAAGUAAGUUCUUAAUACAAAAUGGUUUUGUCAAAGGUAAAGUAGAUACAACUUUAUUUAUCACAAAGGAAAACAAAAGUUUCUUACUUGUUCAAAUAUAUGUGGAUGACAUUAUUUUCGGAUCCUCUAAUGAAAAUCCGUGCAAGAAAUUUUCUAAGUCUAUGCAGGAUGAGUUUGAAAUGAGUAUGAUGGGAGAGUUAACAUUCUUUCUUGGUCUUCAAGUAAAACAAUUGAAGGAAGGAACUUUUAUUUAUCAAGAAAAAUAUGUUAAUGAUCUUGUCAAAAGGUUUGGACUGGAAAAGUCCAAAAAGACUGACAUACCGAUGUCAAGUUCUUUGAAGAUAGACAAAGAUGAAGAAGGGAAGAAAGUUGAUCAAAAGCUGUACAGGAGCAUCAUUGGUUCACUUCUUUAUCUUACUGCUUUUAGACCUGACAUUUUGUUGAGUGUUUGCAUCUGUGCUAGGUUUCAAUCGGAUCCUAGAGAAUCCCAUCUCAGUGCUGUGAAACGUAUCAUUAAAUAUGUUGCUACAUCAUCAAGCAUCGGUCUUUGGUAUCCUAAGAAGGGAGACUUUAAUCUUCUGGGAUAUUCAGACGCAGAUCUGGCCAGUUGCAGUUUGAUAGAAAGAGCACUUCAGGAACUUGCCAGUUACUUGGAAGCAGGACAGUGUCUUGGUUUUCAAGGAAACAAAGCACUGUGUCUCUUUCAACAACAGAAGCAAAGUAUGUAGCCCUUGGAAGCUGCUGUUCGCAAAUUCUAUGGAUAAAACAACAGCUAAGAGACUUUGAAAUUGAAGACUCAUGCACGGAGAUUAAUUACGACAACACCAGCGCUAUCAACCUCACCAAAAAUCCAAUUCUCCACUCAAGAGCAAAACAUAUAGAGAUUCGACAUCACUUUAUUAGAGACCAUGUUCAAAAUGGAGAUGUUUCAAUUCAAUUUGUUGACUCAAAGAACCAACUAGCGGAUAUAUUCACAAAGCUUUUGGAGAAAAAUCAAUUUGAAUAUAUCCGUUCCAGACUCAACAUUUUGAGGUAUGAGGAUAUCAAAGUCUAAAGACUUUCAGACUCAGACUUACAAGACUUUAUCUUUAAGAUAGUCUUGGUACGAUCGUCAGACUGUAAGUCUUUCUCUCUUGAAUCUCAUCUUGAAAAGGUACGAUCGUCAGACUGUGUUUAAAUUGUUGCUAUAUUUAAUUGACGUAAUUAUUGCAUCGUUUCAUUUUCAAAAAGGAAGUUAUUUUUGAAAUGGCUAUUUUUGCGGAAAAAGACAGUUGUUUUGAAAAGGCAUUUUUUUAUUUCCUUUGUGACGGUUCGUUUAUCUCUCUUUUUAACCGAUCGAGCACUGUCGAUUCCUCUUCACUUUAUUCUCAAAAACCCUAGAAAGCAUCGAUCCUCCAUUUUCGUUUGUCUUCUUUGUUUAAUCUUCAAAAAAUUGUCAUCUUUCUUGGGAAAGUCAAGUAAGGAAUCUUCCAAAAAUUGAGAAAGAUGUCAUCUUCAAGAAAGUCUUCGAGAAUCGCAAGCAGGGGACCACGGCGAAUAAGUGAGGGGCCUACGCACUUCGAUCUUACUGAAGAAGAAGUGUCUCCAGAACAGCAAGCGAGCCCACAACAUUCUCAGCAGCGUCAUUCUCCUCCACCUAGUCCUCAAGGCGUUGAUCAUCACCAACAAGAAGAAAUCAUCGAGGAUGCAGACCCUGUAAGAGUUCAAAAGCCUGCUUAUAUUUACCAGCUAUAUUGUGCCUUAAAAGGAAUUCGUACUCCUUUGAACUAUGUUGAUGAUUUUCUUAAAGACAAAGGACAUGGGAACGAAUAUAUCUUUCUGCGAAAAAUGGAAAGUUUGGGAAUUGCUCGUAAAGGGGUGGCUGAGGAAACCCUUGCGAAUAUCCCAAGUGAUCCUCGUGAUUGGGGGCCGAAUCCUGUAGAUGGGAAUGAUGAUGACAAAUUGUACAGUCAAUUUCAACCGAAAAUGGGUGUUGCGGUUGAAAAUCAAGGAAAAAUGGGAGAUUUGUUCAGAUCGAAGGAACAAAAGGAUCUGUACUCGAAAUUGCUGAAGCGUGGGGUAAUAAACCCUAGGAGUGUAGAUUUUGAUUUUCUAGAUGCUGUGAAUGUGAACUUGAGGGAAAAGUUCAGUUAUCUUCAACUUAAAAAGUUCUGCUCUGACACUACAGAGGCCUAUGCUGAAUUAACUGCAUAUUUCUAUUCAAAUCUUAGCUUUUUGGAUGCGAAUAGAUUCUCUUUCAGCGUUAAAGACCAAGACUAUGUUGUGGAUAUGAAUAUGCUGGCAGAUGUGUUAGGAGUUGAAAGAGGAAGAUAUCAACCAAUCAAAGUUUCCAUUGCUCGGGCCACACUGGAACUGGUGAAGGACAGGAGAACAGAUGAAAAGAUCACCUACUUAAGGAUGAGUGCAUUCAACAUCUUGCUUCACAAGAUUGUGAUUAAUUGCCUCCGACCGAAAUCAACUUCCAAGACUGAUGUUUCAAGUUCAGAGGCCAAGCUGAUGUAUGCCAUCCUCUUUGGGAAAAGGUUUUCUCUCCCUCACACUGUUAUGUUUCACAUGUAUAAAGCAAUGAUGAAGGACAGAGGUCAACUCCCUUACCCAAGCCUUGUUACGAAGUUAUUUAGACAUCUGAAUAUUCAGCCUCCGCAAAUCUUUUAUGUUCGACCAUGCGAUCAUAUGGUGGUAGGACUGAAAAUGGUGACCAAAAUGCGUCUGAAGGAACUGAGCAAGGAGUUGGAGAAAUUCAAGGAGAAGACUCCUGCCAAAACUCAUCAAAUCUCUUCUGCAGCUAAAAGAAAAGGGAAGGAGCCCAUGGUUGCUCCAUCCAAGAGAAGAAGAGCUCUCCUCAUUGAGGAUGAAGAUGAUGAGGAAGACAUCACCAUCUCUACAAUGGCUUUGAAGAAUUUAAGUUGUCCUGUUCCACAGAAAGAAUCGGAACAAAUGACGAAAAAAGCAGAGGAGAAGGAAGAAGAAGAAAUAGAAGCUGAAAAAGAAGCAGAGGAGGAAAGACCUGAAGAAGAAAGAAGAGAAGAAGGAGAACCUGAGGAACACUCUUCUCCACCUGUAGGCAUGGAAACAGGGGGAGAUCAGGAGAAAGGAGUGAAGUCUUCAUAUCCUGAUGCAAGUGAAGGAGUCAGUCGCUUACCUGCAGACCCAGAGGAUGUUUAUGCCUCUCAGUUUCCAGAGGAAGGUCAUGAAGUUUCAUCGCCAAAUCUGCGAGAUUAUGCUGAUCUACCAUUGUCUGCAUUUACUCCAUCAGAUCGAGCCGAAGCAAGUACUCAGACUGAUAAUGCAGCAGAUUUUCACAGAAUCAUGGAUAUUCUCUUGGAGAUGCGAGGUCAAAUUUAUGCCUUGGGAUGCGAGGUUCAAAACUUGCAGAAUGCGGGUCAAGUUUCUUCAUGUUCAUUGAAUGAUAAGAUCCAAGCCCUCUUUGUUCAGAUUCAGGCCAAUGCCAAGGGUGAGGAGAUUGCACAACUAAAGGAAGACUUGAAAAGGCUGGAAGGCAUCGUUCAGUCUAUGGAAGAUUUCCAGCUUGUCCGCGUUCCCAAGCAAUCUUGACUUCAUCUCAUCAUUUUUAAUGUUGACAAAAAGGGGGAGAGAUGCAAGAUUUGAACAAACUUUCAAUUGUUAAACUUUUUGUUGGAUUGUUUUGUUGUUUGAACUCUGUUUGACUUUGUUUUGUGUCUGGAUGAGAACUGAACUAGACUUGGACUUGACUGCUUCUAUUAACUAGUAUUGAUUUCUUAUGGAUGACUUUAUCGUAUACUAGACUAACCUAUUUUCUGUGGUUGCAGAUUCUAGUGUUAUUCAUUUAGCCAUUUAUCUCUAUAAGAUAUGCAUAUGUGUUUGAGAAAUGUUUUGCAGGUCAAAGUUAUCCAAAUCUGUAGGAAAUUUUUGUCACCAUCAAAAAGGGGGAGAUUGUUGGAGAAAUUUUCUUGAAGUGUUUCGAAGCUGACAAAACGUUUCCAUCAGUCUAGUCUGAAGGCUUGCAGACUCUGCUAUUUAAAGUCUGAAGACCUCUGGACAGCCAGACUCAAGACUCAAAGUCUAUCCUCAUUGACAGUCUCUAAUCCGUUGAAGAAAGGUUAUCCAGAACUGGAUGUUUCGUUAAGGAUUUAACCUUAUCAACUGGAGAAGAUCUCGUGGCUGUAAAAGACAUAACGGAGUCCUUUGAUUGAUUGAAGAUUGACUCGAUAAAUUGAAGAUCCGGUGACUGCCUAAAUAUUAUUGGAAUGUUCUACUUAUGGAAACCGAGAUUCUGAUUGUAUGGGCGAACAUGAUUGAUGGGCUAUCGACACGUUCCUUUAAUAGCUCAAACAAUCUUCCUAAUUGAUUCCGUCCAACGAGUAGAUUGGAGGAAUUCCUUUGGUAAGUGCCAACGGGUAUGAUGGCAUAAAGGAGUAUAUAAGGAAGACGGUCUUAGUUGUUCAAGGUGUGCGCGAUAGAAGAAUUCCAAAGUCUGAAGCUCCUUUUUGUUUAGACAAUUACUUUGAGCAAAUACUUGUAUACAAAAGAGAGUCUAUAUUUGUAAGAAAUCUUGAGGAGGUGUGGUAGAACAUCUACACUGUGGAAUCAAGGCAAAGCUGUGCUGUAACUUCUCUUUUGUUCAUAGUGGAAUCCAGCCAAUAGGCUGUCAGUGAAGAAGAGUGGACGUAGGCUUGAUAUAAGUCGAACCACUAUAAACCGCGUGUUCAAUUUUCUCUUCUCUCAGUCUUACUUUGAUUAUCGUUUGUCUCAAAUCCAUCAAUUGUUUAGUAUUGUGCAAUUAUCGAAGAAAAAUCUUUUAUAUACCUAUUCACUCCCCUCUAGGUACUUAUACUAGCAAUAUCAGCGGCAACACCAAGCGAGGCCCAGAAGAGACCUAAAACGGGCCACGAAGCCCGACAGCCUUUGUUGCCUUCGGUUUUGUCGAAGGACCGAAGGGCUGGGCUAAGCGGCGGGUUGGCUGGAAACAGCCACAAGGGCGGCAAACGGCAGCAACGAGACAAGGUGGUGGCUCCGGCGGCUUGGAUGGCUUGGACGGCAACCAUGGCGAGCUCGAGGACUUGUUAGCAGACGCGAGAUAAUGGCCUAGGCUCGCGGGGGAUGGCGAGCAGGCGUGGGACGAGCAGGAUGCGAGUGGGAGGAUGGCGACGGCUUGGGAGGAUGACUGCUACUUGGACAAAUGGCACGGGUGGUUGACGGCAUGAGGUCCUGAUUUCUCUAGUUUUCUUGAGCUCACAACACUUCAACAAUGGAGAAAGGGGCAACAAGGAGGAGGAAGAAGAGAGCUCAGCUGAAAGGGUGCCUAAAAUGCCUUUAAAGUCUCUUCAAAAUUUCGAAACACUCAUCACCAAUGCCCCACCAUGCUCAGCCAUCAUCCUCAGCCAUUAGCCACACCAAAGCUUCUCCAAGAACUAUCCCAAGGUGGCUGAAAUGUUGCUCCCCCCUUAGCCUAAGAACUUUGUAACAUUUCUCCUUAAAUUUCAUUCAAUUCCUCUCCAAAAUAACCCAAUUGAUGCCCCAAAAAUUCAGCCAAGGUGUCCACACUUAAUUCCGCACUUUUCCUUGCUAAAUAAUCCAACUUGAUGGCCAAAUGUGCAACAAAAAACGGUCUUCAAAUUUUCCCGGUCAAAAAUAGCCAUACUUAGAAUUUUUGUCGAAAACUCGAGUUUAUAGAAAAAAUUUUGAAGGAUGAGUCGACGUUCCUAAAAUAAAUUGUGACAUGACAAAACUUUCAAUUUCUGAAAUCGGGUUCAAUUUCACGGUUAAUUUCAAUUGGACGCGAAUUUAACGUGACCUAACCUACCGGGUAGCUUUUAGGAAUUUUUAGCGCAUUUGACCCAUGGUCGAUUAUUUUCGAGCGACAUUGUACUUUUUCGACACAUUGACGACUUUCGGUUGUCGUGAAAAUCUCGAGGUUUUAAAUACAGACACAGGGUACAUAAAUGACAAAUAAAUCGGUCUAGUCCGUUUGAUGAGAAUUUUUCAAUUAGGUGAUAUCACCCACUCUUUAAUCACAUGCCUCUAUCGAAAUGACCUAUCUCUGGUCUCUAAUCGAUUGUGACAGUGCCGUAUUGACCCUUGCAGAUUAGCAUAGUCAAGCAAUCGAUUUCUGGUUGAAUUCUCAAGUCUAUUGUGUUUAAAUUCCUUAACGACUUCACCUGAUAAAUUAGUUAUCUCGUGAGUGAUCAGUUCAAAGAAAAAGACUAUAGGCGUGUCGAUGAAAAGCCCAACUCAUUUAAUUGAAAACAUAAUCAGAAAAUCAUGAUGUCACAACUCUUCCCCUCUUAUAAAAAUUUCGUCCUCAAAAUUUAAACCAUUAAGGUGGGGGUAUUGUCGUCUCAUCAAGUCUUCACUUUCCUAGGUUGCUCCUUUUGUCUCGAGUUGUUGCCAGACCACUUUGACUAACGGGAUUAUCUUGGUGCAUAGAACCUACUCCUUCCAAUCCACAAUCUGAAUUGGUCUCUCCAUAGAUGACACUCUAUCGUACACAUCUAACUCUUCAAAAUUCAGCAUGUGGGUCGAGUCAGGCUUGUACUUUCUCAACAUCGACACGUGGAAGACGUUGUGCACUUGUGCUAGUCUCGACGGCAACGCAAUACGAUAUGCUAGAGUCCCUAUCAUUUCUAGAAUCUCAAAAGGACCUACGUACCUCAGACUCAGCUUCCCUUUCUUACCGAAGCGCGAAGUAUCCCUCAUCAGUGACACCUUCAAAAAGACAUGCUCACCAACUUAGAAUUCUAAAGGUCUUCGAUGCUUAUCUGCAUAGCUUUUCUAGUGACUUUGAGCAGUCUUUAACAUGUCCCUGAUAUCUGCAACUACAUCCACUGAUUACUGAACCAACUCUGGGCAUGUGAUCUUCUGUUCUCCGACUUAAUCCAACACACUGGCGUUUUGCACGCUCUGCCAUACAACGCUUCAAAAGGUACCAUACGAAUACUCUCCUGGUAGUUGUUGUUGUAGGCAAACUCGACGAGAUGAAGUUGUUCCUCCUAGCUUCCCUUGAAAUCCAACACGCAAACUCGCAGCAAGUCUUUGAGGGUUUGAAUUGUCCUCUCAGACUAACCAUCCGUCUGAGGAUGAUAAGCCGUACUAUACUGCAGUUUCAUUCUUAAGGCAGUCUGCAAAUUUUUCCAAAAAAUAGCUAUAAAUCUUGGGUCUCUAUCAAAUGUAAUCGUCAUCUGCACUCCAUGCAAACAAACAAUCUGACGCAUGUACAAUUUUGCAUAUCUUACUAAAGCAAGGUCCUUCCAUACAGCAAUAAAGUGAGCCGACUUCGUUAAUCUAUCGACCGCAACCCAAAUGAAUUCAUUACCUCUCUGACUCCUUGGUAAGCUCAUGACAAAGUGCAUUAUGAUGUAUUCCCAUUUCCACUCGGUAAUCUUGAGAGGUUGCAAAAGUCCUCCCGACUUACAAUGUUGUGUCUUUACUUGCUGACACGUCAGACACUUGGCGACAUUCUUGGCGAUAUCCGCUUUCAUAUCGGUCCACCAAUAGUGUUGACACAGAUUCUGAUACAUUUUCGUACUACCUCGAUGAAUGAUGUAACUAUUACGAUGAGUUUCUGACAAAAUCUCUUAAGCGCUACAUCGUUAGAGACACACAAUCGUCCUUGGAACCUCAGUGUUCUGUCUUCAGAAAUCUGAAACUCAACCUUUCUCUUUUCGGUAUCCUCUUGUAGGAUCUUCUUAAUCUCUGGGUCUGUCAACUGAAGUGUUUUGAUCAUUAUGUGCACUUACGGUUCAAUUCUGAGGAUGGCCCAUAAGAUUUGAAAGGUGGCCUACCUCAAAUUUGAAAACCGAAUCUCAAGCUCUUUCGAGUAAGACCCACGCUUUAAGCAUCAUCUGCACAACCGAAGACUUCAAAUUCAACACAUCUGCGACCUUAUUAGUCUUUCUAGGAUGAUACAAGAUGUCGCAAUCAUAGUCCUUGAGAAGUUCCAUCCGGCAACGCUAUCUCAUAUUCAACUCCUUCUAAGAGAAUAGGUACUUGAGACUUUGAUGGUCUGUAAAGAUCUGGAAUCUUUCUCCGCACAAAUAAUGUCUCAAAAUCUUUAGAGCAAAAAUAAUCGCUGCGAAUUCCAAGUCAUGCGUUGGAUAAUUCAGCUCAUCAGAUCUCAACUGACGGGACGCAUAUGCAACAGCUCUGCCAUGCUGCAUUAACACACAACUCAGUUCUCUAAACGACGUAUCGUUGUGGAUCUCGUACUCUCUAAGACCAGAUGGUAUGGUCAACAUUAGUGCGGUAGUUAGCUUCUGUUUAAGCUCUUGGAAACUACACUUCCACUUAUCUAUCCACACAAACUUCUCUUCCUUCUUCAGCAGUCAAGUCAAAGGCGAGGCUAACUCUGAAAAUCCUUCCAUGAACCGUUUGUAAGACCCUGCCAAUCCUAAAAAGCUUUUGAUCCCCGUCACUGUCGUCGGUCUUAGCCAGUUGAUAACUGUUUCGAUCUUGGUCGGGUCCACAGAGAUUCCUUCACCUGAAAUCACGUGACCUAGGAAUGCCACACUAGUCAACCAAAACUCGUACUUACUGAACUUGGCGUACAGUUCAUGAUUCCUUAGUGUUUGAAGCAUCAUCCUCAAAUUUCUUUCGUGCUCCUCAAGACUACUCGAGUACACCAGGAUAUCAUCGAUGAAAACGAUCACAAACUGAUCCAAUACUACUUGAACACCCUGUUCAUCAGAUCCAUAAAAGCGACUGGGACGUUCGUCAAACCAAACGGCAUUAUAGUGAACUCAUAAUUGUCGUAUCACGUACGAAAUGCUGACUUCGGUAUGUCCUCAUUUUUUAUCCACAGUUGAUGAUAUCCUGUCCUCAAGUCGAUCUUAGAAAAUAUCGAUACUCCUUGCAGCUAAUCAAACAAGUCGUCGAUCCUUAGCAGCGAGUACUUGUUCUUAAUUGUCACCUAAUUGAGUUGACGAUAGUCAAUGCAUAGACACAAUGAACCAUCUUUCUUUUUCACAAAUAAAACCAGUGCUCCCUAAGGUGAUGCACUAGGGCGUAUGAAUCCCUUAUCUAACAACUCCUACAUCUGCACCUUCAGUUCAACUCUAAGAACGUCAUCCAGUAAGAAGCCUUAAAGAUUGGCUUUGUCCUAGGGAUCACGAACUCUAUCUCCCUUUCUAAAGACAGACCUGGUAAUUCCUUCGGAAACACAUUUGGAAACUCCUAAACCACUGCGAUAUCUUCAAUCUUUAAUCUUCAACUCCUUAACUGUCAUAUCCACGAUAGUCACCAAGUAACCUUAACAACCCCAAUCUAACAAACAGGUUGUCUCAAGCGACGAGAUUAAAGUAAUCGAGGGUCCUCCUCAACUCUCAAUAAACUCGAAUUUCACCCGCUAACAGGUUAAACUGAAUUACUUUACGAUAGCAGUCCAUCUUAACUUGUUGCUUGGUGAGCUAGUCCAUGCAAAUUAUCACAUGAAAAUCAUACAUGGUUAGGACUAUCAAAUCUAUCCUCCCUUCUCGCUCACCAAUCACUAACUUGCAACCAAGACAGCCUACUGCAGCUAACACUUUAUCCUUUAAUGGUGUAGAUAUACUAACCAUUGACUCCAACAUUUCAAGACUCAAUCCUGCUAGCUUAACAAAUUGCUCAGCAAUACACAAAUGAGUUGUGCUAAGGUCAAAUAAAGCAUAAGCAGCAUGAUCAUUUAGCGAGAUUGUACUUGUGAUCACAUCAGGUGAGUCCUCUGCCUGUCCUCUGGUAACGGCGUACACCUUGCCCUAAGCUGAAGGUUUGUUCUGUCUACCCUGCUGUGCAUUCUACAACACAAAACCUCUAUUCUGACCCAUCAGCGGUAGUGGCGGCAACUGCUGCGAUCCCAUCGGUUUGCAGGGAUAAUCUCUAACUCGGUGGCCCUGUUGUCCACACCCAUAGCAAGCACCCAUCCUAGAAUGGCACAGAGCCUAUCCAUGUCGCUUCCACAGAAGCGACAUACUCCACUAAGGCUUAACGCUGACUUACUUAUCCCACCUUUCCUAUUAGGUGGAAUAGAGUACCUUCCUCCGGUCAUGGGCUUCUUCCCAAACCAGUUUCCAUCUCUGUUCGAAUUGAAUCUCGACCCAGAAGUGGUUACUUGCUCAAUCAGGUUCAUCUCUAUUAAUUGGGCCCGACCAUAUAGCUCGUUGUAAUCUUUUAGGUUGAAUGGCACCAGCGGUUUCUUCAACUCCAGCCGGAGGCAUUCCUGAACCUCUUAACUCUAUCAAUUGGAUCCUCUAUCAGCCGUGGGGCGUACUGCGAUAGCUCUACAAACUUGGCCUCGUAUUGGUCCACAGUCAUUGAACCCUGAUGAAGGCACUGAAAUUCCUCCAUCUUUUGUUCCCUUGCACUAUCGCAGAAGUACUUGCCAUUGAACACUGCAACGAAGGCGUUCCACUCCAAAACCACACCUUCUGGGAACACUACUCCUCCGGUGGCCAUCCACUAAGUGCUUGCGUUACCUUGAUGCUGAUAGACUGCAAGGACGACCUUCUCUUCCCUUGUGCACCUCAAUAGUGCAAAGGGCUUUUCCAAGUCCUAAAUCUAGAGGGCUGCAGCCUUGGGAUCUUUUACACUUGUGAACCUCGGCAAGUUCAGCUUUAGGAACUGCUCUAUGAGCUUAUGCAUUGCCCUCUCAACAACCACAUUCCUAAGUUGAACUUUGGCAAGUGCCGUAGCAACGGCAUCAGCGGCGGUGGCAACAACAGCAUUAGCGACGGUAAUAGUGAUGGUGGUAAUGGCGAUGGCUUGGUUCUGGGCCUGCUGCCCCAUCAAAGUUCCAAGCGUCUCAAGCGCUUGAAUGAUCCCAUCAAUUCUAGGAUCACCAAAUGCUGCUACCCCAGAACCGAUCGGCGGUGGCGCUAAACCAUUUGCGUUGGUCUGAGCCUGUGCUCUACCUCUACUACCACGGGUAUCGACCUUAGUUAGCAUCCUACCCCGAGUCACAACUCCUAUAGUCCUCUUUCUAGGCGUCCUCAGCUCUUGAUCACUCAUUAUGUAGACUUUCUACAUAACAUGUUCCCAAUUUCAUACAGAAUUAGAAACUGAGUGAUCCUUACAAAACAAUCUACCAAACAGCUAUUAAUCACAUGCAUCAAUAUAAAAUAAAGGUCGUUCCUACUAAUUAUCCCAUAACCCAUCGCACCUUAUCACUCUAACCGCUGACCAACUCUAAUAUCACUUCGAACGAGGAUGUCACGCCCCGAACCUCUAGCGCGCGCGCAUCCCUUAGUGGUCGAUAAAAUUGUGAUAUCCUAGGAUGUGUCGUGACCCAUUCAUUUUAAGGCACAUGCGGAAGCAAAAUAAAAACCCCUGACAACAAACAGCAUGGGAUAGAAAAGUAGGACAACAAAUUCACAAACAAAACACACUUUUAUAAACAAACUAGUUUGUUGACAAAAAGAUCGGCUCUAAAAAAGAAGUUGUCCAAUGACCCACUAGUCGAACAUAUUCGCCGAUCCUUUGAACUCCACUUCGACAGGCUCCAGGGUCUUUGGGUCCUCUCAAGAGGGUCAGCUGCACCCUCGCUCAGAGCGGCGUUGACCGCAAUGGCAAGGAUAUCAAAAUCCUGAAGGAGACCAUCCAUAUAUCCAUUGAUCCCAUGGCGAAACCACGCCCUAAAUUGAUGAGGUACUCUCUGAGGUAGGCCCUCAUCAACUUAGAUAGUGGUCACUACAAGCUUAUAGACCCAGUGACUCCUGGGGGCAGGGACGUCUAUGCUCCACUCAGUAACCCCCCAAGGCUGACUAAAACAAAUUAGAGGUACCGCCAUCUAAGGACCUGAAAAGGUUAAGCCCACAACGGGGUGAGACAAUGUCUCACCAAGUUUACUCCAUAUACCCCGCUUUAGGAAAAAAAUACGCCUAGAGGUAAUCUAACCACACAUCACAUAAUAUUUACCUCACCUCAAUUCCUUCCUAUACAUCAACACAGUUCAUAUCGCAUAUAAUUGCAUUAAAAGCACUCAUCAAUUGGGACGUCUCAACUUAUAACCAAACAAUUACAAGGGGUCUCGAUUAUAAGGCCAAAUCGUUAUGACACGUCACAUUCCAUGCCACACAAUUUUGUUCCAUAAUCAUGUGCGUCAAUUCAAUCAAUCGUGCAUCCCAAUUGAUUAUGACCUAACAGCCACGGCCGACUCAAUAGUCAGUGGUCUUCCGGCGUAGCUGGGUAUCAUCUCGCACCAUCGAGCACGGCAACAUCUAUUCCUAAAUGGCAUUCCACUAGGGGGCAUUGGUCUAGCCUCCACUGCGACCGGCAUCGGUUGACUCGGGGUAUCCCAUAUAGGAGCAUCAUCCGACUUAACAACUCGUGAUGAAUUCUCAUAGCCAUCACAACCCGGCCAAGGACACCGUGCAUUGCACUCAAAUGUCUCAAUUAAAAUAGUGAACUUGGCCUAUUUUCUUCACAUUAAAAACACUCAGUGAAAAUAAUCGUGUGUGGGUACACGGUUAGAUCGAAUCAAAAAAAUUGAUAUCCUUCCUUUUAAAAUCUCACUAUUUAAUAUAGUAUUUAUAUUCAUUUUCGGUGUCAAAACUCGACACACGGUAUUUUCUAAUUAAAUACCAAAAUUUCACAAUUUUGAAAUAAUAACUCAAAAUCACAAUCAUCACUUAAUUUGCACAAAUUAAUAUUCAAUUGCAUAAACUAAGCACACUACUGCAAUCAACACGAAAUUCCGGUCACCGGUUAUCCCAGUAUAAUUUCGGGAAAAUAUUAAAUAAUUAAAUAAAUAGCAAAAAUAAUUAAAUAAAUGAAAUUUAAUCCAAUAAAUACAAACCUAGGCCAGAAACACUAAUUUAACCACCUAAAUGGGCCUAAAAAAGUAAUGCACCUAUCCACAUAAAUAGUACAAUUUAUUUGGCCCUUAAUCAAUCUAUUAUAACCACCUAACAAUCAUGAUUAAGCAAUUAAAUCACUAAUGCAAACUAACUAACCAUAUAAACCAUACUUAACCUUAUCUAAUUACCUACUAAACAUCAUUAAACUCCUUAUGUAGAGCUUAGCAAGUAAACUCAUCGGAUUAGCAAAGCGAUGAGUCAACCGCGACGUCGAUGCGAAGGGAGGCAGAACACAAGCCUGCGGCGACACCAAAUGAGGCCCGAAAGAUACCUAAAAUGGGCCUUCAAUUCGGUCCAAGGACCAAAGGGGCUGGGUUGAGCGACGGCUUAGCUGGAAACAACCACACGGGCAACGGACGGUAGUGGCGGGACAAGGCGGUGGCUUUGACAGCUUCGACGGUGCCCAGGGCAAGCUCGGGGACCUGCGAGCAGACACGAGACAGCGGCUUGGGCUUGCGGGGGACGGUGAGCAAGCGCGGGAUGAGUGGGACGCGAGCGGGAGGCUAGUGAUGACUCAAGUGGAUGACUGCUGCUUGAACGGGCGGUACGGGCGGUCGACAACAUGAGGGGUUGGUUUCUUUGGUUUUCUUGAGCUCACAACACUUCAACAAUGGAGAAAAAUGGUAGCAAGGAGGAGGAAGAGAGAGGUCAGCAGAAGGGGGGCUCAAAAUGCCUCUAAAGUCUCCUCAAAAUAUCCAAACACUCAUCACCAAUGCCCUACCAUGCUCAGCCAUUAUCCACACCAAAACUUGUCCAAGAAGUCUCCCAAGGUGGCUGAAAUGUUUUUUUUUUUUCUGGUAAGGUCAAGGUGGCUAAAAUGUUGCUCUCCCCUUGGCCUACCAAUUUUGUAACAUUUCCCCUCAAAUUUCAUUCAAUUCCUCUCCAAAAUAACCCAAUUGAUGCCCCCAAAAAAUUCAGCCAAGGUGUCCACACUUAAUUCCACAUUUUUCCUUGCCAAAUAAUCCAACUUAACGGCCAAAUGUGCAACCAAAAACGGCCCUCAAAUUUUCCCGAUCCAAAAUAACCUUGCUUUGAAUUUUUUUCAAAACUCGGGUUUGUAGAAAAUUUUCGGAGGAUAAGUCGACGUUCCUAAAAUAAAUUGGACAUGAUAGAACUUUAAAUUUCUGAAAUCGGGUUCAAUUUCGCGGUUAAUUUCAACUGAACACAAUUUUUGCGUGACCUAAUCUACCGGAUAGCUUUUAGGAAUUUUUAACACAUUUGACCCAUGGUCGAUUAUUUUCGAGCCACAUUGUACCUCUUCGACACAUUGACGAUUCUCGGUUGUCGUGAAAAUCUUGAGGUUUCAAAUACGGACAUAGGAUACAUAAAUGACAGAAAAAUUGAUCUAGUGCCGUUCAACAAGAAUUUUGCAAUUAAGUGGAAUCACCCACUCUUUAAUCACAUGCCUCUGUUAAGUUAACAUAUCUCCGAUCUCUAAUCGAUUUUAAUAGUGCCGUAUUGACCCUUGCAAAUUAACACGGUCGAGCAGUUGAUUUUUGGUCGAAUUGUCAAAUCUAUUGCGUUUAGAUUCAUUAACGGCUUUACCCGAUAGAUUAGUUAUCUCGUGAGUAAUCAACUCAAAAAAAAAAAAAACUAUAGGCGCGUCGAUGAAAAGCCCAACUCAUUCAAUCGAAAAUAGAAUCAGAAAAUUAAGAUGUCACAUGACCCCCUCAAUCCAUCGUACAAGAGCGCGAUCCGAGAAAAAUGAUUAGGGUCAUAUUCUAUCCUUUCUACAAUGCCCAUAGGACUUAUUUGCUGUAAGUGCUAGCAAGACAUGUACGGGUGUAAUCUUUGUCAGUGGAUUGAAAGUUUCAUCAUAGUCCAAAACCAUAUCGCUGUGAGAACCCAAUUUGGAAUGCACAGAGAUCUAAACAAUUUGGAAUUCCAGCAAAUCACAAACUUCAACAAACAUGUAAUCUAGCCAUUUCAUGCAUCUACACAUCAAUUUCCAGUACUUUCAAGCCAUAUUCAACCUUGUUCAUCAUCAUUCAACAAAUUUCCAGCAAGAUUGAACCUUACUCAUCCAUGAUCCAUCAUCACUAUCCUAAACAUUCAUUUAAGCAUGCUUUGAUCACAAUCAAGUUCAAUCCUGAACAUGAUUGUCUAACAUUCAUCGCUUGAAUCAACUGUGGUCAUCGAAGAUUGAACAGCAAAAUAGGGAAAAUGAGAUUUGACGGAAGCUACCUAUGAAGCUCCUGCAUCACACUCUUACUAAAAUCAACGAAAUCAAUCAAUCAAAGCUUGUUCUAAAAAAUCGUAUGGCUCAUCAUCAUGUUACACAAUAUAAACAAAUUGACAAAGCAACGUCGAAAUUGACAUCAAAUAAGUUAUUGACAUGCUUAGCCAAAGAGGGGUUGAUUUUUCCUACGCAUGCAAUCUAUUGAAAAUUUAAUGAAAUUGAACUAAUUCUAGAACUAGUUUUCUAUUUGAUUUUUGAAAUGUCCUCACAUCCUAGCUCGGCAAUGAUCAUGAAUUGACAUGAUCAACCUCGAGCGUCAUUGGAUGAUCCUUGGAGCAAACAACAAAAAAUUAGGAGGUCCUAACUUGUGAAUGAAGGUAGGCUAGUAAUCAAGGAAAGUUAGCUUGAUCGGUGGGCUUGCAACAAGGAAUCAAGGUGGUGUCGACCACCAUGACGCUAUGGAAGAGCCAAGGGAGACCAUCACACAAGGACGUUAAGGCUAGAUGAUUAGAGUGAGGCUGACGACCAGUGAGAACAAGAGUGUCGCAACUUAAAUUUUGGAUGCACCACCUAAGUUUAGGCUAAUGAACUACUAAGUCUUUAAACUUAGCUCGGGCUCUCCCAAGACCAUACCAAUUCACGACUUAGGUUCAAAUAUUUAGCAUGAAAAAGAUUAUUAGCCAAGAGUCGCCACUAAUCAGUUUGCAGUAGGUCAAUUAGACACUUAAGUAAAAUAAUGGAAGAAUUAUUUUUACUCCUAUGAACUAGAGACUUUAGGUAUGGGGACUUGGUUACACUAGAUUUUCUAAUGCCAUUUCGGUAUCAUUUCUUUUUAUUUCAAAAAAAAGUUUUUGCAGGCAGUUUGGAUUGAUUUUAAAUCUAUUUCCCUAACAUAUGAGGUGAUCAUACGGGUGCGCAAACCACCAAUUUAACACCCAAGAAAACAAUGAAUAAAUUACGGAACUUACCUCGUAGCAACGGAAUCUUCUGCAUUGUUAGAUCAGAAUUCACAUCAACAACUUUAGAUAUGAUUUCUAAUUAACACGCAAUUUCUUUUUGUUUUUAUAUAAUUAAUGAGAAUAUGCUUUAUGCAAUGCAAUAUAACUAAAUGACCUAAUUCUAAUGACAGGCAAUUGUUAAUUAAAUGGACCUAGCAACAAUCACUAAAUGACAUAUAUUUCAUGAAUCUAAUUUUAUAUGACAUGCAUAUGACAUUUUUAUUUUUAUUUUCUUAAAAAAAAAAAGAAUGCAAUCUAUUCUAGAGAUUGAAACUAAUUUAUCCUAAGACAUUUUUUUUGUAUAUUUUUUUCAUGAAAUUCGAAAUUAGGAAAAAUGUGAAAAUUGUCUAACUAAAUUAAGAUUCUAUUCAAUUUGUAUUAAGGAUUAGAUCAAACUAAAUCCUAAUUUAAACCAAAAUAUUAUCUUAACUUAGCAAUCUCUAACCUAAGAUGCAAUCUAUCUAAAUCAAUCUAAACUUAAAAUGAAUUUUAUCCUAAUGUGGAAUGACAUGCAAAUGAUGCCCUAAUUCUACAUGACGUAUGCAUGAUGAUUUUUUUUAUUUAAUUUUUUUUAUUAAUCUCGUAUUAAAAAAAUGUCAAAUAAUUAAACAUGCAAUUUAAGCUAAUGAAACAAAAAUCUAACAUCCUAGAUUUAUUUUUUUAUUUCGAAAAUUCAUGAUAAAUAAAAUGCUUAGUCUAAAUAUGGAAAUAACCCUAAAGCAUGCAAUAUUCUAACUCAAACAUAUUUCAAGAUAAAUAAAGCAAUCAAGACAAGAUAGACCAUUCAAAAUCAUCAAAGAUAUCACACACCAUUUAGAUUAAGGGAUGAUAUUUCGCUAGUAAAAUCGAUAAAUUGAUCUUAAGCUUUAAAGAUCAAAAUAUCAAUUUUAUUGUCGCUUGAUUAAUUAUUUCAUCUAAAGCCUUAUAGAUGAAAUAAAAAACCCAGGCACCAUUAUGAAUUAGGCAAUAAAUCUUAAUUGGGAGAUAUGCCUAUCAUUCAAAUAUGCUUAAUGGAUAUCAGAUAGACAAAUUAGGGGAUAAAAUAUUCAUGGAACCGAGUAAGGAGUAUUACCUAAUUGUGACAAUAACUUUCCAAAUUCGAGCGUCGGGCAAUGGAUCACAAACGGUGACCGAUGGUGGUUUGCAAUGCUCGAUGGUAUGAGCAAAGGCUUGCAGCGAGCGACACGGUGGGGCGAGUGACUGGCAGCAACGAGGAUGCCUAAGAUGGAUCACAGUGGACCGCUCAUCUAAAGUUGAAGACGUCGAGGUGACUCCGCAGAGAGGAAGCUUUGACAAUUUUUUUCUUUUGUAUUUUCACUUCUGGACAAUACCUGCAGAAGACCAAUUCACCACUUAAACUUAUUUCAUCAAAAUUCUAGCAACUCUUUUGACUAUGGACUCCAGGCUUGCAAGUGGUGGCCACAGUAUAUGACGUGGUAUUCAUGCUGGUCAGGAGAUGUUGGCCUCUUUGGACUUCAACGAAACCUACAAAUAAUGAAUACGAACGAAGCGCUAAAGCUGGUUGGUGAUUGUCGGUGAGUCAGAAGAAAACACUUCAGGGCAUCGCCAGGCUAGAUGGAACUUGCGGGAGUCCUCGCUGACUCCGAACUAGGCUGUAGUGGUUCAAGCGUCCCUGGGAUGUGCUGGUUCGUGGUAUUGCAAAAACAGCAGAUCAUGGAUCGUUGGGGAUGCGAGGACUGCACGAGUGAUUGCUGCAAGGAGAAAUUACGGUCCCGCUAGGGCAACGGCGAAUCAAGCAAUAGUUGAGCGCAAGGAAGGCGGUAGCUCCAUCAACGUCUCGGUUGAGCUGGGCUCGUCAAGGCUUGGUCAUGACGGUAGGGGGUUGGCACCAGAUCAGCAGCUCGUCGGAAAGGCAAAUAGGUCACAGCAGUGAGUCCGUCGUCGUUGCAGGGGACAACGCAGCAAAGACGGUGUAGCAAUGGUAACUCAGGCGGCUCGGGUGUGACACUGCGGCAAAGGGCCUCGCACAACGUGGGGGCAGGCCCCAGUUCAGCAGAGAGAGUUCCUUCUCUUUUCUCUCACGUGUAAAUCUCUCAACGUGCCUUUUAGCAUAGAAGUGCCGACCCCCCUCAACAAUGUUAGCGUUCUCCUUAUUUAUAGGACAACCAAGGCCUUCAAAGGAAAGGACACAAUAUAAUAUAUUUUAUUCCUUCCUUUCCUCAAAUGCGUGAGUACUCAUAACUUUGACCAUAUAUUCAUGAUUUUCGGCCACGAAUUCUUUCCUUUUCUGCUUACGCCCCUGGAUGCGUAGGACGCAUGAAAUUUUCUUUAUCGGUGCACUCUUUCUUGUUUUAAAACAAGAAAUAUAUGUCCCAAUCCUUAAUUUGGUAGAUUCUUGCGUAGAAAUAUCACACUUCUCUGCACCUAGUUGACCGAGAUUAUCUUCUAUUAAUAAAGAUAUUUAUUCUUCCUCAAAGAUUUUUCAUGCCUUGUUAAGAUCCCAUGUGAAAAUUGUGCUCAAUCUUUCCCAAAUUCGUGUUAAACUCGGUUAUAUUACGAAGCUUACUCCAAUCUUUCACUUUCGGCGGGCUUAACUUCAAUAAAGCUCAAAACCAUUUACCCGAGUUUAUCCGCCGCCAACGCAACCCAAUGCAAUUAUGUUCAGAACUUAAGCCCAUCCGCUACCAGUCCAUAAAUAUGCAAGUAUAUUGAGAUAUGCUCCUAAUAACUAUAUGUAAUGCGAUUUAUUAUUUUUGUUUAGGGGCUAAAGUUUAGUCCCUAAUUUUUGUGCAAUAAAUGAAUGAUAGGGUCGUCAAAAUUUAGGUAUCAAUAAAGAGGUAAAGCCUUCCAUGAGUUGCCCGGGGAGGGGAGGGAGAGAAUUUAAGCUUGCACCUCAUUGGCUAAAUUUAAGUCACUAUGAUAGGUGACAUGUCAUUAUGCAUGGCCUAGAUCAAUUAGUGAAAGAAUGGCUAGGAUUUAAGCUCAUGUAGAUUGAUGACUUGGCUUUAGGAGCAUUUCGGUAAUUCUAGGCAAAGGGGAGGGAGAGGAUCGGCCGGCCAUGGUGGCUUGGUAGCGUGACUUAAUGGACUGACCUGUCGGAUGAGUUUUGUAAAUUUUGGUCCGAUUGUAUACAAUUGAAUGCAAAUUGGAGCGAUUUAGCUUGAACGGGUUGAUUUUGAUACUCUAGUUAUCCAAUUUCACCCUCAAUUUCACAAUUUGACUUGACAUUUUUGUCAAUUUGAUUGAAUGAAAUUAGGUUCAAAUUGGUAAAAUUGAUUUGGCCCGGUAUAAAUUAUAAUUGACUUAUGGUGGGCGAAAUGCCUUAAAGAUACCCUAAUUGCAUUAAUCUCUUUGAAAUUUGACAUGGCCAUAGCCAAUUCUGUCCCAAUUGAUUUAAUUCAGCCAAAUUGAGGCUUGGUUCAAUUGACAUAUCUCUUGUGCUUAAUUUCCAAAAUGAAUUUGAAAUUUCAAUUACCCAUAGUCCGGAGAUCAACUGUCACUAAGGACUCAAGUUUAAAAAAUCAAUAGAAAUGAAUGAAUUUUGGAAUUUUUUAUUAAAAGCCCGAGUAUUCAAUUUUGUUGAAAAUGUUGACUCCUAAUCAUUUUUCAAAAAAAUUGGUAUUUGAAAUUGAAACUAUCUAAGAGAACAAAGCCAUUAUGAAGGUUUUAUAUAUAUAUAUUUUUGUGGAGUUGACCAAAAGUUGACCUAUCAAUGAUUUAAGCCUUAAAUCAAUUGAGUCACACUUUGACUUUUUUUUUUCUUUUAAUUUUGAAAAUUGAAAGUAAAAAAGUGAAAUUAACUAAUCUAUGUCUUUUAAUGCAAAAUGCUAAAUUUAGACCAACGGUGAUUUUUUGAUAAAACUUUGACAAAAGAGUUAAUUCUAAGUCAACCUUUGACUUUUUGAAAUCAAAGUGUACAUGACAUGAAGACAAAUUGCUUAUACAAGAAAGAAUGUUAAACGACUAUGUUUUGUUAAGAACUAGGUUCUGUCAUGAUCAGGAAUCUAAAUCUCAAGUUUUUACCUUUAAAUGAUUGAUUGGCUAAAAAAUGACAUAUAUAUAAUUUUCAUCUUAAAGUAGAGAACGGACCUUUUCUACUAUUGCUAAUGGUGUAUAUAUAAUUUGCAUCAUAACUGCACAUAGACUUUAGGAUUAAACAUAUAGACCUCUCAUAGAAAAAAAGGAACCAAUCUUGGCACUAGGGUGGACUAAUGUAAUCAUAUCGCCAUACUUUGAAUAUAUAGUUUGUACCGACCAAUGGCUUAAGUCUAGGCUCAAGAUGUUUCUACCACAUUAGCACUAGAUCUUAAUAAGUACCUAAACGACCUUAGAAUGGGCUAGUGGUGACUUCUAUAUAGAUGUGCAUUAUGAAAUCACAAGUUGUAAUAGACGUUAUAUUGGGAGAAUGUGAAUGAGGCACGCACCUUCUUUAUACGUAGGGGAGAAGUAAUAUCAUGUUGCACAUUGACCUUCUCGAACCGUACUAAUAGGCCAUUUUGAGAGAGACAUUGACUUUGUGAGACAUGAUUAUAUUAAGCAACCUAUUGGAUUUAUAUUGGUACUAUUAAGAAAAUUAUGGCAAUCAAGUUGUGAUUGACAUGGGUUUCGAUAGUGGAAGUUUGGCAUGUACAAGAUUAGAAUUGACAGUUUGUAAACAAUGCCCACUCGGAGAAAGAGAAGUAGAGGCAAUUACACAAUCUUGAGACGUGGGUAUCACAAUCUAAUAUGUGGCACAUGUGGUUGGCAUAAACAUCGCAAAAGUGUUCAGCAUGGUGCGGUUAAAAGUUCAAGAAAAUUGUGAAAACCUUCUAUUUUUAGGUGAAAUGUCGCUUUUAAAAUAUAAAAGUGAUGGCGAUAGCGGUCGGACAUGUGCCGGAAGUGGAUUGGCAUAGUGGAGAGGCGGCUGGCAUUAUGCCAAACCUAAGCUGGUACUAUAGUCCAUGGAAACGGCCAAAUCGCGUGGCACCCAUCCAAAACUUGAGGUCGACCGCCAGCCUUGGGAAACGAGUCCUAGGAUGUGAGGGAGACAGCCGAGGCUCAUAAUUAUAGAAAGAACGUCUUAGGAGAGAAGAAGGGCACACACUCGACCAAAUCAUAAGAUUUUAAUUAUUUCGCUAUUUCAUUCUUUUAUUUACUAAACUUUCGCAAGAUCUUCUCAUGUCAAAAAUAAAGAAUACAAGUUAUAACAUUUUUUAUCCAUAAAAAAGAAACAGAAUAUUUUUGUCUUAAACGAUUUGCAAAUUAUAUGAUUAUUAUUGGAAAAAAUAAAAAGGUCGUCAGCCUAUGAUCACUGACUCUAUCCACAGGAAUGAAAAUAAAAAAGGUAACUGGAAUAAUGAAGUGAAAGAACAAUAUUAUUUUAUGGGAUAGUUGUACAGAAAAUUUUAAAACUUAUUGUAAAUGUACAAAUACAUUUUAAAAUUUAUCAUGAAAGUACAAUUGAAUUCUAAAUUUUUUUUUUAAAAAAAUACUAUCAAAUCAUAAAAUUUAUCAUAUUAGUCAUAAAAUUUAUCAUAUUAGUCUAAUCAAAUCCGUCCAUUGACACUUAAUUAUAUUUUUAUGAUAAAUUUUAGGAUUUGAUUAUACUUUUCUAAAAAGUUUUAGAAUUUCGUGUGCACUUAUUUUAAUUAGAAGGAAUUCUCUCCCUUUUCUUUUUAGACUCUUCUUUCAUCUUCAAGAAAAGAAGAGACGUACAGAAGAACACACUACACACAUAGAUGCCAUUUAUGUAAUGCACAGCCGCUUUGCACCCUUUUCUACUCCCACGGAAGUUGAAGAGGCUUCUCGCCUUCUAGUUCUGAUAAAUCAUGAAAGAGCAUUGAAUUUGCGUAUGAAACGGAGAUAUUUAGCUAUUCAACUUUUCAUAACAUGUUUACCUAUAUGGGGGCAAUGAUUUUACCAAUGUUCAUCCGAAUUCAAUCAUGACAACUUUUAGAGUUGGUGUAAUUGGUUGGAGUGUCAGGGAUUUUGGUUCAACAACCAGAGGUCAUUUGUUCAAAUUUCACGAAUUGCAUACAAAUAAUAAUUUGAGUGUCUAGGCAACUUACAAGGCUUCAAGGCCUGGACUUAAUUGAUUAAUAGGCUCGCCGUGUAUUUUAUGGAUGUCAAAGUAGACAUGCCUCCAUGCUUGUGUCCUUGGCUUAUCAAAGUCAUUCUCAUACAACCCGAAUCUGCACCAGCCACUACAAGUAAUUGCGUACUCCUCGUCUGAGGACUUUUUGUUGUGAAUAUAGACAAGCGAAUCAAAUAAAAUAAUUAGAAGGAAGGAAAGAAAAUUGGAUACUAAAUUUAUGUGAUUUGAUAAUAUUAGAAUUUAUGUUCAUGGAAAGAGCAACACAGAAUUUUAUUAUAGAAACAACAAUAUACUUGAGAUUAUAAUAACUCGAAUACUAAAAUACUCACUUAGUAUUUUUUAAUCCUCAAUUACACUCAAAUUCAUAUAGUAUGUAGCCCUUUUAUAAUUUCUAAUGAAACCUUAUUUUAGGAAUUAAAUAAAUUUUACUCAUAAAAAUUUAACUAGUUAAAUCACUUUUGGAUGUAAUUGCAACGGGAGAUUUCUCCCUCUGUCAAGAGCUCCCACAGCUUGCUUCCGGAAAGCUCUAAGAGCUCCAUCCAUCCAUGUCCGGUAUUGUUGCGACUUUCUUAUUCUUUCUUUUCAAGAGCUCUGCAUUAAAUGCAGCACGUGAGGCUCCACUUGUUCUUUCCUUUCGUCGGCCACAAUAGAAGAAAAUAGCGAAGGAAAGAAACAAAAGAAGUUUAUCAAAGAGUAGGGGUGUGCAACAGGAUGGGUAUACGCGGGAACCGGACCAGCCCACCUGAAAAAUAGGGUUGGGAACUGAUUUUCGUUAAAACCAGUUUGAAAAUUGGUUCCCAAAAUUCAAAACCGGUUUAAGAACCAAUUUCGAGUGAUUACCCGCUCAGGAACCAGUUCCCGAGCCGGUUUUGAAAUCGGUUUUGUAAGUAGAGGUCUAAAACUUUAUUUUUUCCCUAAUUUUCAUUCUUACUCCUAUAAUCACACAUCAUUUUUCCUCUUGGCUCUCUCAGACACAUACGGCACUCCUUCUUCAUCGUUCCUCUUCCUCACUUGCUUCCCUUCCUUACCGGCUCCCUCUCGCACCGUAUGACGGACAUACGGCGUUCCUUGCCGCCAAAUUCUUGUGUAUUACAUGGAUUGGCUCGCCUAACUGCUCUUUUGUAAGAGGAAUUAUGCUUGCAUAAAUGAACAACUUCAUGUAGUAAUUGUGGGAAUAAGAUUAAUACUAGACUCGUGUUUGUUGCUAGUGUUUAUGCAAUGUUAUGAUUUUUGCUUUGUCUUAUAAUUUUAUUUAUGAUAAUUAGUCUCGUGGAUCAUUAAUUUUUUCGUUUAGUUAAAUUACAAAUGCUUAAUGUUUUAAUACAAAUUAGGAGGAUUACGUUAUUUUAUUAGGUAUUAAUGUAAAAUUUGAAGUCAUAUAGAUAUUGAGAGGUUGCAAAACAGGUUUAAGUGAAAACAGGGUUGAUCCAGGAAUCGAAUCGGAAAAACAUAAUGGGUCGGGUAUAGGAUCCAAUACAAAUAUGGUCGGGUAUAGGAUUUAAAAAAGAGAAACCGAUUAUAUUAGGAUCGGGUAUAAGGUCCAGAUCUAGACCCUACCCACUCUAGACCCAAUCAUUCCUAUGAAAAAGGACAAAUAAAGCCCAAAAUUUUUUACUUUGANNNNNNNNNNNNNNNNNNNNNNNNNNNNNNNNNNNNNNNNNNNNNNNNNNNNNNNNNNNNNNNNNNNNNNNNNNNNNNNNNNNNNNNNNNNNNNNNNNNNNNNNNNNNNNNNNNNNNNNNNNNNNNNNNNNNNNNNNNNNNNNNNNNNNNNNNNNNNNNNNNNNNNNNNNNNNNNNNNNNNNNNNNNNNNNNNNNNNNNNNNNNNNNNNNNNNNNNNNNNNNNNNNNNNNNNNNNNNNNNNNNNNNNNNNNNNNNNNNNNNNNNNNNNNNNNNNNNNNNNNNNNNNUAUCAUAAAUAUAAAUAUAUAAAAGUAUCACGUCAGCCGGCCGGCGUCCCAGUCAACAAAAUCCGGCCAAAAUUGGCCGGAAAGGACUGAAUUGGCACAACGUAAAAAGGUUUAGGACUUAAUUGGUACCAAAAAAUGUUUAGAACUAAAUUGACACAUAUACAAAAGGUUUAUGACUUUUUUGGCACUUUUCUCCUGCUCUUUCUUUAUUAUGCCCACAACACAAGAGCCUUAGAUGCACAUACAAAUGACCUCUAGUUAUAUUGGUUUCCUUUGCUCAUACAAAAAGAAAAAGUCGUUCUAAACGCUGGAGUUUAAUCUUAACCCAAAGCGUGAAAAUAUGAAACUUAAAAGGUCUAUUGGUGCCCAGAAAAUUUGAAUAUAUGUUAAAUUUUGUGAUAUUACUGUUGAUUAUUCUAAAAAUUUAAGUUAUUAAAUGAGUAUGUGAUUUAUUAUCUAAAUAUUUUGAAGGGAUUAAUGUCCAUCGGACCACAUUUUCCGCUCAUUUCCAUCCAGCAGUUUCUGAUUUGGUGGUUUUCUCGAGAUUUUUUCACCAAGUCGCGAUCCCAAAGUCCACACAAGUCAAUGUCUGGACCCCAUGCCUAGCAACGAAGGCUGUUGGACAGCUCCAAAUGCGGCCUCCAUGCACUGAAACAUCAGGACCGGACCCGUGACCACAAGCGUCUGGUCAUCAUUUAACGUUGUCUGUUCUCGUAUCGAUUGCGACUUCGUGAAAUUUCCAAGAAACGGGGAAUCGUGACUCUCGUUUCCGAGAUAUUUUUACGCGGUUUUAUUACCCGUGUAAAGAGAGGCAAGGGUUGGAGCGCUCUAUAAAACCACUGGAGAACUCGUGCAAUACCAUAUUCACCAUCCUCGUUUCUACACAUAUCUCGAGAGGCAAUCCAAGCAUGAAGGUGGAAAUACAGUGGAAGAAGCUGGUCAAGCCAUCAGUGCCCACACCGAGCGACCAGCGAAAAUGGAAGCUAACAUCAAUAGAUGAGCUUCAGAUGCCAAAUUAUGUGGGCGUUAUCUUCUACUAUAGAGAUAAUGCCGGGAACCCCGGAGUUGAUAUCUCUCAAAGGCUUCACCAGAUGGAGGAGUCACUUUCCUAAACUCUAACCCUCUUUUAUCCUAUGGCAGGGAGAUAUAUUGAGGAUGACGACGGUUGUUUUAUCGACUGUAAUGACCUUGGAGUGGAGUUCGUCCAUGCCAAAGUGGAUGGCCAGAUUGAUCAGCUUCUCCAUAGAGACCCCGACAUGGAUUUGCUCGAAUAUUUGUCGCAAUUCCCGAACAACCUAGUAGGCAAUCCACUAGUGGUGAUUCAAGUGAAUACGU